CUGAGGAGGAUCCAGAAGUUCAUUUAGGACAGCUCAAAAGGUUUUCUUUGCGUGAACUACAAGUUGCAACGGAUACCUUUAGUAACAAAAAUAUUCUUGGUAGAGGUGGAUUUGGUAAGGUUUAUAAAGGACGCUUAGCUGAUGGAACUCUGGUUGCUGUAAAAAGACUUAAAGAGGAGAGAACCCAAGGUGGGGAGCUACAGUUUCAAACAGAGGUUGAAAUGAUUAGCAUGGCUGUCCACCGCAAUCUGCUUCGUCUGCGUGGUUUUUGCAUGACACCAACAGAAAGGCUGCUUGUAUAUCCUUUUAUGUUUAAUGGAAGUGUGGCAUCAUGUUUAAGAGGUACUCAUCUAAAUUGUUUGCUGCGUUGAUGAAUCCUUUUGUUUUCACGAAAUUAAAAAUUGUUUGGAUUUCAUUGAUAAAGUGAAUUUGUACACCCGACCAAUUUGGUUUGGAGUAUCAGUACUGAUGUUUUUUUUUCUGUUCUUUUUUUCUUCAAUUUUAAGUUACCUUCUUGAUGUUGAUUUUAUUUAAUGGAUAACAAGAUGACUCUUUUUUGGGUGGGACGGGUGGCAUGAUAUGUGUUAAACCACAUUACCUGUUGCUUGUAAUUUAAAAUUCUACUCUCAUAAUUAUGUCGAUAAAUUAUUGUAGAUCGUCCAGAAGGACAAGCUGCACUUGAUUGGCCAAUAAGACAACGCAUUGCGUUGGGAUCUGCAAGAGGCCUUGCUUAUUUACAUGAUCACUGUGAUCCAAAAAUUAUUCACCGUGAUGUGAAAGCAGCAAACAUAUUGUUGGAUGAGGAAUUCGAAGCAGUUGUUGGAGACUUUGGGUUGGCUAAACUCAUGGACUACAAGGAUACACAUGUUACCACAGCAGUACGUGGCACAAUUGGUCAUAUAGCACCAGAGUACCUUUCAACUGGAAAAUCUUCCGAGAAAACUGAUGUUUUUGGAUACGGCGUCAUGCUUCUUGAACUCAUCACUGGGCAGAGGGCUUUUGAUCUUGCUCGGCUUGCGAAUGAUGAUGAUGUCAUGUUACUUGAUUGGGUAUGCUUUUACGUCUUUCUGUUUCUGUUUGUAGCUAAUUUAUUGUUAUAUGCAAGAUUAUUUUCCAACAACAUUUGCAUGAGGUCCACCUUCUGAUUAUAUUUUAUCAUUCUAAAUCUUCCAUAAUAUCUUUCAUACUUUAUAUAAAAAAAGACAUAAUGUUGUUGAAAUUCAACGAUAUUCUUGCUUCAAUCUAUUGUGUCCCCAAGUCCAAAUCUUGGAAAUUAUGUUUCAAUACUCAUUUUUAAAGAAAUGUUAUAUAAUAUACUGUAAAUUAGGUGUAUCUCUCAAUACCAAUGUUGCUAUUUAUUUAAGCCAAAAAUAAUGGGUCUCGACAGCUAAUCACUUUAUUUCAAACCGCUAAUCUAUAUGACAUUCUUAAUCAUUGUAUAUGGAACAUUUCUGCAAUCAUUUUAGUUGGUUCUUUGCAAAGAUACUUUAAAAACCUAUUACUCAUCAUAGAGCUGCCAAGUUCCUGUUUGAUUAAUGUAAAAAUCACUUGGUCUUUUUUGGCCCGAAUAUUGAAAACAGUUAGAAUCAUGGAUCAAAGAAAAGAAAUAAUGCUUGACUUUUAGAAAAUAACUUUAGUUUAAUUAGCUUUUAUUAGUUAGACUUACGAUUAAGCUGUGAAGAUUUAUUUAUCUUUAUUUAUAACAAUAUAAGGUUUAAAUUGUCAGAGAUUAAUUAUUACUUUUCCUUGGUAAUUGUUGUUAGUAUUGUUGUUGCUUCUUUUGCCAAUGUAUUGGCCUUGCUGUGAUUUCUUGAAGAAUUUGGCAUGUGUUCUGUAUCGAUCCUAAUUUCCUCAUUAUCUCUUUAUUCUCGCUAUCUUGGCCUAUUGCUUCUUUCUAUUCUCUGUUUGCAUCUUUGUCAUAUGUUUGCAUCAUAUCGAUAUUUGAAUGACGAUGCAUUUUUGUAAGCAGUUUGAUUUUCUGGAGAUACUGCGGCCCUUCAAAUUUUGAACAUUACAACACAUUUUCACUCUCCUAGGUGCCCUCAUCUUUUGUUUCAAAUUGUAGAACUAUCUGACUUUUUCCUUUUUAUUUUAACUAAAAUAAUUAGGUCAAAGGACUACUGAAAGAUCGGAGGUUGGAAACUCUUGUUGAUGCUGAUCUGAAUGGAAAUUAUGUUGACGAUCAAGUGGAGCAGCUCAUCCAAGUAGCUCUACUGUGCACACAAGGCACCCCAGGGGAACGACCCAAGAUGUCAGAGGUUGUCCGGAUGCUGGAAGGCGAUGGUUUGGCUGAAAGAUGGGAGGAGUGGCAAAAAGAGGAGGUGUUCCGCCAAGAUUUCAACCCUAUUCAUCAUCCAAGUACCAAUUGGAUCAUAGACUCAACUUCUCAUAUUCCUCCGGAUGAGUUGUCCGGUCCCAGAUGAUAUGCUCGUUGGUUCCGUCCCCUUGUAUACAUGUAAGAAGCCUUCAGAGGACUAGAGAAGGUCCAUUUUGUAUUUCAGUGAUACCACAUUUGUGCAUAUGUUUUGUCUUUGUUUUCGAUUUUGUUUUUGUCUCGCUUAUUUUUAAGAUCACAAAAAUGGAGCUGGUGCUGUUGUAAUUUUUAUAGGGUUAACUGGCAUUACGAAGUUAUAUGGUGCUAGCAGGAAUUAGGAAGGGCCAUAAAAGCACCCAUUCCUGAUGAUUUAUGUAUCUAUCCAGAAAUUAGUCCAAAUUGUGGAAUAAAUAAUCAUUCUGAACUUAUAACUAUCUAUAUUUUUGAGUGUUCCUAUAGAACCCAUAGAUACGAUAAGGACACUAGGUCAAUAUGAAGAAGAAGCAUUGCGAGCCGGAUGAGUUUACGUGCACGAUUAUGAUCAGAAUGGUUGGGAAAUUGGGUAAGGGCGACGAGUGUCUUGGGUUGUUCCAGGAGAUGGUGAACAAGGGUCGCGCUCCGAAUAUGAUGUUUUAUAGUACUAUGAUUCAGGCUCUUGCUCGGAGCAAGAUGGUUGACAAGGCCGUCGUUGUGUUCUCGAAAAUGGUACAGAACAAUUGCCGGCCUAAUGAAUUUACGUACAGUGUGGUUUUGAAUCUUUUGGUUGCAGAAGGGCAGCUGGGUGGGUUUGAUGAGGUGGUGGGGAUGUCGAAGAAGUACAUGACGAAGUCGAUAUAUGCAUAUCUUGUGAGGACAUUGAGUAAAUUGAGCCAUGCCUUGGAAGCUCACAGGUUGUUCUGCAACAUGUGGAGCUUCCACGACAUGGGGGAUCGGGAUGCAUAUACUUCAAUGUUGGAGUGUUUGUGCAGUGCAGGUAAAACUGCAGAGGCGGUUGACAUGCUAAGUAACAUUCAUGAGAAGGGGAUAACUACUGAUACUAUCAUGUACAAAGUUUUGGCAGCUCUUGGAAGGUUGAAGCAGAUACCCCAUCUUCAUGAACUGUACGAAAGGAUGAAACUUGAUGGGCCUGAACCGGACAUAUUUACCUACAACAUUAUGAUUUUGAGCUUUGGUAGAGCUGGGAAGGUUCAUGAGGCUGUGACGAUAUUCGAACAUCUCGAGAAUAGUGAUUGUAAACCGGAUAUUAUCUCUUUACAAUUCGUUGAUCAAUUGCCUUGGGAAAAAUGGUGAUGUGGAUGAAGCCCACAUGAGGUUUAAGGAGAUGCAAGAGAAGGGUUUUAGCCCUGAUGUCGUCGCCUACAGCACUCUGAUCGAGUGCUUUGGCAAGACGGAUAGGGUUGAAAUGGCAUGCAGGCUGUUCGACAACAUGCUUGCUCAAGGCUGCUAUCCGAAUAUAGUGACAUACAACAUCUUGCUUGAUUGUCUUGAGAGGUGUGGGAGGAUGCGAAACUUAAGCAGCAAGGGUUGACACCGGAUUGGAUUACAUACGCAGUGCUUGAACGCUUGCAGAGUGGUUCACAUAGGAGAGUUAGGGUUCGUAGGCAGAGUCCGAUCACAGGUUGGGUUGUGAGCCCUUUAAGGUGAUGAAUGGUGUAGAUAUACCGAAUUUUGCAUUAUUGCUUGUUUGGAGCCAGUUUCCAGUUCCUCCCAAGGCCGAAGCAUGUGGCUGCUGCUGCGACUACUCAAGAAACUUGCUUCCCACGGAGCCAUCACGACCAGGACCCGUUUUGUUCGCGGAAUGAGUUACUUGGGCAUGAAAAUUCAUGCUCAUUCCUGUGAGAUAGAAGCUGCCCCACUUGAGGUUUCGACGAAAAAUGAUUCUCACUUGCGGAACAUCACAAAUUUAGUAACAGAUUCACAAGGGUUGUUGAAAAUUUCAAUAAUUGAUGUGGAAGCAUGUCUUGUAUUUCAGAUUUGGUGUCUCACUGUCUUUCAGAAUUGAACUUUACGUGAACAAUGAACUAAACGCGUUUAUGCGCUGAAUUGGGUUACUAAGUUGCGCUGAAUUGGGUUACUAAGUUGGACGGUACUCACUUCAUAAGACAACUCAAAUAUUACCUAAGUUCGCAAAUAAAUCCAGUAAAAGUUACUAGUACAAAAUGUCAGACUGGAAGCAAGGAAGGAUCAGAAACAAAUCAAAUAGCUCCGGAUGUUUUAUCACACCACAAAAUCUACAAAAUUUUUCUACCACUCAUCGUCUAUCACAAGCUACACUUGAAAUGCCAUACGAGUGGAUCCCAAUAAGUUAUUGCAGUAAAUCAUACUUUUAAGUUCCAAACAAACCUGCGCAGUAAACCAAGCUCGGAGUACUUGAUCAACGCUUGACCCACUGGAAGCUCUUCCUUGCUUUUGCUUUUCCGGGUUUUUUCCUUUCCACCACACGCGAGUCCCUUGUCAAGAAACCAGCUGGAAACACAAACAAGUUGCCGGGUUAGCAAGAAAGGGGCAGAUAGAUAUUGCAAGGUUAAGAUCUGUUUCUCCUUAUAAGCCAGAAAUAACCAGCGGACAAAGGGGAAGAGAAAUAUUUACAUUCUUUUAGAGCAGGACGCAAAUCAGGUUCCCAAUUUUGCAAGGCCCUGCUCACUCCUAAUUGAAUUGCUCCAACUUGACCUGGAAAAAACACCUUUUUAAUUUUCCAUAUUUAACACAAACAAAAACGUUUAUGCAAAGAAUUAACGUACCGAACAUAUUAAACAUUGUUCUUUAAAAAAGAGUUACUAUUGAGAGUAACAAUUUGCACACACAGUAUUUUUGUACUCAACUACUAUAUAGGAAGAAGAGCCAGCAUCAAAAAGUACGAAACAAUCUUUAGAAAUUACAAUCAAUUCGUAUUUAAUUCUGUCGAGAUGUUGGCUCCAAUUUUCUUCUUCCUCUGCUCUGUUUCAGUUUAAUUAUUUGAUGUGAAAUGAAAAUCUAACACAAUUAAUUCACCCUAACAACCUAGGAAGAAAAAGACACUCGCAUUCAUUUGACUUCAUGAGAGCAAGGGGAAGAAAAGCUUUACUAACAUAUGGAACUGGACAGAAAUUUGUUUUCCAUGAGAGAUUGGCAGUGCAGGUAGUAAGUAGCGAGGCAAAUUUGUGGUUUUCUGGCAUAUAAAGCUAUAGAAUUGCAAGUUCAAGGAUAACGGAGGGAAACAGCAGUUGAAUUGGAUCUCAAACAAGUCAAUGUCAAGGAAAAAAGUCAACAUAUAAAUCAAAAUAAAGUGUGUAGCAACAAACUUAGGCUUACCUGUGGUGCCACCUCCUUGGACACUACAAGCGAUGUCCCAAAGGCCCAACGUUUUUGUCUCAGAGAAAGGUCGGAGGAGAGCAGCACGAUGAUCAAGCAUUGGAAAAUAGGUGUCAAAUUGUUUAUCAUUAAUUGUGAAUUUACCAUUACCAGGUUGAAUCCAGACACGUGCUACACUACAUUUCCUUCUUCCUGUUCCAUAAGCUCUCCCCUUGUCGUCUACUGUUCUCACUCUUGCUUUGGCAACUUCCUCCUGUUUCUGGCGCUCUAUUUCAGCUCUCGAGGAUUUUCUGGUAUUUUUCUCAUAACGAAUGUCUUCAAUCUCUGAAAGAGGGGGCAAUCCCUUUAUCCCUUGAAAAUCCUUCAAUGCAAUCAAAGUGUCAAGCAUUUCGUCUGUGAUUCCAGAUGCAGCAAUAAGGUCACCAAAGGCACGAUUCGGACCUGCAGUUACCAUACUGAAUCAGUAUAACACCUAAAGAGUCACCUAGCUGAUAAAUGAAUCAGCAACUGCAUUCAAAACAGAGUACUAUUUGAACUAUAAAAGUUCGAGAAAGCCGAAGAAAUAAUCUUAUCCCAUGUAGAGUGCUUGCAGCUAAACCUAACAAGAUACCUGAUCAUUUUAACUCCUCUCACUAAUCAAUAAGUAGUGUAGUUCCCAAAAUCAAAAGCACAACAAUAGACACACCAAUAUUUUAAUGAACUUGCAGACCUCCCAACAACGAAACAUGCAAUUGGUUGGUGCCCAAAUCAACCCAAAAGGAUUUAGUACAGUACAAGUUGUUCCACUAAGCUAUACACCUUCCUACUCUUAAGCAUAUCAAUGUUAUCCAGAAUUUAGGAAAAAUAACUAGCCUUUGAGAACAGCAGUAAGCUCCUGCUCCUCUUUCUCAAGCCUCUUAGCCUGUUCAGCCUUCUCAAUCUCCUCUCUACUUGUCUCACUGUCAAUGACAGUAACAGUCUGUACACCCUCUCCGAUAUCGAACAAGUCACUCUUCGCCUCCUCUCCCAAGCUCCACAUCUUGUACUCCUGCGAUGUAUCCCACUCCUCGCCUCCUUUCCCCUUCAACCAGUCGGAAUCGGCCUCGCUGGAUUCAACUUCUGCAAUCCCGGAAAUGUCCCCGGAGCUCUGGCCGAAUAAAAGGUCAAACUUUCCAUCGGUUUCCUGAGAAAGCCUCCAAACAUCUGAUUGGGAGGGACCCUUACCAUCGUCACUGGAGAAGAACCUUGGAGUGAAAGUAGCGAAAAGAGGGUUUUGGGGUUGGGGGAAGGGAUGGAAAUUUGGGGAGAUUAGGGUUAGGCGAGAGAAAUGUGAGGGUUUGGGUAGAAGACGAGAGAGCAUGGUGAUGAAGCAGAGACUUGACAAAUAUUUUGAAAUUUAGGGUUUAACAAGACAAAUACGAUCUUCAUACAACCCUUUACGGUUGGAGAAGGAAGGAGAGGGAGAACAGGAUCCCGUAGGGGGUUUUCAUUCCAUCGGCAUCGCAAGAUAAUGGGGUUUCAGUUUUGAACGGAAGUUUCUAUCCCUGUUUUUUUUUUUAGAAAUUUGAAAAAAUAAUCAAAAUUUUGAACACAAAUAGAAUUAUAACCACUAUUAUAAUUUUCAAUCAUUUUAAUCAAAAAUUGAUAAGAAAGUAAAAAACAAGCUGCUGAAGAUGUUCCCGCAUAUUCGAUUGCUCCAAAGCCUCCUAUCCAUCCCUUCCUCCCGCACUUACCUACCUUGCCAUGAUUUUUUAUUGAUAUAUCAGUUUUCAUUUUCAUAAGUAAUUUUAAUUUUAAUUGCUUGGGUCCUCUGGACCUAAUGCCUCAAGGAAAGAAUGGAGACGAUCGAUGUCGGUUGGGUCUUGUUGAUGCACAAAAUCGGAGGUCUUGGUACAACGUAAAUCUGACUGUGAAUCUGCAUGAAAUGUAAAUAACACAAGAUGUAUCGUGGUUCACCCCAAAGUUUGGGCUACGUCUACACUGAUUGUAUUGUAUUUUUCUGAGAAGUGAGGGAGAGAGCUCUGAGAGUGAGAGCUUUAAGAGGGGGUGAGAAGGGUGAGAAGGCUCCAGAAAUAGCCUCCCCUAAUUGUGAGGGUGAGGGGUCCUUUUAUAGAAUAAGGACUCCUCACUUAUUACAUAUUUGCCCCUUCUUUUAUUACAUAAUUACAUUUAAGUCCCCCGAGUAUUUAUACGAGGUCUAAAUACGGAGGCCCUAAAUAUGGUAUAAACAGUAGUCCCCCAAGUCUUCAGUCAAGAGAGUCUUUUGGCUGGAGACUUGAAAUUCAGUCCAUGUGUGGGCCGAAGUAACUAGAUGUUGUCUUGAACUGAUGCUCGAUAUGAGGCGGUGCUCAAAGUGAAAUGAUGCUCAACUAUAAGUAGCACAUGUUGCGAGGCUACUCGGCUUGUGGCUUAUGUUGCUUUGGUUGGGCUCGGCUUGUGGCGCUUGAAGGUGAGCGGGUCCCUUUUAUAGAAUAAAGGUUCGCUCCUCAAUACAUAAAUGAUGGGUUAGGAGUGAUGCUCGCGGCGAGGCGGUUGCUCAACUGGCGGCGUUGCUCUCUAAUGAAGGUGAUGGAGUCCCUUUUAUAGAAUAAGGGCUCGCUCCUCAAUACAUAAGUGAUGGGUUAAGAGUGAUGCUCACGGCGAGGCGGUUGCUCAGCUGGCGGCGUUGCUCUCUCAUGAAGGUGAGGGAGUCCCUUUUAUAGAAUAAGGGCUCGCUCCUCAAUACAUAAGUGAUGGGUAAGUUUCCCAAGUAUUUUUCAUGAGUGCUCUCUAAUGAAAGUGAGGGAGUCCCUUUUAUAGAAUAAGGGUUCGCUCCUCAGUACAUAGAUAAUGGGCUAAGUCCCCCAAGUAUUUUUCAUAAGGCCCAAUUGAGGCCCAAUAUGUGGUACCUAAUGUAGUCCCUCAAGUCUUCGGUCAAUAAAGUCUAUUGGCUAGAGACUUCAAAUUGAAUCCAUGUACGGGCCAAUGUGGCGGUUGUUCCAAGGUGGUAUUUGUAUACCCUGUACUGAAGCUUUGUAGGUGAAGCUUUGCAAGUAAAACUUUGAAGCUAGAGCUCUGUAAAUGACACUUUUGAAGCUAGAGCUCUGUAAAUGAAGUUUUUGAAGCUGAUUGACAUGAGUGAUGCUCAUGAAUGUUUAUGUUGAUUGACAUGUGUGAUGCUCAUGGAUGUUGUCAUGAGUGAUGCUCAUGAAUGUUAACAUGAGUGAUGCUCAUGAAUGUUGACAUGAAUGAUGGUCAUGAAUGUUUAUGUAUGAUUGUCAUGAGUGAUACUCAUGAAUGUUUAUGUAUGAAUGACAUGAGUAAUGCUCAUAUAUAAUUUGGAGUACUGUGUGUACUUUUGAUCACCUGGUUGGUGGCAUGAAGGAGAGUACGGGUUGUACAUUUCAUCACCUGGUUGGUGGCAUGAAUGGCUAGUUGCCAAAUGAUAUUAGAGUACGGGUUGUACAUUUCAUCACCUGGUUGGUGGUAAUAGCGGCAGGUUGCCGAAUAAUUUUAGAGUACUGGGCGUACUUUUGAUCACCUGGUUGGUGGUAAUAGCGGCGGGUUGCCGAAUAAUUGAGGAGUACUGAGCGUACUUUUGAUAACCUGGUUGGUGCUAUUUCGGGCUUAUGGGCUUUUGCCCUCUACACAACAUUCCAACCCAUUUAUUUUGGGCUUUGCUGUUUUUUUUUUGUUUUUUUUAUUUUUUUUAUUUUUUUUUAUUUUACCCUCUGAUGGGGUUUAUACAUAUUACACUCUGAUGAGGUUUAUACAUAUUACCCUCUGAUGGGGUUUAUACAGAUGUUUCCGAAAGAUAAGGAAAAUAAAUUACAUCAUUCUGGUAGGGUGUUUAUUCCUUGCUUUUGCUUUCUCUUUUUCUUUCGUUUUCUGUUUUUUUUUUUUUUUUUUGCUUUUCCACCACUCUCUCUGUCUCUUCACCUGACAAACAAAAUGAAUCGUAAUCAUAGGAAAAUUUUUGCUUUUCUUCUUUUCUCUUUUCCUUUUCCUUUUCUUGAUCUCCCCGCUCAUUCUCUGUCCACCCAUGUUGCUUUGCAAGGUCAUCUUUUGCUUUUCUUGACAGAUGAUUUCACAUGGCUGUGACUGCUCCUUCCUUGCUCUGGGUCCUCAUUUUACGCUUUAAUGUAUGCUUGGAAGAUUACCUCUCGAUCCUCAUCGUUGGGGUAUCCAUCCAUGAGCUGAUCGUGUACAGUGACAAAACCAAGAGCGAACACAGGAGGGCCCACCGAGUCGGAGAGCUGUCGGAUUCUUCAGCCCUGAUUUCUCGUUCAUCUCCUGUGAUCUUGUAAUAGCCUUGAUGCGUGAGUCGAUCGGCAAGUGUUGUUGGUGUCUUUGUAUUUAGGCCGGGUGAAAAAGACCUACUUCUUCUGCGAACUUCUGGGAUGAAACCGGUCGUACAACCCGACCCGACCACCAUGUACACGACGAAGAACCUCGGGACUAGCAAUAGCACAGGCAACAGCUCAUGUGAUUUUCCGCAAAAGGACAAUCCCAGAACUUUAAUUUCCCACCAUGUCCUUCUCCUCCACCCCUGUGCAGUUCAGUCUCCUCGCUCUCCUCUCCGCCACCACAGUUUACUACUUUUACAAAUCUGCCACCUCCGACGCCUCAAGCUCUCCCUAAACCCUAACUCUAGUUCAUCGCCUCGCAGAGGCAAGCCCUUCUUCGUCUCCCAAACUGGCACCUCUGAAGCUCUAGCUCGUCGCUUGCUCGAUUUUCUGACGUCGAAUGGCGUCGCUUUCGACCUCGUCAACCCCAGCAACUACGAGCCCGAGGACCUGCCAAAGGAAACCCUAGUUCUGAUCGUCGCUUCAACGUGGGAUGACGGGAAGCUGCCUCCGAACGCCAGAUUCUUCUCCAAUUGGCUUGCCGAGAACGCGGAGGACUUCAAGGUGGGAUCGUUGUUGCUCUCUAAUUGCAAAUUCGUCGUCUUCGGCGUCGGGAGUCAAGCCUAUGGCGCUACGUUCAAUGUGGUGGGGAAGGACUUGGCUAGGAGGAUGAGGGCGUUGGGUGCUUCUGAGAUUUUUUCGAUUUGGGAAGGUGACGUGGACGGUGGUGAUUUAGACGAGGUGUUUGAUGCUUGGAGUGGGAAGGUGGUGAGGUUUCUGAAGGGUGGUGCGGCGGAAAAUGGCGGGGUUUUGGGUAAUGGGGUUGGAUCAGCUGAGAAAGCAAGAUAUUUUGGCGAUGGAGAUUUGGUAGGACUGUUGGAACUUGGAACUGUGUAAUUAGAGAGAGAGAGACCGUCUGUUAUACUUACCCAUUUCUGGGUUUCUAGAGAGAGAGAUGGGACUGGGAUUUUGGUUUGGUGUUUUUUUUUGUUUUGGUUCCUGAGUUUUGCAUAUCCACAACUGAGAUGAAAAAUUGAGAGAGAACCGACACAACUUUUCGUAUCGAUUCCCACAGACGGCGCCAAAUGUUGAUGCACAAAACCGGAGAUCUUGGUACAACGUAAAUCUGAAUGUGAAUCUGCAUGAAAUGUAAAUAACACAAGAUGUAUCAUGGUUCACCCCAAAGUUUGGGCUACGUCCACACUGAUUGUAUUGUAUUUCUCUGAGAAGUGAGGGAGAGAAAGCUCUGAGAGUGAGAGCUUUGAGAGGGGGUGAGAGGGGUGAGAAAGCUCCAGAAAUAGCCUCCCUUAAUUGUGAGGGUGAGGGGUCCUUUUAUAGAAUAAGGACUCCUCACUUAUUACAUAUUUGCCCCUUCUUUUAUUACAUAAUUACAUUUAAGUCCCCUGAGUAUUUAUACGAGGUCUAAAUACGGAGGCCCUAAAUAUGGUAUAAACAGGUCUAACUUUAACAACUUUGAUGAAAUCUGAAAUUAAUAAUGUUGACAAGAUUUAAUACCAUCGUCGCACUCAACCUCAACUCCAAACCAUGACGUUCAAAGUGAGAACUACCAAUACACUCCCAACCAUGCCUUUGCAAAUCUACAUUCAAACCCCAGGACACCCAUUUUUCUAUGAUCUGGAGGCAGUCUUAAUACAACCACAACCAUUUAAGGGUAUAAGGCCUCGUUUGUUUGACCUCCUUAGCUAGGACUGGACUAGCUAGGACUAAUAACCCAUGUUUGGUAUAGCAAGGGACUAGGUUAAAUAGGAUUAGCUCGGACUCGUGCCGACUAACUCCUUCGCUCACUGAUCUUAGCUAAACCCCUCGAAAACGACGGGAUUGCUAAUCCCAUCUCCACCACCACGAAUAUCCCGCGAACCCAGUCAUCAAAAUCUAGCCUUUUUGCCAACCUCCAUCAUCCUGCGAACCCAACAAACCCAACCUCAUAUUUGCUUUCCGACGAACCCACAACCUAAAUUUCCCGACGAACAGACAAAAGAACAUUUAACACUUAAUCGAUAUGCAGAAACGGGUUCUCCAUUUUCGUCGAUUGAACUGGAAUUAGACCCAUAAAACAAAGAUAACGGUCUUUGCCUAAAGAACUUUGGAUCCGAAAACGAUCUUCGCAAUUUGAGAUCAUUCUGCCACACUGCAACUCCUAUUCCAAGCGUUUCCUUGGAGGCGAAACGAAAUGAAUACAAGGGGAGAGAGGAGAGAGGGGAGAGGGGACAGUGGUACAUAUGUGAAACAUAAGAAAAAGGAAGGGGGAAGGAGGAGACGGAGGGCGGAGAAAAAAAUGGAAAAUAAUACAGAGGGAGGCAUAUAAAACAGAGAAGAAGAGGAGUAGAAAAAAUGGAAAAUGAUAAAGAAAUAAUAAAAUAUUAAUUGAUAUAGAUUAAAUUUUAAAAAAACUAUUAAUAAAUAUAGAUUAAAUAAUAUAAUAUUAUAGUCCUGCUUCUUAGUCCGACACUGCACCAAACGUUUCACUAAGUUAGUCCAGCUUAGUCUAGUCUAAGCCAGUCCAGUUUAGUCCCUGAAGCUAGUCCAGUCCGAGACAGUCCGAUGCAACAAACGCACCCUAAAGGUAUAUUAGUACUUUCAUAUCAAUUUUUUGUUAUAAUUAUGAUAAACUUAAAAGUGUGGCUAUAAUUCUAUAUUGGAUCAAAAUUUUGAUUAUUUUUCCAAAUAUCCGUUUUUUUUUCUUUCUUUUUUGUUGAAUUUGUGUCUUCCACGUUUGUUCUUUUACAUAUUAACGUUUUUUUCUAAUAAAAUUUUCUAAAAAAAUGAAAUAUAACUUUCUGACAAAAUUACCCUUAGGGUUUUUAUAUGUAUUUUUUCUGUCAGUUUUGAUUUUUUUUUGUUCGGAGGGCUUUUUAGUCCAAAAUUUUUUGAUGAAGCCUUGAGACACCAAACUCUCAUUAUAGCUUGUUAAGCCCUAAAUUUCAAAAAUCUAAAAUACUUCUACCCAAACCCUCACAUUUCUCUUACCUAACCCUAAUCUCCCCAAAGUUCCAUCCCUUCCCCCAACCCCAAAACCCUCUUUUCGCUACUUUCACUCCAAGGUUCUUCUCCAAUGACGAUGGUAAGGGUCCCUCCCAAUCAGAUGUUUGGAGGCUUUCUCAGGAAACCGAUGGAAAGUUUGACCCUUUAUUCGGCGAGAGCUCCGGGGACAUUUCCGGGAUUGCAGAAGUUGAAUCCAGCAAGGGCGAGGCCAAUUCCGACUGGUUGAAGGGGAAAGGAGACAUUGCAGGAGUACAAGAUGUGGAGCUUGGGAGAGGAGGCGAAGAAUGAUUUGUUCGAUAUCAGAGAGGGUGUACAGACUGCCAUUGACAGUGAGACAAGAAAAAUGUAGUUUCUUGCAAUCAUAAUGGGAAGCGAACAACAUAGAGAAGUUGAAUGUGGCAAAGCGGCAAGAUGUUUCUUGCAACUCCAAACAGAUCAAUUAGGAAUUGUAUAUAAUCAGAACAAGUUUUAUUAUUAUUAUUUGGGCCAAAUUUCUUGUCCUGUUUGUUUUCCUUUCGGUUAACUCGAUCAGUUAUGGGCUGAUAAAGACACGACACGUACAUUCUUUUUCUUCGGUAUUAUUAUUAUGGUAUUAGUUUCCCCCAGUGUCUUACUAAGUACACCAUAAGUACACCAUUUUUGAGACAUUAGUAGCUGUAAUAAAAUAAUACCUCACUCAUUUAUACCCCGAAAUAACUCACAACUGCUUAUCUUCAUUUUGAACAUAUAUAUGUAGACACUCACAUCAUUCUCAUUUAUAAAUGCCCCUCACACAAAUGUUACUCUAAUAUCACGUUGAUGUUCGAAUAAAACUUAUAAAAUCAUAUCAUUCUCAUUUAUAUAUGCCCCUCACACAAAUGUUACUCUAAUAUCAACUAUGAUGUUAAUUCGAUUAAAAAUUAUAACUUGUUCUUAUUAAUCUAGGUGAUAUAAAGACUGUUAAUAUCACAAAAAGAAAUUGGCCACCGAGUAUGACGAUGCUUAAUUGCAAUUGUGCUUUAUUUGUUUACCAAUUUAGUAGAAAAUGUUCCCACGGUGUUCCCACGUCGCAGAAAAAACAGAGCAAUUGGGUUUAUCUUUUACUGCUAAAAAUCUGUAUACUCCCAUAAAUUUCAACACUUUAUGUAUUUUAGGCACAACCCAUUUCUCAUACGCCAUUAAAACAAAACCCAGUAGAAUUAAAAAACGUAAACAUAACAGUAAGAAGAGGGCAGAGAGACCUAAAAUAGAAGGAAGAGUGCGAGUAGAAUUCUGGGUUUGUUGACGCUGCUUUGAAGCUCUGCAUUUUUUUUACUGAUUGGGUGGUGAUUCCUUCUGCCUGUAUCACUUUAAAGCAAAGAAAAGGUUAAAAAAGACGAUCUUCAUACAACCUUUUACAGUUGGAGAAGGAAGGAGAGAGAGAACAGGAUCCCGUAGGGAGUUUUCAUUCUAUCGGCAUCGCAAGAUAAUGGGGUUUCAGUUUUGCACGGAAGUUUCUAUCCCUUUUUUUUUUCUUUUUUUUUCUUCUCUUUCUCUAAAAACUGAUUUGCGUCCAACCUGGUUGAAUUUGUGUCUUCCAUGUUUGUUAUUUUACAUUUUAUCUCAUUUUUUUCUAAUUUUUUUCUAAUAAAAUUUUCUAAAAAAAUGAAAUAUAAGUUUCUGACAAAAUUACCCUUAGGGUUUUUAUAUGUAUUUUUUCUGUCAGUUUUGAUUUUUUUUGUUUGGAGGGCUUUUUAGUUCAAAAAUUUUUGGUGAAGCUUUGAGACACUAAACUCUCUUUCUGACUUUCUAAUAUUAAAGAUAAAGAUUAUUAUUUUUUGUCUUGUGGAUAUGUUGAUUUUGAUUUUAAUGCAAGAAGUGAUUUCCGUACAUUAUUUUAUUUUGAUUUUUCAAUCCCAAAAACAGAAAUAGACAUGAGUGUAUAGCAGGAGAAAAUGGUGUGAAAGUAACUUUCCUUUUAUUACUAAAUCCAUCGACUGAAAUUAACUCAGCUAAAUUAUUUCCCCUAAUUACCAACUUUACCAUUCUACAACUAGUAAAUUGCCCUAUUGGAUAAGACUAUCAUCUUCAACUUACUACGUCUCAUAUUCAAACAUGCCCCUUCUUUUUAAUCUAACUUAGAGUAGUAAUAUCAAUUGUAAAAAAAGAAGGAUUAACUCUGCACUUGAGGUCUUGUGUUUGAGCUAGUUCUUUUGAACUAAUCUCUAAUAUUAGAAAAUCAUCAGUCAAUUUUUGUGUCUUAAGCUUCACCAAAAAUUUUAGAACAAAAACACCCAUAAAACAGAAAAAUCCAAAACUAAUCCAAAUUAACACAUCAAACACAACAUGGGUAAUUUUGUAAGAAAAGCAUAACAAAUAAAAGAUAAUAAAAAAAGGAAAAAAAGAAAAUGAAACGUGCAAAACUCUGAUGUCGUGGGACUCAAGAGAAAACCACGAACUGACGGACAAGAAAACUGCCAUGAACCACAACUCCAUGUUGAGCACUGAAGAUUAUGAGGAGGGAAAUCUUUCUUUGCUGUUCCUUCUACUUCGAGUGGUUUGGAAGAAAAAAACAGUUCAUCAAUUUCCUUUUUGUUUUCACUUUCUUCCGUUUUCUAAAGGUUCAUCGGGCCCUCGAUCACUCAUUACGACUAGAUCUGGACGACAUGUGGAGACGAGUGCAGGAUGUUUUCAGUUUACUAUCUACAAUUAGACUUAGUGAGAUUACUCUCUGUGGUUCAUCUUCUACUGAUCUUUAUGUCAGAAAACAAUGCCUUCAAACAUUCGGACUUUUGGUACAAGAAGUUAUUUUCAAAGAUGAAUUUGAUAACUCUCCCAAGCACUGGAGAGUUGAUUGGGAUUUCCCUCUUUUCAAUAUCUAAUUGGGGAUUUUUUGGUAAUCAAAUUUUCAGAGCUUCAUUCUUUCUUGUAUCUAGUUGGGUUUCUUUACCUUUUGUUUUAAUAACUUUUCCGAUCUCUAUUCUUUACAUGGACGUUUUUUCUUUCAACAACUCCUCUGCAAAUUGUUGACUUCCUGAAUGACUUCCAUUAUUGCUUUAUAGGUACUCUUUGUUUCUUUGCAAAUAUACGUAUAUCAUUUCAAACUUUGCAAAUUUUGUGAUGAUACUAUUCGGUAGCUUCUUAAAAUUUUUCUUUUUGUUCUCUAUUUUUCUUUCCCCAAAAGGUGGUUCAAUUACAUAAGUUGUGCAUAUAACUGUCAAUGUGGCUUUUGGAAAGAAAAACACUACAUUUUUAGCAUAUAUAGAACAAAGGGUUAGUUCUGUCAGUUUCUCCAAAACAUAUGUUGAGGGAAAAUGUGACGACCCAUCCUAAUUUUCUUAUGUAAUUUAUCCCCUAGUAUGUGUUGACGGUUAUGCCCUUAGUGGCAAGUGACGUGGACACAUUUAUUUCCCUUAAAUUAUUUAUUUCCUCAUAUCACAUUUAAAUUGUACACACUAGUACGAGUCGGCGUAAAUUUUAAAGUGUAAAAAUAUCUACUUCGGACUUAUUUCGAUCUCUUUUUACUGUAGGAAAUCUGAAAUCCUAUCCUUUGGAUUCCUUUUUAUCCUACCCGUGCACCCCCCAUUAUUCACUCACCCAUCACUCCCUCACCAAUCACAUCUCUUCCCACUUCCCUACACCCAAUCAGAAAAAAUAAAAAAAAAUAAAAUAAAGCAUUCUCUCUCUCUCUCUCUCUCUCUCUCUCUCUCUCUCUCUCUCUCUCUCUCUCUCUCUCUCUCUCUCUCUCUCCCCCUUAUACUCGAUCCUCUAUGUAAAGCCAUGAACGAGCUUCAAAGCUCGUAGAUCAAAUUCACAACGUACACCAUUGUAUUCAUCUCAGUCCCAUGAUCACAACCAUGUCCUUGAAAUCUGAUUUAGAUGAGUUUUGACUCACCAACUCGGAAGGUCCGACUCGGUAAGUCUCGGUUCUACGAUUUUCAUGCCAUUCAUAGCUUAGGUAAGCCUUGAGAAACCCUUAGAACCUUCAUUUCAAUUCUAUGGGUUGAUAUUGAUCUCUUGUUUGUGUUUUGAACGUAUGGUUUUACACAGAAAACUCGAGAAGAGAAAAUUGUACGUUUUUCAGUCAUGGACCGUGACAAUUUGGUCACUUUCAACCCAUUUUUCCAGUCACCCUCAACUUUAGCUGGACUUCUAUUAGGUACAAACUUGUUCUCUACAUUCCUAACUUCAAAAUGGCGUUUGAAUCAUUGAGUUUGGUUAAGUAACGAGUUAGAAAUCAACUCUGGAAGUUAGGAAGAAAUUCCAGUUUUCUAGAAAUCUGCAACCAUGGUCAUUUGGCCAUUUUCAGGCCAAAUUCUUGAACAACACGGACCGUAUUUGAACUUUUUGUGAAAUGGGAUCAAUACACCACAUUCCUAGCUUUAAUUUGGUUGUUGUAGAAGUGUUUUUGGUUGAGAAUCGAGCUCGUUAGGAUCUCUAAAGGUUGGCCAAAAAAUCUGCAAAACUGCAGAAAUUCGCGAGGAAGGCGAGUAUGCCUGUACUCGCAAGCGCGUGACCAGUUUGUGCAGCCCCUUAUGGCUAGGGGUGGAUUUUUUUACCAAAUUGCCGUGCCAACCGAAUUACCAACCGUGCCAUACCGAUUUUGUGCCAAAUUUUUUGUGCCAAUCGGUAAUGGUACGGUAUUGUACCGUACCGAAAUUUCUUGGUACGGUAUUGGUAAUGGAUAUCAUUACCACGGUAUUACCGUACCGAACAUAUAAUAUAAUAUAUAAUUUAUAAAUUAUAUAAUAUAUAAUUAUAUAACACAUAUUUAUAAUAUUCUAAUAAUUUGAUAUGAUGAAAGAGGCUCAACCUCGGUUCAAGAUUCCAAAUAGGAAGAAGAUUGCGGCCAAUGUAUGGGAUUUAUAUGUGUUAGAGAAGUCUAAGUUAUUUGAAGCAAUGCAUAAUCAAAAGGUAAGUAUCACAACCGAUACUUGGACAUCGGUACAAACAUUAACUACAUGGUAGUUACCGCUCACUUCAUGGAUAGUGAAUGAAAGUUGCACAAACGGAUCAUAAACUUCAUAAAGAUCACGGGUCAUAAGGGACAAGACAUUGGGAAAGUUCUAGAGGUGUGUUUGAACCAAUGGAGGAUAUAGAAGAUCUUUAGCAUGGGGGAAACUUCUAUUUGUUUUGGUUCGUAACUUCUAUUUGGAUUGUAAGCUUAAUUUUCAUCAUGAAUCUUGAUGCAUCUUUUGAAUUAUUGUGUGUGUGAAUUGUAAAUGAUGAAUAAUAGAUGAAUUUAGGCUACAAUGUAUGAGAUAAAGGUACAAUAAAAAAGUUUUGCCCUUGAAUUGGGUUAAAAAAGCAAAAAACAAAUUUUGUCCCAAAACAAAGUGGCAAUUACCAUUGCCAUACAAUGCCAACCAAAUAUUUGGCAAUACCGAACUUCGGUAUACCGAAAGUUUGGUAUGGUAAUGGUAAUAGAUUUUACCAAACCGAAAGUUUGGUACGGUAAUUGGUACGAGGGUUUUGGUACGGUAACCGUACCGAACCCACCCCUAGUUAUGGCAGCACGUCCUGCCUCCUGUUGGCGUGUGGUUGACAUGUGUGUGUCCGUGACGUCGAGUAGAUCGAUUUCAUAUAUUUAAACCCUAGGUUUGAGCAAACUAUGGGGUUUUUUAUUUAGGUUUCCGUUAUGUGCUUUAAUUAAUUUUAUUUUAGUUAUUUCACAUAUAGGGGAAACGUAUUACGAGGAUGUUCGAGGUCAAGCUAGGCUCGGGGGUUACGACCCAGCGACGUACUUGUGAGUGGGCAGUUUAUUUUUAUAUCUAUACGUAUUUAUAGUUUCCAAAAUUUCAUAAAUGCAUCACUUUGCGUAUAUAUUGCCAAAUAAUUGACAACUGUGAUAUAAUUGUGAUAAAUGUUGUUAUAUGGUUGAGAUAUUACUGUCAUGGCAUUCAUACAUAAUUGUACAUACUCAUCUUGCUGCACCCCGGUGUUAGUACUCGCCCCAGGGCUAGGGCCAGUCCUUAACAUGUAUGUUCACAUCGCACCGUUCGCUCGCCUUGGAUCCAAGUUAGGUGUCAAUCAUGUCGAGUAGAUUGCAUUAGGCAAUCCGACUUGUAUGUGACUGUGCUUUUGCACCAGCCUUCACGUGAUCGUAAUACUAGAGCAUAUUGAUUACACCCAGUCCUGUUCGUGUCAGAAAUUAUCUAUUUGAACUUGUGUGUGUCAGCUUAGAUGAAUGAGCACUUAGCUAUACUUGAUUAUCACUUGAUUAUAUUAUUGUGACAUUUUAUACGUCAUAACUUGGCAUAUAUUUGGUUAUAACUCUGUUAUAGUAUUGUUGAUUUAUCGUUUACAUACCUAUGUAGUAUGUUUUAAGGAAACUAUACUUGUUUUACGGCGAGGGGUUAAUAUAUUCAAAGAUAAAGCUUUUCUUAUAAGCAUUGUUUUGCUGACCCACUCAACUUUGUUUUUUGCCCCUCCAGGACCUAGAUAGUUGUACUCUUUGUGGCACUCGAGGAAUCUUGGCAGUUCUGACAUUUAUUUCUGUUUAGACGUACGAAUUUAUCACUGUUAUGUAAUAAGUGUACUUUAAUUAUUUUGAUUACUCUUCUGUAGUCUCACUGUCUAUUACACUUUGAAUAAUUGUAGUGGGUUCACCCCACGAUUGCACUUUUUCACUGUUUAGUUCUAAUUAAUUUUAAUUUUAUUCACUUUUUGUAUCGCUUAUUCUUAUGGUUACGUCACCUCAUGGUGAUGGCUAGCAUGCUUCGACCUUUCCAAGCCGGGGUGUGUCAGAAAAUGUAUAAUUCGCAUUUGACACGAAUUUCAUUAUUAAGAUCACUUUCAUCUGUUAAUUUAACUGUUAUAUUAAUUUUUUCUCAUGUUAUCUUUCACAAAAUAUGGAUAAAAACAUGUACGAAAUGUUUUUUGUAGUACAUAUGUCUUUAUGCAUGCACAAAUGUAGAAGAGCUAAAAGAAUCUUUGUAUGUCGUGCGUAACGCGCUAUGAUGUAAAAAAAAGCCUUUCAAAUGCGCAAAGUGUGUGCAGAAAGGCUAGUAUAUUAUUAAGGCUUUAUUUAUAUAUUCUUUUAUAGAGAACUAAUCUCUUAGCUAAGGUUAGGAGAAAAGCCUAUGUAAAUUCAUUAGUUUGAUUUGAUUUGUGCGUUCAACAUUAAAUUCUUAUUAAUGGUUUGUUCAAUUCAAUUUUUACGAGAAAAUGGUGUGUGAAAAUAACUUUCCUUUUAUUACUACAUCUAAAUUUCUAAUGGCUGAAAUUGACUGAGGAAAUUUUUUUUUCCUUAAAUACCAACUUUGCCAUUCUACAACUGGUGAACCACCCUAUUGGAUAACACUUUUGUCCUCAACUCAUUGCGUCUCAUGUUCAAACAUUCUUCUUCUUCCUAAAUAUAACUUAGAGUAGUAAUACUGUUUGUAAAAAAAAAAAAAAAUAUAUAUAUAUAUAUAUAUAUAUAUAUUAUCCUUUUAAAAUUUAAAAAUCAAAUAUAUAGCAUUCCGUCUAUAUGAAUAAAAAACAUUGGUAAGAUAUAUGGUAAAAAGAAGGAUUAACCAUGCACUUGAUGUCUUGUGUUCGAGCUCCUUCUUUCAAACUCAUUAAUUAUUAAGGUUUUAUUUAUGGAUCAUUUUGGUUCCAAUCCCUAAUCAACCUAAUUGUUAGACUGAAAUCUUGUUUGUUUAAAUAUUUUGAUCGAGAUUCUUAGCAUCAUUUAAGAGAUCUAACUCAUGGAUUUAUGCAUUUAAUGUUCCACAAAUUAUGAAAUUUAAAAAAAUCAAAUAAUAUUUUAAAAAUAUAAUAAAUACUUAAAAAUCAAUUUUAGAGAAACAUUGUUCUUCACAAAAAUUAUAGCAAAAAUAAUAAUGUACCCACAUAAUUAUUAAAAUAUUUUAAAAAAUAACUAUUGAUAUAUUUUAAAAUAUAACAUAAAUACAUAUAAUUAGCAUGGUUACAUUUAGCAAAAUAAAAAAUGGGUACAAAUAAAUUAAAAAUAUGGGUACAAAUACAAAUCAAAGUUAUAAAAAAUAUAGGCACACAAAAGAUUUAAUAUAUCGAUUCUAUUGUAGGCCUAUUUGACCGAACUAUAUUUAGGACUAGAGAGGGAGAGAGGCCGACGACAAGAGAGAGAAGAGAGAGAUUUAAUUGUGAUGUGUGUGUUGUAUAACCCCAUUGUGCAUUUAUUUAUAGUAGUGGGAUAUGUUAAAUCCUUACCUUUUUAGACAACUCUAAUAGGAUAUUAACUACUAAAGAGAAUAUUCAAAGAUAUCCCUAGAUACACUAGGAUUUACACAAUCACAUUCCUACUCUAAAUAUGACUGCAACAUUCCCCCUCGAGUGUGUAAAUACUCAAACAAAACAUCGCAUCAUAUCUUCAGCAGAUAAGGUAGAACAGUUGAUGAAGUCGGUGGCACAAUGGGCGAAUGCGAGUCUCAAAUUUAAAGAAAGUAUGCACUGGUAGUAAAACUCACAAAACCUCGCUAUGAUAAAACCUAAGGUAGGUGAAAACCCAUGGAUUAAGGAGAAAAGUGAGAAGUAUGCAUAAUGUCAAAAACAAACAUCAAACAUGAUGAAAGUAGUGAACUCAACGGAGUAUGAUCAUCCCAGGAUGGGCGCCUCAUAAAAAAGAGUACAUUAAGAUCAAGUCGUAUGCUUUAAGAUACUUCCCCUGAAAUAAUUUACGCAUACCGAUUCCUUGGACGAGCUUCUAAAAAGUAGACUUGGGCAAUGACUUGGUAAAAAGAUCAACCAGGUUGUCCUGGGAACAUAUUUGCUUAACUUCAAUGCUCUGAUGCUGUUGUUGCUAGUGAGAAUAAAAGAAUUUUGGCGCUAUGUGCCUGGUGUUGUUUCCCUUGAUGUAUUCUUUCUUUAAUUGCUUGAUAUAUGUUGCAUUUUCUUCAAAGAUCUUCGUAGGAAGGUCAAAGACAGCAGUAAGACCACUAGUGCUUUAAAUAUGUUCCAUGAAUGCUCUCAACCAAAAGCAUUCACACGAUGUUUCAUGCAGGGCAAAGAUUUCAGCAUAGUUCGAAGAAGUCGCAACUAGCGUUUGCUUAGUAGACCUCCAAGAUAUAGCGGUGUCUUCAACGAUAAAAACAUAACCCGUUUGAGAACAUGCCUUAAGUGGGUCAGACAGAUAUCCAGCAUCUGCAUAACCAAUAACCCGGGAAUCAACUUAAGAAUCGAAGGGGACGGCGGCUCCCCUCGAGGAUUCGUGGGUGUAGAACAAGCCCAAAUCUGGCGUACCCUUGAGGUAUCAGAAAAUGUCUUUAACACCAUUCCAGUGUCUUCGUGUGGGCGAAUUGCUAUAUCUAGCCAAAAGUUUAACAGCGAAAGAGAUAUCAGGUCUAGUGCAUUAAGCCAAGUACAAUAAAGCACCAAUUGCACUUAGGUAUGGAACUUCAGGCUCCAAAAUCUCUUCCUCAUCCUCCUUAGGAUGGAAGGGAUCUCAUUUAGCAUUUAGAGUCUGAACGACCAUAAGAGUACUCGAAGGCUUCGUUUUAUCCCCAUUAAAACAUCGCAACACCUUUUGGGUGUAGUUCGAUUGAUGUACUAGGAUUCCAUCUAAACAAUGCUCGAUCUCCAGGCUGAGACAAUAUCGAGUUUUCCUAAGAUCUUUCAUCUCAAAUUUCGAUUUCAAGUGAACAUCAUUUUCUCAAGCUUUACAAAAGAUCCGAUGAGGUUCAUGUCGUCAACAUAAACUACAAUGAUCGCAAAUUCAGAAUGUGACUUCUUUAUAAACACGCAUGGGCAUAAUUCGUUGUUCACAUUACCCUAACUUGUCAAAUAUUCACUCAGACGGUUAUUCCACAUCCGCCCCGAUUGUUUCAAUCCGUAGAGUGAUCACCUUAAUCAAAUAAAGAGAGUGUUCCGUGAUCUAGAACUAUUUAAACCAGUCAAUGGAAGUCAUUUUGGAACUUUCAUGUAGAUUUUCAUAUCUAGAUCCUCAUAAAGAAACACGGUUACCAUGUCCAUAAGCUGCAUAUUCAGUUUUUCAGAAACUACCAAACUAAUAAGGUAGUAGAACUUAUGACGUCCAUUAUAGAGGAAUACGUCUCCUUGUAAUCAAUCACAGGGCGUUGAGAAAAGCCUUAUACUUUCUAUUUCUAGCCCUCUGAAAUUAACAGAUUUAAGGGAGGGACACUACGAGGCGUGCUUUGUAUCGCACUAUUUCAUUUUUUUCAUUAAGCUUCCUCACAAAAACCCAUUUGUAGCCCACAGGCUUCACAUGUGGUAGGGUAGAAGCUAUAGGUCUAAACACCUUAUGUUUCACAAGCAAAUCGAGUUCGACCUGGAUUGCUUGUUUCCAGUUUGACCAAUUCGUUCUACGUCGGCAUUCAUUAACAGAACGUGGUUCAAUGUCAUCGCUAAGCAUGAUGUCAGUAGUUACUGUGUACUCAAAUGCAUCAUCAACAAUCAUCUCAUUCUGAUUCUAAACCUCAUCCAAUAUUGCAUAGUGGACCGAAAUCUCAAGAUUCUCAGGAGGUCGGGCUGUUUUAUCUAAAACAUCACCGUAAUCUAGAAUAACCUCAUGUGUUGGAACAGAUGAGCGAGCGAUGGUCAGAUUCAAACUAGGGUCACUAGUUUAUGCCGUUUUCCUCUUCUGGGGUUGUGAAUCCUUUGAACCAGGGGGUCUGCCAUGCUUUAGGGUAGGAGCGGAUGAUUGGCUAGCCGCCAAUGUACUGGGCCACGUAGAAGUCACGUAAAGGUGCAGCCUCCCCACUUUCGGGGACGGUUCGGUCUUCCCAGGUAGUAUUACAACAUACUUGAGGUUCGUAUAUCCUUUUGUAGUGGGUAUAUGUGAUCUUGUCACCUUUGCUAGAUUAGUAAAAACAUCAUCAAUGAUCAUCUUAUUCUGAUUCCAAACCUCAUCCAAUACUGCACAAUGGACCGAAAUCUCACGAUUCUCGAGGGGUUGGGUUAUCUCAUCUAAGACAUCACUGUAAUCUAGAAUAACCUCAUGUGUUGGAACAUAUGAGUGAGCAAUGGUCGGAUUAUCUUCCCCGGAAGUGGCUUUUGAAGCCUUGGAAAUCGGUAAGGCUUUGGAAAUAGAUAAUAAUAUAUAAUAUAUUUGUUUAAUAAUUGUGGAAAUCCAUCUGACAGAGGGGAGUCAUUAUUAUCUUCCCCGAGAGUGGUUGAAGCCUUGGAAAUCGACAAGCCUUUAUUUCGGGGUUUCUCAUUUCCUCUCUCUUCCAUUCUUCUUCGAUUGCUCCGCCUGAUUCCCCAUAUUCUCUGCCUAAUUUCCAUCUUCUUGCUCUGUAUAAUUUUCCAAAAUUUAAUCAUGAGUCUUGUUAAAUUCCUCAAGCACAACGAAGAAAUCCUCUACGGCGAAGAAAUUUGAAGCUUCCAGGUCAAAGUUCUCGUUUUUUCUUUCUUUCUACAAUUGCACUAUUAUUCUAAUUCCUUAUAUAGAUAUAUCUCACGCUUAUUCUUCCCUCACGCUCUCUUGGUUGCUCUUUUCAAAUUUUAUGUCGUCACCCUCGCGAUGUAGUGAAAUGGUGAAAGUAUAAUAUUUUAACAGAACCAUCGCGGAGGCCGCUUAGCCCGGCACCUAGGUUGCCUAGCAUGCCUAGUCAGCAACCUAGCACGCUUAGUCAGCAGCCUGGCAACGCCUAGUCGGAUCCCUAGCACCGCCUAAUACCCUUGCCGAUUUACUGAACGUUUUUGAAAUAAUCACGGUGGCGGCCUGACGCCCAGUGCCUAAGCAGCCGCCCAUACCGCAUUUUAGAAAACUGGCUGGUCGACACCUGGAAGGUGGCGAAGCCAUAAAGUGUAGUGAUGUGAAAAAUGUGAAUAAAUUUAAACCUACAAGUACCUAAAUAUAAGAGUGCACUAGUCAGCAAGAACCCAUUUUACAAGUGAUGACAGAGUAUACGUAAGAUACAGUAGGUAGGAUAAAGAUUAUACCCUCAAAGGUAGCCACCCAUACUGAGAUUUGCCAAGAAUCCUCGUCGAUACAAAAGUUCAGCAGCUAAGACCUGGAGGGGCAAAAAACAAGGGGUGAGUGGGCCUGAAAAUAGAGUUUUAUAAAAACCUUUCUAAAAACAUUGUAACCGUAGCCUGCAAAAUCUCAAAAAUAUACUUACUACGUAUAGUAUAAAAAUACUUACCGUAGCCUGCAAAAUCUCAAAAAUUCAUUACGGCACAAUAUCUUGUAACUAAGGGCAGGAUAUCCAAAAUCACAAAAUCCUAACAGUAAUAUAAGUAAAAUCAGGUGCUCAAACAAUUUAUGCUAGCACACAAGUCGGAGUUGCCUAAUGCGACCUGCACGACUGAACUAAUGUUCAUCAAUCUAUGCUAGCACAAGAGUCGGAGUUGCCUAAUGUGACCUGUACGACAGAACUAGGUGUAAUCAUAAUAUACGCUUUAGUGCUACAAUCACAUGAAGACUGGCGCUAUUUGCGGUCACCUACGAGUCGGAGUUGCCUAAUGCAACUUGUACGACAGGACUGGCACCUACUUGGAUCCAAGGCGAGUGUGCGGUACGGAGGUGAACAUACACGUGAAAGACUGGCCCUGGCCUUGGGCGAACACUAACACCGGUGUGCAACAAUGAUGAGCAGACUACAUAAAUAUAAGCAUGCCAUAACAAUUCAAUAAUUUUAGUCAACAUAAUAAACUUACAUGCAUAUCCCAUAGGAUUUAGCAUAUCUCAUAAAUUCCGUCAUUUUCACUAAUUCUUAUAAACUUUAGUCUAAUCCAAGUGUAUGUAAGAAAUUCUUGUUUAAAUGCAUAAAUGAAAACUAUCAAUCAUACAUAUAUACUAUAAAAAGGAAAAGACCCACUCAUAGAUCACGUUGUUGAGUCGAACCUACCUCGUAUCAUCGAGAGUCCUUGUGAAGCGUUUCGCCUAAAAACAAAACCAUUUAGGUAAAUAUAACGUAUUAAUGUAAUUACGCGUUUUCGUACAAAGUAUGGCUAAUAAAGGAACUAUCUUAAAAUGGUCGAAUUUCGAAAAAUGGAUGGCGGAUUUGGAAUCAACGAGUUGAAAUACGGUAAGGAGGGUCCCUGGUAAAUUUUGUAAAAAGUCAACGGGAAGGUCGACGGUCAACCCUAAAAAAGGUCAACCGAGGCGUCUCGAUGGUCAACUAUGUUAAAACUUUAAAAUUUCACUAAAUGGAUGUCAAAAACAGACUCGGUGCGUCGAAAUUAGCCUAGGAGGGUUCCCGAGAAAAUUUCAAAAAAUCAACAUAAGGAAUAUUCUUAGAAUAUUCUCAGCCCAUUUAGAAAAUUAGGCUAGGUUAGGAACAUUGGCCCAAGGUUUGGGCUGUUUGGGCUAAGGAUUUGGGCCAACAACUUUGGACCAGUUUUGGGCCUAAGGCCCCUUUUUUUUUUCUUCUUCUUCUUCUUCUCCGACGGGUCGUCGGAUUAUGGGAAAAGUUAGCCGGGAAAAUUCCAAUUGCUCUAACUAAUUCAUCUCUCAACCAAAAUCCAAAAUUCAAAAGUCAAAAUAAAGCUUAGGAGUUAAGGAAUUGAAAUGUACCAAUCCGAGGUUGAGUCGUGACAGGAAAUGGUCCGAAAUGAAUUGCAAUGCCGGAGCUUCGCUGAAAAAUUUGGGGAAGUUUUCCCGACAUGAUUCCUACAUCUAAACACCCAUAAACCGUCUCAAAACAUCCCAAACGUAGUCCUAGUCAUGAUCUACAAAUUUAUAAGAAUGUUUUAGGCCUUACCUUCGUCGGAGACGGCGAGAACUCGCCGGACUCAAUUUUUGCAUAAUGACUGUAUUAUGCGGUGAGGAAGAGUGAGAGAACGAGGGUUUCGAUCUGGGUUAAGUUCGUGGUGGGGAUGCUUAUCGAGUGAUGUUCGCUAGAAAUGACGAGUGGUGGUGGUUUGUUCAAGGUGGUCGCACCCUCUCGGUGCUUGCCGAGGAAGAAGGAAGAGAGAGAGGUGAAAGACAGAUGCGGGAAAGAUAGAGUGAAGAGAGAGAGAGGGUCCCUGAGAUGAGGGAAAUAGGCCACGUGGUGAGAGAUGAGAUGAGAGUUAAGUGAGGCAUAGACCCCACGGGCCAAAAUAAAUUAUACAAUAUUCAAAAUAUCUCCUCAGAAAGUAUUAAAAUAUUAAAAUACCCAAAAAUUCAAAUUUCACAAAACACCUCGAGUUUCGUAGUUCCGUAAAAUAGUAGCUUAUACACGUCACAAAAAGGCGGUCAAUGAAAGUCGACGAUUUCACCUCUAGGCACAUUUUGUCAAUUCACUCUUUUAGAAUUUAUAAAAUCGUAUAAUUAGGGACGGGUUGUCACAAUCUACCCACCUUAAAAAAAAAAAAUUCAUCCCUGAAAUUUGAAAUCAUUUGUUAUUCAAAAAUAGUGAAAAGACAGCAAGAAAAUAAAUAUGUAAAGAAGAUAUCAAGUUACGGUUGCAUAAAAGAGAAUGUCAUUCAACCGUGAUCGAAGUGCAGUGAUUCCUCUUUCAUGCCUCCAAACUCAUACUUUCUUUCUCCUUCAGUACAAUACUAUAAUAUAAUACUUAUUACAUAAACAAUAUGUCUAAAGUAUUUAUAUAUGUAUAAAAACAUCCCGUCAAAAUACAUAUAUAAUAAUGUAAAGUUAAAGUAAUUCUAUUGAAAUUAAAACUGAACAUAGAGUAUUUUUCACCUACGCACUUGAUGCGUUACGUACUCGGAAGGUAAGGAGUGUGUCAUAAUUCAUCAAUUUGAUUCUUGAGAUUUGAAAUUGCUAAAAAUGAUCCUUAAAUAAGGAGUAAAUGAUAAAAAUAACCUCAAUUCAAUAAACAAUGAUCCAUAAUAAUUUGACAAAAAUUGAAGAUAAUUUUGUUUUUCUUACUAAAUGAUCAAAAUAAUUGAUGGUGAAUAAAAUCAGAAAUCUCACUUUGAAGAAACGAAACUUCCGACUUGGUGGGCUGCGACUUUUGACUGAUUGAGAGUCCUCUAUCCACAGCUCCUCUAUCUUCCUCCUAAACCUUUUACCUUUCUUUUUUUCUUCUCCAAAGCUAGCAAGCUGAGAUUUCAACCUCUCCCUCUAAGAGGCAGCGACAUGCUUUUCCAAAUGCAGUCUGCAAUUUAAUCAAACAGCCAUCGAAUUUUCUGGAAUCCGGUCAACGCAGAGAUGCUUCGGAUUUUGACCGGUCAACGCUAGCUGCUUACCUGAGCUCCAACAGACCCAACAGUGAUAACGUCCUCCACCUCUGUUUCUGUUUGGAUGAUUAUGCUGUUUGGCUUCUUUCACCUCCGCAAGCUUGCUGCCAAUGUCGAAGGUAUGUCUCUGUGUGUUAUUGAAUUUGGGAGUGUUUGGUUGUGGGAACUGGAAUGAACUAAUGAAUGAAUGAACGACUGGAAACAUUCCCGAAGAGGUUGGAUCUUUACUUGGCAACCUUGCAAAACUGCGUUUCCUGUAUGAACCCCCAUCCUUUUGUUAGAGAAUAUCUGUCAUCUUUCUUUUUCAUUCGAUAUGCUAAUCUCCAGAGUCCAUUUUUAACAUCAAUUUAGGAAAAUUCUGAAGUUUUAACAUAGUUGACCAUCGUGGCGUUUUUGUUGACUUUUAGGGUUGACCGUUCAAUUUUCGUUGACUUUUUACAAAAUUUGCCCGGGAUCCCUCUUAGCGUAUUUUGAUGCUCUGAUUCCAAAUCUGCACUUCGUUUUCUCAAAUUUGAUCGUUUAAGUUGAGUUUUACUAAUGGGUCCCAAUAUUAUACUUGGGCGCGAUUAGUAUCAGAGAUUUCAACUUUCUUAGCUCAAAAGGAUGUGACAUCGUAAGUACCUGUGAGUGGGUCUUUUCUUAUAUAUAUAUAUAUAUAUGUUAGUUUCCAUUUAUAUAUUUGGUAAAGAAUUUUCUACGUUACACCUAGAUUAGGGUAACGUAUAUAAAAAUUAACGUAUUUACGGAAUUCAUGCAAUUAUACUACAUCUUACAGGAUACACAUGUAUGCGUAUUAGUAUGGAUGCUUUAAUGAUAUUUACGGUUAUGAAUAAUAUUUUGACUAGGGUUAUUGAAUUAUCAAAUUAUCAAUUUACCAUUGCAUGAUCAUAUUUGUGUUAUCUGCUUAUUGUGUGCUGCACUGGUGUUAGUACUUGCCUGAGCGAGGGCUAAUCUUUCAGGUGUAUGUUCAUAUCGCAUCAUAUGCUCACUUUGGAUCCAUUGUAGGUGCCAGUCAUGUCCUAGAUUGCGAUAGGCAAUUAGGACUCGUAUGUGACGCACUUAGCGCCCGUUCACGUGAUUGUAGUACUAGAGCGUGAAUCAUUAUUACAUCUAAUUCUGUUCAUGUCAGAAUACCUCUGCAUGAACUCAUGUGUCAACAUAUGCCAAUAUGGACUCGAUGUGAUAUGUUUAUUUUUGCGAGAUACUGUGAUUACUAGAAAUUAUGUACCUAUUUACAAAUUUUGUGACGUAUUGAAUUCUUGAGAUUUUGCAGGCUACGGUAAGUAUUUUCAUACUAUAUUUUGGAAAUAACCUCAAUUCAAUAAACAAUAGGUCAUAAUAAUUUAACAAAAAUUAAAAAUAAUUUUGUUUUUUGACAAAAUGAUCAAAAUAAUUGAUGAUGAAUAAAAUCAGAAAUCUCAUAACAAAGUUAAGAAUUGCAUAACAAUUUCAAGAAUCAGCUAAAAAGUCAAAAAUAAAUAUAAACAAAUGAAGAAACGAAACUUCCGAUGCGGCGGGCUACAGCUUUGCCUGAUUUUGCUGUUUAUUUUAACGAAAAAUCAUAUUUUUACACUAAAAAGUCAAUCAUGAUACUUUUCACUUUACUCUUUAUUUUAUCAUUAUCGUUAAAACUCAAAAUUUUCAAAUCAUUUUAAUUAGUUUUUCUUUAAAAUAAUUUAUAGUGGAUAAAACCAGAAAUCUCAUUUUGAGUGAGGAGUUGCAUAACAAUUUCAGGAAUCCACUAAAAAGUAAAAAAUAAAUAUAAACAAAAGAAGAAACGAAACUUGCGACGUGGUGGGCUGCGACUUAAGACUGAUUGAGAGUCCUCUAUCCGCAGCUCCUCCGUCUUCCCCCCGAACCUUUUACCUUUCUUUCUUUCUUCUCCAAGACUAGCAAGCUGAGAUUUCAACCCGUCUCUCUAAGAAGCAGCGGCAUGCUUUUCCAAACGCAAUCUGCAAUUUAAUCAAACAGCCACCGAAUUUUCUGGAAUCCGGUCAACGCAGCGAUGCUCCGGAUUUUGAUCGGUCAACGCCAGCUGCUUACCUGAGCUCCAAAAGACCCAACAGUGAUGACGUCCUCCACCUCUGUUUCUGUUUGGCUGAUUCUGCUGUUUGGCUUCUUUCACCUCCACAAGCUUGCUGCCAAUGUCGAAGGUAAUGCUCUGUGUGUUAUUGAAUUUGGGAGUGUUUGGUUGUGGGAACUGGAAUGAACUAAUGAAUGAAUGAAUGACUGGAAACAUUCCCGAAGAGCUUGGGGGUUUGUCGGACUUGGUGAGCUGGAUCAUUACUUGGCAACCUUGCAAAACUGCGUUUCCUGUAUGAACCCCCAUCCUUUUGUUAGAUAAAAUCUGUCGUCUUUCUUUUUCAUUCGAUAUGCUAAUCUACUGUUUUUAAUUGUUCCUUUGGAGUGACUUUCUUCCUUAAAGUCCAUGAUAGCAUUUCGGUUAAACCCAAAAUAUUACUUGGGUUGACUAUGAUCUCCCAAUAUUCUGGUCAAGGCACAAUACAAAACAAGUGAUAAAACAAUACGAAAAAAGAACAAAACAUGGGAAAACACGUAAUUGGAACCUUGAAGGCAAAUAUUCCAUGUGCCGGAUGCAUACAAUUUAAAAUAUGACCCCUGUCUUCAAGAUUCAUAAGAAGGGAACAUCCAAUCAUUGCAAGUCCUGUGGGUUUCAUACACUUUCAUCUCUGUAAGAGGGAGGAAGAGCGAAAAGUUACUAAUUUCUCCGCUAUCAGAGAAUGCUAAUAACAUUUAGUUUUGCCAUGGAAUGCAGGGAUCUUUCAAAUAACAAUCUGACGGGGGAUCUUUUUCACUUUUUACUCCCAUCACAGGUUUGUUCUAAAGUGAAUUACAUGCAGGUUUUUACAACUUAUACUUUUUCACUUUUAACGGGCUGAGCCCAAAUCCUAAACUUAUUACUUUCCAGAUGGCUCUGUUUUGUUCCACUUCCAGCCUCUCCACAUCCAGGUUUUUACAACUUAUACUGUUCUUGUGAUAUUAACUCAAAUUUAUUCUGAGAGCUGGCUCUAUUUUGUUUCACAGACACUUGUGAUAUCAACUCCAGUCCAGUCCUAGUUAAUGUUUUUUUUGGUGUUUUUCUGUUAAAACUUUUCGUAAUACAACAUUAUUGUUGGAAUCACUGCUGUAAAGAUUUUAAGAAGAUGGUAGUUAGGAAAGGAAUAGAUUGAGGGUAUUUAUAUUAUUCUGAUUAGAAAGUUAAGUGAAUUUAUUGUUUUUGAUUUGUAAACAAAUUGCUUACAAAUAAUCAAAUUCUAUUAAACAAAAAUAAUUGCUUACAAUAAAGUAUAACUAUAAAUAUCAUUGUAAAAUGUAUUUUAUAAAUAUUUUUAAUUUAUGUUUUUUAACGAAUUGAGAACGAAUCAAACUGAAUAUCAUAUUGUCUAUGUGUCUUUGGCAAAUGAUACUACAGGUUACUACCGAAUUUCGUACCUUAACCGAAUUGCGAACUCGAACCAUACCCUGUAUGUGGCAACUAUGGGUGCCAAGUACUGGGGCUAUUUCUGGAGGGGGGCUAUUGCUGGAGGGGUUGCUGCUGGUUCUGCUUUCCUGUUUGCUGCACUUGCAAUUGCAUUUGCUUAUUGUCGACGAAGAAAAUCACAGGAUUAUUUCUUUGAUGAACCUGGUUAGUGAACUAUUAAGAGUAAUAUAGCUUGAUCAAGUUGGCAUUGUAUGGGAUGCAGGUUUCACUCAUCUACUGUCUUUGCAGCUGAGAAGGAUCCAGAAGUUCAUUUACGACAGUUCAAAAGGUUCUUUGAGCGAGCUACAAGUUGCGACGGAUACCUUUAGCGACAAAAAUAUUCUUGGUAGUGGUGGAUUUGGUAAGGUUUAUAAAGGACGCUUAGAUGAUGGAACUCUGGUUGCUGUAAAAAGACUUAAAGAGGAGAGAACCCAAGGCGGGGAGCUACAGUUCCAAACAGAAGUUGAAAUGAUUAGCAUGGCUGUCCACCGCAAUCUGCUUCGUGUGCAUGGUUUUUGCACGACACCAACAGAAAGGCUGCUUGUAUAUCCUUUUAUGGCCAAUGGAAGUGUGGCAUCAUGUUUAAGAGGUACUCAUCUAAAUUGUUUGCUGCGUUGAUGAAUCUUUUUGUUUUCAUGACAUUAAAAUUUUUUUGGAUUACAUUGAUAUAAUGAACCUGACCAAUUUGGUUUGGAGUAUGAACACUGAUUUUUUUUUUUUAAUGUUUUUUUUUUCCUUCAAUUUUAAGUUAUCUUCUCGAUGCUGAUUUUAUUUUGUUUAAUUUGAAAAGGAUGACAAGAUGACCCUUUUUUGGGUAGGACGGGUGGUAUGAUAUGUGUUAGACCACAUUACCUGUUGCUUGUAAUUUGAAAUUCUCCUCUCAUAAGUAUGUGGAUAUAUUAUUGUAGAUCGUCCAGAAGGACAACCUGCACUUGAUUGGCCAAUAAGACAACGCAUUGCAUUGGGAUCUGCAAAAGGUCUUGCUUAUUUACAUGAUCACUGUGAUCCAAAAAUUAUUCACCGUGAUGUGAAAGCAGCAAACAUAUUGUUGGAUGUGGAAUUCGAAGCAGUUGUUGGAGACUUUGGGUUGGCUAAACUCAUGGACUACAGGGAUACACAUGUUACCACAGCUGUACGUGGCACAAUUGGUCAUAUAGCACCAGAGUACUUUUCAACUGGAAAAUGUUCCGAGAAAACUGAUGUUUUUGGAUACGGAGUCAUGCUUCUUGAACUCAUCACUGGGCAGAGGGCUUUUGAUCCUCAGCUUGCGAGUCAUGAUGACCCCAUGUUAGUUGAUUGGGUAUGCAUUUACAUCUUUCUGUUUGUGUAUGUAGCUAAUUUAUUGUUAUAUGCAAGAUUAUUAUUUCUUGGGAGCAGCCUCUCCAUAAAUGGGGGUAAGGCUAGCCGACAUUCACCUCUUCCAGACCCUGCGUAAAGCGGGAGCCUUGUGCACUGGGUACGACCUUUAUGCAAGAUUAUUAUUUCCCAACAACAUUUGCAUUUCCUUAGUAAUUAGCUUUUAGAAAAUAAGUUUGGUUUAAUUAGCUUUUAUUAGUUAGAGUUGUGAUUAGCUGUGAAGAUUUGUUUAUCUUUAUUUAUAACAAUCUAAGGUUUAAGCUGUCAGAGUUAAUUUUUGCAUUUCCUUAGUAAUUGUUACCAUUCCUGUUUGAUUAAUGUAAAAAUCACUUGUCUUUUUGGCCCGAAUGUUGAAAACAGUAAGAAUCAUGGAUCAAAGAAAAGAAAUAAUACUUAACUUUUAGAAAAUAACUUUAGUUUAAUUGGCUUUUAUUAGUUAGAGUUACGAUUAAGCUGUGAAGAUAUAUUUAUCUUUAUUUAUGACAAUCUAAGGUUUAAAUUGUCAGAGAUUAAUUAUUACAUUUCCUUGGUAAUUGUUGUUAGUAUUGUUGUUGCUUCUUUUGCCAAUGUAUUGGCCUUGCUGUGAUUUCUUGAAGAAUUUGGCAUGUGUUUUGUAUCGAUCCUAAUUUCCUCAUCAUCUCUUUAUUCUCGCUAUCUUGGCCUCUUGCUUCUUUCUAUUCUCUCUAUUUGCAUCUUUGUCAAUUGUUAUAUUUGAAUGACGAUGCAUUUUUGUAAGCUAUUUGAUUUUCUGGAGAUACUGCGGCCCUUCAAAUUUUGAACAUUACAACACAUUUUCACUCUCCUAGGUGCCCUCACCUUUUGUUUCAAAUUGUAGAACUAUCUGACGUUUUCCGUUUUAUUUUAACUAAAACAAUUAGGUCAAAAGACUACUGAAAGAUCGAAGGUUGGAAACACUUGUUGAUGCUGAUCUAAAUGGUAAUUAUGUUGACGAUCAAGUGGAGCAGCUCAUCCAAGUAGCUCUACUGUGCACACAAGGCACCCCAGGGGAACGACCCAAGAUGUCAGAGGUUGUUCGGAUGCUGGAAGGCAAUGGUUUGGCUGAAAGAUGGGAGGAGUGGCAAAAAGAGUAGGUGUUCCACCAAGAUUUCAACCCUAUUCAUCAUCCAAGUACUAAUUGUAUCAUAGACUCAACUUUUCAUAUUCCUCCUGAUGAGUUGUCCGGUCCCAAAUGAUAUGCUCGUUGGUUCUGUCCCCUGUAUACAUCUAAGAAGCCUUCAGAGGACUGGAGAAUGUCCAUUUCGUAUUUCAGUGAUACCACAUUUGUGCUUAUGUUUUGUCUUUGUUUUCAAUUUUGGUUUUGUCUUGCGUAUUUUUUAGAUCAUAAAAUGGAGCUGAUGCUAUUGUAAUUUGGGAUGUGCUAUCCACACAUCACUUUUUACUUCUCACACACCCCUUGUUAAUUUCUGUCCGUUGAUCUUCUUCAAUUCAUCUGAUCCGACGGCCGAAAACCAAAAAGGUGUGGGAGAAGUAAAAAGGGGUGUGUGGAUAUCACACCCCUUGUAAGUUUUAUAGGGUCAACUGGCAUUACGAAGUUAUAUGGUGCUAGCAGGAAUUAGGAAGGGCCAUAAAAGCACUCAUUCCUGAUGAUUUAUGUAUCUAUCUAGAAAUUAGUCUAAAUUGUCGAGUAAAUAAUCAUUCUAAACUUAUAACCAUCUAUAUAUUUUAGUGUUCCUAUAGAUCCUGUAGAUACGAUAAGGACACUAGGUCAAGUGCAUGGCUGGUUGCGGAUGGAUAGUGUUUGAAAUUUCAUUGUGAUCAUUGCAAGUGCGAAUUUGUGGCACCACCUUUAUAAGUACUUGAACUAAGGCAGUAGGGGAUCAGGAGAUCACUUUGUGUCAUUCCAACACAGGAAUUCGAGCUUUGUCUAAUCUCUUUAGAGUAUCGCCAAUGGGGAUCCCUCUACUAUCUUUGAGGAUUUAUUUAGGACUAGCUGUAGGGUAAGACCUAAACCUAAAUAUUUGAGUUUAAACAAAAUAAAAAUGCAAUCUAAUUGUGGGACUUUUUUGUUUUUUAUGAACAAAAAAAUAUUAUCUGGAUUGAGUUAAGCCUUAUAGUGGGCUAGUAAUGACCUCUCUUACAUGUGAAGAGGAAUACUAUUAAACCGUAGUACUAGGUAAUAUCUAAUGGUUGGACUUAAACCUAAAAGGUUUGGCUUUUGACCAAGCUAAACCCAAAUUUGGGUUUGUAUUUGGCUGACCCAAAUUUUUGGGGGCCCUACCUUUUUUUCUGAAAAGCAACGGGCCAAUGAUUUAUUGAAGUGGCCGCGGCAUAUGGGUUAGGGGUGGUUCGGUAUGGGAUCCCAUACCAAAACACUUGUCCCGAUUCUCAAACCGAAAUUUUCGGGAAUCCCAAUUUCAAUACCGAUCCCAAACCAAAUUUUCGGGAAUCCCAAUUUUUGGGAAUCCCAAAAUAGUUUCGGGAUUUCGGGACAAAUCGGGAAUCCCGAAAUGGUUUUGGGCUUUUGGGCUUUUAGACUAAAAUUUGACAUAUUAUGCUUUUAGGCCCAAUCUGCCAAUUUGUUUCUACAAAUCUGCCAAUCAAAUCUGCCAAUCAAAUGGCAAGGCUUGUUUCUACUAAUCUCUACUUAAUAUUAAUACUAACACUUAGUUUUCAUUUCGAUGCAGAGAGUGAUGGAUCAACUGCAAAAUAGUGAAAGAAAACUAAGAAGCUCAAAACUGUACACAAAAACCAAAAUCAAGCAAAACGAAGAAGCUCAAAACUGAACAUUGCAAAGUAAACGCCAGAAACUGAGCACAGAAACUGAGCAAGCAUGCCAAGAAUCAAAGCAAACCCCACAAGAGUCAAGAAAUGAUAAUUGAGUCAUUCGAAGAGUACCCAGACAAGUUCUGUGCACAAAUUUGACAAUAUGGCUAGCAAAUAGCAAGCAAACAACAAAUAAUUAACAAGAACUAGUAACAGUGAGCAGAAUCAUAAGGUCUGAUUAGCUCACCUUCAUCAAGCACAAUUCCGACGUUCAAUCCCUUGAAAACAUCAGAUUCAGCCAGCUUCUCAGCACCGUCGUGUCCCCCAAUCUCCUCAUCAGGACCAUAUGACAAAUAAACAGACCUUUUGGGCUUAAACCCAGAAGCCUUGAGCCGUCGAAUCGCCUCCAAGUACUGAAUCCCGACGCACUUCAUGUCCUGGGACCCCCUGGCGUAAACGUCGCCGUUCGAGUCCAAGUUGGCCGAGAAAGGGGGGGUGUAACCACUUGUCGUGCUCGGCCGGAACGAUGUCGGUGUGGGAAUUGAGAAGAACAGAGGAGAGAGAGAUGAGAUGAGGGCUUGUCGGCUAGAUGAGGGAGAGAUCAGAGAUGAGAGAUUAGGGCUCGGCUAUUCGAUUUGAUAGAAACAAUGGAACGAAAGUGAAGUUUGUGAAAUGGUAUUCUGACCUAAAAACAUAUGAACGGCAAAGAUUAAAUCCAAAACAAUGAACGGUUGAAAUAAUUCUUUUAUAAUUAAAAGAAAAAAAAAAAAUAUAUAUAUAUAUAAUAUUUAUUUUCGAUUCGGUCUGGGAAUACCGAAAAUUUGAGAUUCAAAACCGAAUCCCAUACCGAAAAUAUCGGUUUGGUUCGGGAUUACAUACCGAAAAUUUCGGGAUUUUUGGUUUGGGAUUUUUUUGGUUUGAGAUCGGGAUUUUUUUGGUUUGGUUUGGGAUUUUUGGGAUUUUUUUCCGGGUUCCUCAUGCCAGCUGCAAAACAAUUUCAGGAAUCAGCUAAAAAGUCAAAAAUAAAUAUAAAUAAAAGAAGAAACGGAACUUCCAACGCGGUGGGCUGCGACUUUGCCUGAUUCUGCUAUUUAUUUUAACGAAAAAUCAUAUUUUUACAUUAAAAAGUCAAUCAUGAUACUUUACCUUUUAUUUUAUUAUUAUCGUUAAAACUCAAAUUUUUCAAACUAUUUUCAUUAAUUUUUCUUUAAAAUAAUUUAUAAUGCAUAAAACCAGAAAUCUCAUUUUGAGUGAGAAGUUGCAUAAACAAUGUCAGGAAUCCGCUGAAAAGUAAAAAAUAAAUAUAAACAAAAGAAGAAACGAAACUUCCGACGCGGUGGGCUGCGACUUAGACUGAUUGAGAGUCAUGUAUCCGCAGCUCCUCCGUCUUCCUCCCAAACCUUUUACCUUUUCUUUCUUUCUUCUCCAAAACUAGCAAUCUGAGAUUUCAACCUCUCUCUCUAAGAAGCAGCGGCAUGCUUUUCCAAACGCAAUCUGCAAUUUAAUCAAACAGCCACCGAAUUUUCUGGAAUCCGGUCAACGCAGCGAUGCUCCGGAUUUUGAUCGGUCAACGCCAGCUGCUUACCUGAGCUCCAAAAGACCCAACAGUGAUGACGUCUUCCACCUCUGUUUCUGUUUGGCUGAUUCUGCUGUUUGGCUUCUUUCACCUCCACAAGCUUGCAGCCAAUGUCGAGGGUAUGUCUCUGUGUGUUAUUGAAUUUGGGAGUGUUUGGUUGUGGGAACUGGAAUGAACUAAUGAAUGAAUGAAUGACUGGAAACAUUCCCGAAGAGCUUGGGGGUUUGUCAGACUUGGUGAGCUUGGAUCUUUACUUGGCAACCUUGCAAAACUGCGUUUCCUGUAUGAACCCCCAUCCUUUUGUUAGAUAAAAUCUAUCGUCAUUCUUUUUUAUUCGAUAUGCUAAUCUGCUGUUUUUAAUUGUUCCAUUGGAGUGACUUUCUUCCUUAAAGUCCUUGUGCCGGAUGCAUAUAAUUUAUAGUAUGAUCCCUGGUUUCAAGAUUCAGUCAUUGCAAGUCCUGUGAGUUUCAUACACUUUCAUCUCAGUAAGAGGGAGGAGAGAGUGAAAAGUUACUAAUUUCUCUGCCAUCAGAGAAUGCAAAUAACAUAUAGUUUUGCCAUGGAAUGCAGGGAUCUUUCAAAUAACAAUCUGACAGGGGAUAUUCCAGUUAAUGGAUCGUUUUCACUUUUUACUCCCAUCAGGUUUGUUGAAGCAACUGUACUCUUUUUCUUUAACUUUAGGGACAAAAAUAACAAUCUGACAGGGGAUACACUUUCAUCUCAGUAAGAGGGAGGAGAGGGUAAUAUAGCUUGAUCAAGUUGGUGUUGUAGUUGUUGUAUGGGAUGCAGGUUUCACUCAUCUACUGUCUUUGCAGCUGAGAAGGAUCCACAAGUUCAUUCACGACAGCUCAAAAACUUUUCUUUGCGCGAGCUACAAGUUGCAACAGAUACCUUUAGCGACAAAAAUAUUAUUGGUAGAGGUGGAUUUGGUAAGGUUUAUAGAGGACGCUUAGCUGAUGGAACUCUGGUUGCUGUAAAAAGACUUACAGAGGAGAGAACCCAAGACGGGGAACUACAGUUUCAAACAGAAGUUGAAAUGAUUAGAAUGGCUGUCCACCACCGCAAUCUGCUUUGUCUCCAUGGUUUUUGCAUGACACCAACAGAAAGGCUGCUUGUAUAUCCUUAUAUGGCUAAUGGAAGUGUGGCAUCUUGUUUAAGAGGUACUCAUCUAAAUUGUUUGCUGCGUUGAUGAAUCUUUUUGUUUUCACGACGUUAAAUUUUUUUUCGAUCACAUUGAUAUAAUGAAUUUAAAAACCUGACCAAUUUGGCUUGGAGUAUCAACACUAAUUUUUUUAAUGUUUUGUUUCCUUCAAUUUUAAUUUACCUUCUCGAUGCUGAUUUUAUUUCUGUUUAAUUUGAAAAGGAUGACAAGAAGACCCUUUUUUUGGGUAGGACGGGUGGUAUGAUAUGUGUUAGACCACAUUACCUGUUGCUUGUAAUUUGAAAUUCUCCUCUCAUAAGUAUGUGGAUAUAUUAUUGUAGGUCGUCCGGAAGGACAACCUGCACUUGAUUGGCCAAUAAGACAACGCAUUGCAUUGGGAUCUGCAAGAGGCCUUGCUUAUUUACAUGAUCACUGUGAUCCAAAAAUUAUUCACCGUGAUGUGAAAGCAGCAAACAUAUUGUUGGAUGAGGAAUUCGAAGCAGUUGUUGGAGACUUUGGGUUGGCUAAACUCAUGGACUACAAGGAUACAUAUGUUACCACACAUGUAUGUGGCACAUUUGGUCAUAUGGCACCGGAGCACUUUUCAACUGGAGUGUCUUCCGAGAAAACUGAUGUUUUUGGAUACGGAGUCAUGCUUCUUGAACUCAUCACUGGGCAGAGGGCUUUCAAUCCUCAUCUUGCGAGUGAUGAUGAUGUCAUGUUAGUUGAUUGGGUAUGCAUUUACGUCUUUCUGUUUGUGUAUGUAGCUAGUUCAUUGUUAUAUGCAAGAUUAUUUCCCAACAACAUUUGCAUUUCCUUAGUAAUUAGCUUUUAGAAAAUAAGUUUGGUUUAAUUAGCUUUUGUUAGUUAGAGUUAUGAUUAGCUGUGUAGAUUUGUUUAUCUUUAUUUAUAACAAUCUAAGGUUUAAACUGUCAGAGAUUAAUUAUUGCAUUUCCUUAGUAAUUGUUACUAUUGUUGUUGCUUCUUUUGCCAAUGUAUUGGCAUUUUGUGAUUUCUUGAAGAAUUUGGCAUAUGUUUUGUGUCGAUCGUAAUUUCCUCAUCAUCUCCUUAUUCUCGCUAUCGUGGCCUCUUGCUUUUUCCUAUUCUCUCUAUUGCAUCUUUGUCUUCUCUUUGCAUGAUAUCAAUAUUUGAAUGACGAAACAUUUUUGUAAGCAGUUCGAUUUUCUGUAGAAAACUGCGGUCCUUCAAAUUUUGAACAUUACAACACGUUUUUGUUCUCCUAGGUUCCCGCACCUUUUGUUUCAAAUUGUAGAACCACCCGACAUUUUCUGUUUUAUUUUUCCUAAAAAAAUUAGGUCAAACGACUACUGAAAGAACGGAGGUUGGAAAGACUUGUUGAUGCUGAUCUAAAUGGAAAUUAUAUUGACGAUCAAGUGGAGCAGCUGAUCCAAGUAGCUCUACUGUGCACACAAGGCUCCCCAGGGGAACGGCCCAAGAUGUCAGAGGUUGUCCGAAUGCUUGAAGGCGAAGGCGAAGGUUUGGCUGAAAGAUGGGAGGAGCGGCAAAACGAGGAGGUGAUCUGCCAAGAUUUCAACACUAUUCAUCAUCCAAGUACUUGGAUCAUAGACUCACCCUCUCCUAAUUUUGUGUUGUACUAUUUCUUUGAGUUUGAAGAAAUGGAUAAAAAGAAUGACAUGUGAUAGAGAGUUCAUCAUAUAACUUCUGACUUUAAGGAUUUUUCAUUUAGUUCUGGUUCAUGUUGCGCAAAUAAUAUUAGGUAACACUGCUACUGGGGCUAUUGCUGGAGGGGUUGCUGUUGGUGCUGCUUUAACGUUUGCUGCAACUGCAAAUACACUUGCUUAUUGGCGACGGAGAAAACCACAGGAUCAUUUCUUUGAUGUACCUGGUUAGUGAACUAUAGGAGUAAUAUAGCUUGAUAAAGGUGGUGUUUUAGUAUGGGAUGCAGGUUUCACUAAUCUACUGUCUUUGCAGCUGAGGAGGAUCCAGAAGUUCUUUUAGGACAGCUCAAAAGGUUUUCUUUGCGCAAACUACAAGUUGCAACGGAUAACUUUAGUAACAAAAAUAUUCUUGGUAGAGGUGGAUUUGGUAAGGUUUAUAAAGGACGCUUAGCUGAUGGAACUCUGGUUGCUGUAAAAAGACUUAAAGAGGCGAGAACCCAAGGUGGGGAGCUGCAGUUUCAAACAGAGGUUGAAAUGAUUAGCAUGGCUGUCCACCGCAAUCUGCUUCGUCUGCAUGGUUUUUGCAUGACACCAACAGAAAGGCUGCUUGUAUAUCCUUAUAUGGCUAAUGGAAGUGUGGCAUCAUGUAUAAGAGGUACUCUUCUAAAUUGUUUGCUGCGUUGAUGAAUCUUUUUGUUUACACAUGGGUAAAUUGCAUUUUACACCCUCAGGUUUGAGUGUAAUUGCAACCUCAUACAACAUUUUAAAACAUUUCAAUUUUAUUUAUUUACUUAUCAUUUUUAGCAAUUUCAUACAUCUGAUAGUCAAACCGUCAGUUUGACUGUUAAGGGAUGACAUGGCAAAUGUGAGGUCUACAUUUUGUUGACGGGGAUGCCAACUAUGAUUCACGUGGAAUAAAAACAAAUAAAAAGGAUUAAUAAAUAGAAAAUUAAUUUUUUUUUAAUUUAAAACUAAAAAAAUAGAAAAGAUUAAAAAAAAAAAAUGGUGUUGUUCAUCCCUAUCCUGCUCUCACCCCGUCCCCGCAUUCUUCAUUUCCCCCCGCCCACCAUCGCCACCUUCCCUUUCCUCAGCCACUGCAAUGAAUAGACCACAUUACCUGUUGCUUGUAAUUUGAAAUUCUCCUCUCAUAAGUAUGUGGAUAUAUUAUUGUAGAUCGUCCCGAAGGACAACCUGCACUUGAUUGGCCAAUAAGACAACGCAUUGCAUUGGAAUCUGCCAGAGGCCUUGCUUAUUUACAUGAUCACUGUGAUCCAAAAAUUAUUCACCGUGAUGUGAAAGCAGCAAACAUAUUGUUGGAUGAGGAAUUCAAAGCAGUUGUUGGAGACUUUGGGUUGGCUAAACUCAUGGACUACAGGGAUACACAUGUUACCACAGCUGUACGUGGCACAAUUGGUCAUAUAGCACCAGAGUACCUUUCAACUGGAAAAUGUUCCGAGAAAACUGAUGUUUUUGCAUACGGAGUCAUGCUUCUUGAACUCAUCACUGGGCAGAGGGCUUUUGAACUUGCUCGGCUUGCGACCAAUGAUGAUGUCAUGUUACUUGAUUGGGUAUGCUUAUACGUGUUUCUGUUUCUGUUUGUUGCUAAUUUUCUGUUUUCCUUAAUAUGUUUCAUAUUUUAUUAAAAAAAAAAGACAUAAUGUUGUUGAAAUUCAACGAUCUAUUGUGUCUCUUUGUCCAAAUCUUGGAAAUUAUGUUUCAAUACUCAUUUUUAAAGAAAUGUUAUAUAAUAUAGUGUGAAUUAGGUGUAUCUCUCGAUACCAAUGUUGCUAUUUAUUUAAGCCAAAAAUAAUGGGUCUCGACACCUAAUCACUUUAUUUCAAACCGCUAAUCUCAUAUGACAUUCUUAAUCAUUGUAUAUGGAACAUUUAAAAACCUAUUACUCAUCAUAGAGCUGCCAAGUUCCUCUCUAAUUAAUGUAAAAAUCACUUAGUCUUUUUUGGCCCGAAUAUUGAAAACAAUUAGAAUCAUGGAUCAAAGAAAAGAACUAAUACUUAACUUUUAGAAAAUAAUUUUAGUUUAAUUACCUUUUAUUAGUUAGACUUACGAUUAAACUGUGAAGAUUUAUUUAUCUUUAUUUAUAACAAUCUAAGAUUUAAAUUGUCAGAGAUUAAUUAUUACAUUUCCUUGGUAAUUGUUGUUAGUAUUGUUGUUGCUUCUUUUGCCAAUGUAUUGGCCUUGCGGUGAUUUCUUGAAGAUUUUGGCAUGUGUUUUGUAUCGAUCCUAAUUUCUUCAUUAUCUCUUUAUUCUCGCUAUCUUGGCCUCUUUCUUCUUUCUAUUCUCUGUUUGCAUCCUUGUCAUAUGUUUGCAUCAUAUCAAUAUUUGAAUGACGAUGCAUUUUUGUAAGCAGUUUGAUUUUAUGGAGAUACUGCAGCCCUUCAAAUUUUGAACAUUACAACACAUUUUCACUCUCCUAGGUGCCCUCACCUUUUGUUUCAAAUUGUAGAACUAUCUGAUUUUUUUCCUUUUUAUUUUAACUAAAAUAAUUAGGUCAAAGGACUACUGAAGGAUCAGAGGUUGGAAACAAUUGUUGAUGCUGAUCUACAUGGAAAUUAUGUUGACGAUCAAGUGGAGCAGCUCAUCCAAGUAGCUCUGCUGUGCACACAAGGCACCCCAGGGGAACGACCCAAGAUGUCAGAGGUUGGCCGGAUGCUGAAAGGUGAUGGUUUGGCUGAAAGAUGGGAGGAGUGGCAAAAAAAGGAGGUGUUCCGCCAAUAUUUCAACCCUAUUCAUCAUCCAAGUACUAAUCGGAUCAUAGACUCAACUUCUCAUGGUCCUCUAGAUGAGUUGUCCGGUCCUAGAUGAUAUGCUCGUUGGUUCCGUCCCCUUGUAUACAUGUAAGAAGCCUCAGAGGACUAGAGAAGGUCCAUUUUGUAUUUCAGUGAUACCACAUUUGUGCGAAUGUUUUGUCUUUGUUUUCGAUUUUGUUUUUGUGUCGCUUAUUUUUAAGAUCACAAAAAUGGAGCUGGUGCUGUUGUAAUUUUUAUAGGGUUAACUGGCAUUACGAAGUUAUAUUGUGCUAGCAGGAAUCAGGAAGGUCCAUAAAAGCACCCAUUCCUAAUGAUUUAUGUAUCUUUCCAACAAUUAGUCCAGAUUGUCGAGUAAAUAAUCUUUCUGAACUUAUAACUAUCUAUAUUUUUUAGUGUUCUUAUAGAUCCUAUAGAUACAUCCUAUAGAUACGAUAAGGGCAUUAGGUCAAGUGCAUGGGUGCUUGUGGACGGAUAGUGUUUGAAAUUUCAUUGUGAUCAUUGCAAGUGCAACUUUGUGGCGCUACCCUUAUAAGCACUUGAACUAAGGCAUUAGGGGAUCUAGAGAUCACUUUGUGUCACUCCAACAUGGGAAUUCGAGUUGUCUAUCCUCUUUAGAGAAUCGCCAAUGGAGACCCAAACCUAAAUAUUUGGGUUUAAACAAAAUAAAAAUGGAAUCUAACGGUGGGACUUUUUUUGUUUUUUUGAACAAAAAAUAUUAUCUACAUUAAAGGGGUAGGGGAUUAUGUUAAUCCUUAUAGUGAACAAAAAAUUACUAUUUAAUAUUUUAUAUAUUUAUUCAAAAUUUUAUAUUAUUAUAUCACUAUUUUAAUAUUUUCUUUGUGAUAUAUUUUUAUUUUUUUAUUAAUAUUUUCGGCCUGUGGGGUCCACAAUCACCCAGGCUCUUCUCUCAUUUUCUGCCAUGUGUUUUGUCUCCUCCCUCACUCCACCUCUCCCUCUCUCCCAUAAGACUCAUUUCCUCUCUCCUUCGGUGAAACCCAAUGACGCCGAAACCACCACCACCUUGCCGAUGCGACUCCAGCGGGUUACUCCACUUGAUGACCCAGGCUAGCACCACCUUCGUCAUUUUCUCCCCCUAUGUCGAACCAGCACCACUCACUUUCUUCCCCGAGGCCAUUGUUCACAUUUUUCUUUUUCGACAACAUUCAUGGCGAGUUCUCGUCGUUCAUGACAAAGGUAAGGUUCGAAAACCCUCAACAUCUUCGUAGAUUGUGUUUAUGAGUAUGACGAGGAUGUUCUUAAGAUGUUUUAGUGCUGGUUUGACGUAGAAAUACCCCAAGAGUAACAAACCCAGUGUUCCGGCAGAGAUCUGGCGGCUUUCGAGCCAUUUUUUGGCCAACUCCGGCCAAGACCAAGGAAACCAAAGGUAUAUUCCAAUUCCUUGAUCCGAAUCUGAACUCGGGAUCCGGCCCGAUCUGUUCUAAAUUGUAUAUGAAAUAUUCCAGAAUAUUCCCUGUGUUGACUUUUAAGAAAUUUUCUCAGAAACCCUCAUAGGCUAAUUUUGACGUCCCAAGUCCAUUUUUGACAUCUAUUUAGGAAAAUCAUGAAGUUUUAACAUAGUUGACCACCAAGGCGUCUCGUUGACAUUUUAGGGUUGACCGUUCACAUUUCGUUGACUUUUUACAAAAUUUGCAUUUAACCCCUCUUAGCGUAUUUCGACACUCUGAUUCUAAAUUCGCACUCCGUUUUCUCAAAUUUGAUCGUUUAAGUUGAGUUUUACUAAUGAGUCCUAAUAUUAUACUUUGGUGCGAUUACUAUCGGAGACUCCGACUUUCUUAGCUUGAAAGGAUGUGACAUCGCAGGUACUUGUGAGUGGGUCUUUUCUUUUAUAUAGUGUGUAUAUAUAUAUAUAUAUAUAUAUAUAUAUUUGUUAGUUUCCAUUUAUAUAUUUGGUAAAGAAUUUUCUAAGUUACACCUAUAUUAGGGUAACGUAUAUAAAAAUUAACGUAUUGACAGAAUUCAUGUAAUUAUACUACGUUCUAUGGGAUACACAGGUAUGCGUAUUAGUAUGGAUGCUUUAAUGGUAUUUACGGUUAUGAAUAAUAUUCCAUUGACUAGGGUUAUUGAAUUAUCGCAUUAUCAAUUUACCAUUGCAUGAUCAUAUUUGUGUUAUUUACUCAUCGUGUGCUGCACUGGUGUUAGUACUUGCCCAGGCCAGGGCCAAUCUUUCACGUGUAUGUUCACAUCGCACUGUACGCUUAGUUUGGAUCCAUUGUAGGUGUAAUCCUAUCCUAGAUUGCGAUAGGCAAUUAGGACUCAUAUGUGAGGCACUUAGCGCUAGCCUUCACGUGAUUGUAGUACUAGAGCGUAAAUCAUUGCUUACACCCAGUCAUGUUCAUGUCAGAAUACCUCUGCAUGAACUCGUGUAUCAGCAUAUGUCAAUGAGCACUCGAUGUGAUAUGUUUAUUUCUGCGAGAUAUUGUGAUUACUAUAAGUUAUGUACCUAUUUAUGAAUUUUGUGACGUAUUGAAUUCUUAAGAUUUUGCAGGCUACAGUAAGUAUUUUCAUACUAUACGUAGUAUGUAAAUUUUGGAAACUAUACUUGUUUUACGAUAAGGGGUUAUAAUGUUUUCAAAAAGCUUUUUAUAAAACUUUAUUUUAGGCCCACUCACCCUUGUUUUUCUCCCCUCUAAGAUUUAGUGGCAAUGUUCGUGUCGACAAGGAUUUCUAGCAAACGCUGAUAUCAGAGACUACUUCUGAUGGUAUAAUUCUCAAUCUACUCUAUUGUACUUUACUUAUACUCUGACAUCACAUGUGAACUAGGUUGAUUCCCGCUCACUAACGCACUCUUAUACUUAGGCACUUUUAGAUUUAAAUUUAUUUCCAUUUUCCAAAUCACUAUAUUUUAUGGCUUCGUCACUCUCCUGGUGUCGACCAGCACACCUCGAUUCGGAGCCUAAGUAGGCAUUCCGGGUCAGGGUGUGUCAGUUUGGUAUCAGAGCAUAAGUUUGGUCAGCAUUGCGUUCAUCACACGCGUGCUGUAAGCAUUCUUGGUUCUUGAACCUAAUUGUCGAAUCUUGUCACCUCGUCGAAUACAAAAAAUGUGUUAGCUUUUCUUGAGUUAUGGGUUACUUAGACGACUUAUUGACAUGUUAGAAGAAUACUUUGGCGACCACCUCUAAACUUUAAGCGAAGGAUUUUCCUGCCAAGGAAAUAUGUAGAUUUGAGACAAGUUGAUGGCCCUGAAGCAGGGCUACUAUAUCGAUAGUUGUGCAUCACGAGAGAUUUACCAACCAAAUCCACUACCAUCUGGUCAUUUCUACCAACCCUUUUAAGUUAGAAAACCAUAAACAGUUUUGAUUCCUUGGCAUUACCCGUUAGUAUACCACAUAUCAGAAUUCCUGUGAAGUUUUAGUUUUUGUCAAAAUUUCCAAAAAUGUCCCGAAUGACAAUGUGGUGCUAAAAGGGUAGCAUUCGACAGAAGAACAUCUAGGGGAUAAUCACUUUUGUUCCCUGAUAACACUAAUCUUCUUAAGCGCACUGGUUAUCAUUUCGGAUCCUCAGGAGGAAGAUCGAUUUCCAUUUAGGUUAUUAACAAAUUUCUUUUCCGGUGUGGACCCCACCAUUGACAUUUGGUCAACAGGUCUUGAACCAUUUGAAUUACUAAAAUUAGUAUUACUAGAGACUCAGUGAAGCUUUGCUGACUUGUCUCGGUGAGUGACUUUAAUAUAUGUGAUAUGGUGAUUACCCGAUUCUUUAUAUUACUAUCCUUUGUGGAUAUGACAUGGUUUUAUAAAUGUGUUUUCUGUUAAAAUGUGAUUCUUUUAUAAUUGGCCAUCGAUCUAUUUUUAUUAAAUGUGAUUUGAUUCAUGGAUUGGUAAUAUUUGUGAAAAAGUGAUUCGAAUUGCAUAUUGAAAUGUUUUGUAAAUUGAGGGCUAGUAGAGGACUAUGACCCUGCUUGGUUAAUCCGCAUUGGGGGGUCAUUAGUGGUCCUGCUUGGUUAAUCCGCAUUGAGGGACCAUACUAUAUAUGGAUCGUGCUUGGUUAAUCUGCGUUGGGCGAUCCUUAUGGCCAUUUAUACUUAGGGGUGAUCAUGCUUGAUUAAUCCGCUUGGUUAAUUCGCAUUGGGGGGGGGGUGAUGAGUUCAUAUUAUACUAUAUAUUUCACCCUAUUCUUAGUAUUAAUUUAUUGAUUAUUUUGGUAGAAUUUUGAUACUUUGUUUUAUAUUUUCAACAUAGGAUAUUCAAUUUCCUCUGGAACAAAACUUGACCAAAUGGACGAAAUUUCGAGUGAUUCAAAUUGGAGGACGUUCGUGUGUUGUUUGUGUCAAAAUAUCAGAAAUUUCUACCAAGCGGUUAUUUUCUGGAGAUUAAAUGAAGGAGCAGUGCGCAUUGCUGGAAAGUGACAUUUCUGGGCUUAAACUACAUUUUUGGAGCCCGAGAUGACUUCGGCUGGAGAAGUGUUCAGAAUAGUCCAAACUUUAGAUCCAGCUAUUUUGGGCCAGUUUAGGAUUAUAUUUCCUAUUUUAUUUCUAUUUAUUACGUUUCCUGGUUUUAUUCUAAGACCUUUUAGGGUUUUAUUUUGUAUUAGUAUAAAUAAGGCUUUUUAGCCAUUAGGUUAAGAAAUAGGGGAGAGAACGCACACAUUUUGGCUUUAGAGAGCUUUUGACGAAUCAAGUGUAUUUUCAAGGUGUUUUCUAUCCAUGUUUUUAAUAAUAUUUUAUUUUAUGAUUGUUUGUAAUUAGUUUUGUUUGCUAGGGUGAGGCCACGAGCCUUAGCAAAAAUAUGUAUUUUUUUUUUCAAUUUGCUUAUAAUAUUAUGCAUGCAAGUUUUGAAUUAUUAACCACUGUGCUUUAAACUAUCUAGUUGUCUUGAUGAUUGGCCACCAUUAGGAUAUUUAGAAAAGUAAUUUGAUGCAAUUUUGGUGGAGGGCUGUCCCUGGAAUUGGCGUUGGCUUCUUGUGGUUAAUAUGUGUAACCUCUUAGGAUGGACGACAUGUUUUAAGGGUUAUAUGGUUUUUCAAAAGGUUUUCACAAAACUUAAUGAGUCUUGCAUGUUCACAUUCGAUCUGGACGCCACAGACGGGUUUCAAGUAGGGCAUACUUUAGGAAAACCUAACCUUCAAAAUAUGCAUGGGUAAUUCAUAAGUAAUUGAAAGAACUACGUAGAAUUGUUAAGGUGACAACGGAACCCUAGUGCUCAAAUUUAUUUUCAAAACUAUUUUCUUUUGUUUUUUUUUAUUACUUUGCCAAUUUAUUUAAUUUUUUUUAAUAAAAUUCAUUUUUAAUAUUUUAGGUCAUAAAAUCAACCUCUUCUAAAUUUUGUUUUCAAAUCAUUAAUUAAGAUUUGGUUUUAACAUAAAUUAUUCAUUCAAUCCCUGUGGAGAUCGACCUUACUUGAGCUGCUAUACUAUGACAACCUUGUACUCUUGCAAGUAUUUUUAAAUGUUUUUAUCUCUAAUUUUGCAGGUGGUAAAAAUCCCUACCAGAGGGUCACUAGUGGUCUUGCUUGGUUAAUCCACAUUAGGGGACCAUACUAUAUGUAAAUCGUGCUUGGUUAAUCCACGUUAGGCGAUCCUUAUGGCCAUGUAUGCUUAGGAGUGAUCAUGCUUGGUUAAUCCGCAUUGGAUGAUCACUUCCUAACAGCUGUAGGAGUGACUCUGCUUGGUUAAUCCGCUUUGGGGGGGUCACUGCCUACUUGGUUACUUUCUCAUGGGUGGCUUUGCUUGGUUAAUCUGUUUUGGGAGGCCACUUCGUGUUUGGUUACUUAUGUAGGCUUCUGCCGAACUGCGUCCCUCUAGCCCUAGUUUUUAAUGUACAUAUGAACGAUGGUUUUUGAGAAUCUUGGUGGUUUGAAUGGGAAAAGCCAUUGGAUGUUUGGGUGACUCAUUCGGAGUUGUUAGAGACUUGACUAUGUUUUCAUAUUUACAAACUUAUAUUUGAGGUUUAUAAACUGUGAUUGAUGGUCUUUCUUUUUAUUGAUUAUCACAUACUUGUAUUAUUGUCACUCACCCGAUUUUACAUAUGACAGGCCUGGGUAGAUUAUGAGAAACCGCUUGAUAUUUUGGUUUCAUUGAGUAAUCCGGAACCCGGUGUCGUUGGAUUCCGUUGAGUGAUUCGAAAUCCUUGUUCUCGCUCAUUCCCAUAAGGUUAGUCUAGAACCCUAGAUUUGAGUGAAUGAAAAUUACCCACAAUAGACCUUGUGAAUAUGAAAUAGAUUUACCAUGUUAUUACUGAUAAUCCAAGUAGAAAAUUAUAUAGAGUUCCUUGGUUAAAUUUGUGAAAUGAUAUGUUAUUGCAUUCAUUGAUUAGCAUAUUUAAAUGCUAAGAUCAUGUAUCUUUGAUUCAUGAAUUGAUUGAUUGACGGAAUUGUGGAAUGACUUGGUUAUGGUUGUUAUUAUUUUGAUUAUUUUAGUUGAUCAAUGUGGCUUGAGAAUAAUAUGUGCUUCGUUGGUUAUUUGAUAUGUUACAUGUUGUGGAUGGAAGUAUCGUGCUGAAAACAUAGAAUUUAUAUGAUGGAUGGAAUGAGAAUCUUGAACGGCAUGUUGGUUUGUUUUGUAGCCAUGAACUUGGUAAUGUCAUGCAUGUCAAGUUCUAAUAAUUGAUUACAGAAUGCUAUGUAUUCCUAUUAGAACGCACUGGAAUAAAUGUCUAAAUUAGUGAACGAUGAACUACGAACGGCUUGAUCCCUAAUGAGGGUACGUAGGCAAUCUAACGAGGAGGUUAGAUGCAGCCAUAAAGUAUACGAAAAAUUACUAUGCGAUUCAAUUCUCAAGUUGUGAUUUGCCAUAUCCCGGAGGCGGGGUAUGUUGAGAUACGGGUAUUUGGUGACGUCACAUGUCGAUCCUGAACAUAUGUUGGGAUCGGGGCGUGACAUUUUUGAUCACUUCCAUAGGUAGACAGUAGAAUCAAAGUACGAGUUAAUUUCUUGCUAUUAAAGUGAAUUGAGUAUCGAGAAAACUAUGAAGACCUUUUAGUUCAUGUCGUAGAGUUGGGAAGUAGUAUUGUACGUUUUGAUGACGUAUAUCCAAGUGUCUAUUUCAAAAAUUUACCUGAGAUAUCACCAAAUUGUGAAGUAAGAUACACUAUCAACCUAUUUUCUAAUACGACACCUAUUAUCCUUGCAUCUUAUCGAACGACUCCUUUGACUUGAGAAACUUAGUUACAAAAGCUUAUCGAUUAGGAAUUCACCCAACCAAACACUUUAUCUAGGGAACCCUAAACCUAUCCAAGAAGACAAUAGGUUGAACCUUAAAACUGUAUCUAGAUUUUAGCAACUCUAUCGAGUGACAUUUAACUCCGUUAUACCAUACUUUGAAUUUAUGGUCUAUCCAACCAACCUCUGAGCCCAAGUUUUCUUCCGUAGCUUGUCAAAUUCGUAGUGGUUUUACCGAUGACUUUCUCACCUACCGUAGCAACGGGAGCAAAUUUUCUAAACACUGACAGUCAGCUUUAUACCAAAUUCCUCAAAUAUUACCUUUGUUUUAGAUUUCUUGGGAGACGUGAUCUCAACAGAGACGUUCUUGUCAAUUUCCAAAAAGGUUGCACAUGAAGAAGAUUUCAUAUUCCACAAAUCGUUGUGAAUAAUGCGAUAUCCUUGGCCUUGUUGGUUAUAUCGACAUUUCGUUAGUAACUUUUCAGCAGUGGUGUUUUUCCUUGCAAGUUGACCGAGGAAAAUCAGUUUAACUGAGAUGUGGAAUAUGAUUACAGUUGUGACAACUGAGGUGUUGUCUAUUUCUUACCCUUGUUCGUACACCUUUCGAUAACAUUGAAUGAUUUGGCUGCAUACUGAUAGAAUAUGACGAAGUAUUGCUUAUGUUUCCCAACGGUUGAAACCAUAUAAAGUGAACUAACUUACUAUUGACCUAGAGUCAACAAUUACCAUCUUUCCUUGAAACUGGAUGACACUUCUCUAUGGAGAAUCUUGUCCAAAAUCUGUACCAACCUUAGACUUCUCAAAUACAUCUUCAUUUGUAAUGAGCUAAAUUUCUGACAGUAGUGAUGGACGAACUAAAUCAACGUUUACGAUUACACUAUCGUGUAUUACCCUGGUUGUGUAAACGUAAUUACUGUUCACCGUAGUAAAAGAUGUAUCUACCCUUGAACAUUUUCAACCUGUCCUAUUCCAACUCAUUUGGAAUUCAUGAGUAUUGUUAUGACGUGACUUACGAAUCCUCAAGAAAUCGUUCGAGUGGUUAUAAUCACUUACUGUAUUUGAAUAGAGAUGAGAAAUAUCACCAUAAGUUCCUAGUACGAGGUAUUUUGUACAUGUGGAUAUUAUGAUAAUGUUUCGAUGAUUAUCUAUCAACUUGACAAGUCAGCUCACCUUCUGUUGGUCGAGAAGAACUACAUUUUAGACCACUUAUCAAAAUUUCUCAUUCUUGAACUUAUUAGACUUUUUGACGUUUUGAUCAGCAUCUAAUCUAACUGUGAUUCCCUAUUCACCAUCUUGGGCUGGAAAGCAUUCCAAUCAACCUUAGGUACGUCUUACCCUACAACACUUUGUAUUAUUUCUUAAGCAAAUAGAUUGUUUAGAUGAACCGCUGACAUUGAAGUUUUAGUUAUGACCAUUAACUCCUCAAUCACCUAACAAAUACUUUACUGAACGAAUCUUUACCAUUAGUGAUUGAAUAUUCUGAAAGCUACCGUUGUAGUGAGAUAUUAUGCAUUCAAUCCAGCCAUCUUGUACUCUAGAUUCGAUGAACUUGUUUUGACCCUCAAAUUCUUGAGUGUUCAUUUAGCCUUUUCGGCGUAAUGUUUCACUAAACCCGAGUGGAAAUUCAUAAUGAAUCUACUUGCUGAGGCAUAUGUGAAUUACAGUGUUUGGUUGCAUAGUGUGCAUGACACUACUGUAUCUUAUUAUGAUGCGCAUUUCGCUUCCAAGUUUUGGGAAGCCUUCUUGAAGGCCAUGCGUAUUAAGUUUUGUCACAUACCACAUUUCACCCUCAGACUAACGGUCAGUCUGAAUGAACUAUUCAGACCUUAGAUAACAUAUUUCUUUUGUAUGUUUUAUAGUUUUAACUGGUUAUGUUAGACACCUAUCUUUGCUUAUGUUGCGUACGACGAUAGUUAUUAUUAUGGUUUGGCUAUAGUAUUGUUUAAGCUGUGAUAUAGAGAUUUUACGCACGGAACAUGUUUGACAGACGAGUAUUGCGAACAAGUAUUCGAAUGAUCAGGAUUAAGAUGUAGCAAACUAUGAGAUAUUGACGAUGUCGCCGAAGAGGGUCAUGCGUGAAUGCAAUCAAGGCGUUAAUCAGAUGAUUUAUGUGUAUUUCCCAAUGAGGGGCAAGAUGGUAAUAUUGCACCCUCAUGAAUUAUUUGCUUGGUUAUUGUGACAACACCGUAAUAUUGAUAACUUAUUUAUUGUUUGGACUUGACCCAAAGAUACUACACUUAUUCUCGGAUUACGUGACGCUACAAGUGCAUAGGUGACAUUUUUCUAUGUUCAGUUUUGAUUUCAGUACAACUAUCUUGAUUCUACGUUAUUGUGUAUAUGUAUUUUAAUUUGACGUUAUGUUUAUAUAUAUAUUACCUUAUGUUUUUAUAAAAUAUAAUAUUAUAGUAUUGUGCUGAAGGAGAAGGAAAGUAUGAGUUUGGAGCCAUAAAAUAGGAAUCAUUGCACACCUAUCGCGACAGAAUGACAUUCUCUUUUAUGCAACCGCUCUAGCUUGAAUUCUUCUUUAUAUAUUUUCCUUCUGUCUUGAGUAUUUUAUGUUUAGCAACUUAUUUCAAAUUUUGGGGACAAAAUUUUUUUUAAGGGGUGUAUAUUGUGACAACUCGUCCCUACUUUUAUGAUUUUAUUAAUUUUAAAAGCGUGAAUUGGCAAAAAUGCUCUAGCUUGAAUUCUUCUUUAUAUAUUUUCCUUAUGUCUUGAGUAUUUUAUUUUUAGCAACUUAUUUCAAAUUUUGGGGACAAAAUUUUUUUUUAAGGUGGGUAGAUUGUGACAACCCGUCCCUACUUUUAUGAUUUAAUUAAUUUUAAAAGCGUAAAUUGACGAAAAUGCCCAAGAGGCGAGAUUAUUGACUUUCGUUGAUCGUUGUUUGUGACACGUAUGAGUUAUUACUUUACCGUACCCUUGAAGUACUCGAUGGUAAAAACGCAUAGGCGCAAGCGGAAUCGAAUUUGGAGCAACGAUGAAAAUUUUAUUGAACAAUGAAUCCGAAAAAUACUUUUGUAAAAAUUACUAUUUUAUAUUUUAUAUAUUUAUUCAAAAUUUUAUAUUAUUAUAUCACUAUUUUAAUAUAUUUCUAUGGGAUAUUUUUUAUUAUUUUAUUAAUAUUUUCGGCCCAUGGGGCCCACACUCACCCAAGCUCUCAUCUCAUUUUCUGCCAUGUGUUUUGUCUCCUCCUUCUGUCCUGUAAGACUCCCCUUUUUCUCUCCCUUGGUGAAACCUAGUGACACUGGAACCACCACCACCACCACCACCUUGCCGUUGCGACUCCGGCGAGUUACUCCACUCGAUGACCCAGGUUGGCACCACCUUCGUCGUUUUCUCCCCCCUCCAUGUCGAACGAGCACCACUCAUUUUCUUCCCCAAGGCCACUGUUCACGUUUUUCUUUUCUGACGACAUUCAUAGCAAGUUCUCGCUGUUCAUGACGAAGGUAAGGUUCGAAAACCCUCAAUAUCUUUGAACACCCUCAAUAUCUUCGUAAAUCCCGUCCCUGAUUUUCACUAUUGCAAAUUACGUAUGUGUAUUAAGGAGUUAUUAUAUUAUUUUUGGAAUUUAUAUUAAUUGUAGAGUGUUGAGAUUGUGUAUUCAAAAGAUAUCAAUGUGAAAAAGCUACAAUUAAAAAGUUGCCCUUAAUUAAUUAAGGAGAGGAAAAAAAAGGGAACUUUAACGAAAAGCUCCCGGUACUGUUCAUUUUAACGAAAAACCACAUUUUUACACUAAAAAGUCAAUCCUGGUACUAUUCACUUUACCCUUUAUUUUGUCCUUAUCGUUAAAACUCAAAGUUUUCAAGCCCUUUUCAUUAGUUUUCCUAAAAAAAAAAGAAAAGGAAUUUGGGGAGAGAAAUGAAGGAGGCUUGGCCAACGGGAAGGCGGGAGAGAAAGAAGGCUGCCAAUGAGAAAAAAGGAAAGGAGGAGGAAAGAGGGGAGGGGAGGGACACCAGAUUCCCUGCCCAAUUGUCUUUUCCGACCUGAACGCGUCAUUGCUACCACUUCCGACGGGUUUUCCGUCCAUUUUUUGGCGAUCCACCAUUUUUGAAAUAAUGUUCUUCAAUUACCACCACAAAGACACUCAUCUAGAGGUCAGGAAAAAAGCCCAAGCAAGAUUGGGGGUGUUGGAGUUCGAAUUGAGGACGAAUCAAAUGACACCCAUUUCAAGGGUUCCGGCGGAUCGAGGCAAAAUUGAAGGGUUCCCCGGCAAAAUUGGACCUCGGCCCAGGUAUGAAAAUUUCUCCCCGCACUGAUAUCUACAUGCCUGUAAAGUUUGGUAAUUUUUGGAAAUAGUUGAAUUUUCGGCAAGUCGGGGCUGCCGACCGCCACCCGCGGCGGCGGCCUGCCCAGUGGGCCGACGAUGUCCUUUUAAGUUCAAAUAGAUGCCUUGAUUUCAUAAUUGAUAUCCGUAUGACGUAAUUUGAUUGUUUGGACUUAGUUUCAUUACGAUACCUCAUGUUGAUGCACAAAACCGGAGGUUUUGGGACAAUAUAAAUCCGAUCGUGAAUCUGCAAGUAAUGUAAGUAACACAAGAUGUAUCGUGGUUCACCCCAAUGUUUGGGCUACGUCCACACUGAUUAUUGAAUUUCUUUAAGAUGCUGAAGAGGGAGAAAGAGAGUUUCUCUGUGAGGAUGAGAGCUCUGAGAGGGUGAAGGUACGGCCUAAGAAAUGGCCUCCCUUCAUGAAGAGAGUGAGGGGUCCUUUUAUAGAAUAAGGGCUCCUCACUUAUUACAUAUUUGCCCUUUAUUUAUUACAUAAUUACAUUUGAGUCCCCCGAGUAUUUAUACGAGAUCUAAAAACGGAGGCCCUAAGUAUGGUAUAAACAGUAAUCCCCCAAGUCUUCAGUCAAGAUAGUCUUUUGGCUGGAGACUUGAAAUUCAGUCCAUGUGUGGACCAAAGUAACUAGACAUCGUCUAGGACUGAUACUCGAUAUGAGGCGGUGCUCAAUCUGAAAUGAUGCUCAACUAGAAGUAGCACAUGUUGCGAGGCUGCUUGGCUUGUGGCUUAUGUUGUCUUGGUUGGCUUGGCUUGUGGCAUUGAAGGUAAGGGAGUCCCUUUUAUAGAAUAAGGGCUCGCUCCUCAAUACAUGAAUGAUAGGCUAGAGUUGAUGCUCGCGGCGAGGGCAUUGCUCAGCUGGCGACGAUGCUCUCUAAUGAUGGUGAGGGAGUCUCUUUUAUAGAAUAAGGGCUCGCUCCUCAAUACAUAAGUGAUGAGUUAGGAGUGAUGUUCCCGGCGAGGCGAUUGCUCAGCUGGCGGCGAUGCUCUCUAAUAAAGGUGAGGGAGUCCCUUUUAUAAAAUAAGGGUUCGCUCCUCAGUACAUGAAUAAUGGGUGCUUUCUAAUGAAAGUGAGGGAGUCCCUUUUAUAGAAUAAGGGCUCGCUCAUCAGUACAUAAAUAAUGGGCUAAGUCCCCCAAGUAUUUUUCAUGAGGCCCAGUUGAGGCCCAAUAAAUGGUACAUAAUGUAGUCCCCCAAGUCUUCGGUCAAUAGAGUCUGUUGGUUGGACACUUCAAAUUGAAUCCAAGUAUGGGCUGAAGUGGCGGUUGUUCGGAGGCGGUAUUUGUAUACCCUGCACUGAAGCUUUGUAGGUGAAGCUUUGCAAGUGAAGCUUUGAAGCUAGAGCUCUGUAAAUGAAGCUUUUAAAGCUAGAGCUCUAUAAAUGAAGCUUUUGAAGCUAGAGCUUUGUAAAUGAAACUUCUGAAGCUAGCGCUUUUGUGAAUGAAGCUUUUGAAGCUAGAGCUCUGUAAAUGAAGCUUUUGAAGCUGAUUGACAUGAGUGAUGGUCAUGAAUGUUUAUGUUGAUUGACAUGAGUGAUGCUCAUGGAUGUUGAUGAAUGAUGGUCAUGAAUGUUUAUGUAUGAUUGACAUGAGUGAUGUUCAUGAAUGUUUAUGUAUGAUUGACAUGAGUGAUGCUUAUGUAUAAUUUUGGAGUACUGGAUGUACUUUUGAUCACCUGAUUGGUGAUAAUAGCGGCAGGCUGCCAAAUAAUUUUGGAGUACUGGGCGUACUUUAGAUCACCUGGUUGAUGAUAAUAGCGACAGGUUGCCGAAUAAUUUUGGGAGUACUGGGCGUACUUUAGAUCACCUGGUUGAUGAUAAUAGCGACAGGUUGCCGAAUAAUUUUGGGAGUACUGGGCGUACUUUUGAUCACUUGGUUGGUGAUAAUAGCGGCAGGUGCCGAAUAAAUUUGGAGCCAUAGGGCCUGGCUCUUUUGGGCAUAUGGGCAUUCGCCCUCCACAUGACAUUGCAGCCCACUAUUUUGGGCUUGCCCUUUUUUUUUAAAAUUUUUUUUAUUAUUACCCUCUGAUGGGGUUUAUAUAGAUGUCUCCGAAAGAUAAGAAAAAUAAAUUAUAUCAUUCAAAAAUAAAUCUCACCCUCUGCUCAAUGGGUUAUGCCCAUAAUUCCCUUUUCUGCAUGCCAUCACCACCGCAAUUAUGUCUGCUUCUUUUUAUCUUCUUUUGCUUUCUGCUUUUUACUUUCUGCUUUUCUUUUGCUUUCGGCCUGGUUGGUGCUAAGACCUUGUAGUGGGAUGGCAAACAGCUUGGCAUCAUUAUGUCUGAAUUCCUUUAUCAUCGUGGUGCCGAACCACUUUCCAGUUGUGUGUUUAAAGGAACCUGUUUUACCUUCACUGCUUUUUGACCAUACUUCCUCCAUCUAUACCCAAUUGAAGUAAUGAUUACUCCCCUGGAGCCGAUACUAGACCGGUUGAGUCAUUCUGGGAGGCAGCGGAAUGUUGACGUCUGCAACGUGCGGACCGAAGCCCAAAUGCGACGUCGUUUGGCCUGCCACCAGAAGAAGAAACAAACCGAGCAAAACAUUGAAACUCACCAGAGAGAUCGCCGGAGUCAGAGCUUAAGAGAGUAAACACCCAUGAUCCAUGUGAAGAGAGUGAGAGAGUGAGAGCAUGAGAGAGUAAACUCAUCCAAAUUAGAGUAAACUCACACAACUCCGGCCACAGAGUCGUACUCUUCCAUACCAACAUUUCCAUUUCCAACACUACCCUCCACGUUCUUCUUCACCCUCCCUGCAAUCACACGGCACACCAACAUUGCCCUCUUGUCACCCUCCUUCGUCGCCACCACCGCUUUAUCAUGAGCUCUGCUGCUUGUCGCAGUUGUCAAAAUACCCAGCUCCGUCAACUCCCCAGAGAACUUGUUGAAGCCGUUUUUUAUAAUGAUGCAAACAUUGCAGUGUGGGAUUAAGUUACUUGGAGAGCUUGGUGGCAAAGGUGGUGUAGUGGAAACGGAUGAGCUCGUUGCCGUCAGCGAUGCAGCGGGGGUGUUUCUUGGAGAGCUUGGUGGCUUUUACUUUGAUGGAGUCUCUAUACUCUUUGAAUUUGGUGAUGGUAUCUUGGGUGUUAUGGACUUUAAGGAUGCGGUCGAUUUUGUAGAUUGGGGUUCUUUUUUCAGCCAGCUGGACUGGAAUAUGAUCUCCACUAUGUUCUUGCUAGUAUCAUCAGGACUCCGAGCUUGUAUGGUGUCUCUACCGUCACAAGGAGAAGAUCAACCUCGCUGGUCACGAAGAGAAGAUCAGCCUCCGCUACUCAAGCUCCGACUCCAGCGAUCUCUCUUGUGAGUUUCACUGUUUUGCUCGGUUUGUUUCUUCUUCUGGUGGCGGGCCAAACGACGUCGCAUUUGGGCUUCGGUCCGUAAAUUGUAGACAUUAACAUUCUGCUGCCUCCCAGAAUGACUCAUCUGGUCUAGUAUCGGCUCCAGGGAGUAAUGAUUGCUUCAAAUGGGUAUAGAUAGAGGAAGUAUGGUAAAAAAGCAGUGAAGGUAAAACAGGUUGCUUUAAACACACAGCUGGAAAGUGGUCCGGCACCACGAUGAUAAAGGAAUUCAGACAUAAUGAUGCUAAGCUGUUUGCCAUCCCACUACAAGGUCCCAGCACCUACCAGACUGAAAGCAAAAGAAAAGCAGAAAGCAAAAGAACAUAAAAAGAAGCAGACAUAAUUGCGGUGGUGAUGGCAUGCAAAAAAGGGAAUUAUAGGCAUAACCCAUUGAGCAGAGGGUCGGAUUUAUUUUUGAAUGAUGUAAUUUAUUUUUCUUAUCUUUCGGAGACAUCUGUAUAAACCCCUUCAGAGAGUAAUAAUAAAAAAUUAAAAAAAAAACGGCAAGCCUAAAAUAGUGGGCUGCAAUGUCAUGUGGAGGGUGAAGACCCAUAUGCCCAAAAGAGCCAGGCCCUAUGGCUCCAAAUUUAUUCGGCACCCUGCCGCUAUUAUCACCAACCAAGUGAGCAAAAGUACGCCCAGUACUCCCAAAAUUAUUCGGCAACCUGCCGUUAUUAUCACUAACCAGGUGAUCAAAAGUACAUCCAAUACUCCAAAAUUAUUUGGCAGCUUACCGUUAUUAUCACUAACCAGGUGAUCAAAAGUACGUCCAGUACUCCAACAUUAUACAUGAGCAUCACUCAUGUCAAUCAUACAUAAACAUUCAUGACCAUCAUUCAUCAACAUCCAUGAGCAUCACUCAUGUCAAUCAACAUAAACAUUCAUGAGCAUCACUUAUGUCAAUCAGCUUCAAAAGCUUCCUUUACAGAGCUCUAUCUUCAAAAGCUUCAUUUACAGAGUUUUAGCUUCAAAAGCUUCAUUUACAGAGCUCUAGCUUCAAAGCUUCACUUGCAAAGCUUUCACCUACAAAGCUUCAGUGCAGGGUAUACAAAUACCGCAUCCGAACAAUCGCCACUUCGGCAUAUACAUGGAUUCUAUUUGAAGUCUCUAGCCAACAGACUUUAUUGACCGAAGACUUGGGGGACUACAUUAUGUACCAUAUAUUGGGCCUCAACUGGGCCUCAUGAAAAAUACUUGGGGGACUUAGCCCAUUAUUUAUGUACUGAGGAACGAGCCCUUAUUCUAUAAAAAGGACUCCCUCAAUUUCAUUAGAGAGCACCUAUUAUUCAUGUACUGAGGAGUGAGCCUUUAUUUUAUAAAAGAGACUCCUUCACCUUCAUUAGAGAGCAUCACCACCAGCUAAGCAACCGCCUCGCCGCGAGCAUCACUCCUAACUCAUCACUUAUGUAUUGAGGAGCGAACCCUUAUUCUAUAAAAUGGACUCCCUCACCAUCAUUAGAGAGCAUCGUCGCCAGCUGAGCAACUGCCUCGCCGCGAGCAUCAACUCUAGCCCAUCAUUUAUGUUUUGAGGAGCAAGCCCUUAUUCUAUAAAAGGGACUCCCUCACCUUCAACGCCAUAAGCCGAGCCAACCAAGGCAACAUAAGCCACAAGCCGAGCAGCCUCGCAACAUGUGCUACUUCUAGUUGAGCAUCAUUUCAGAUUAAGCACCGCCUCAUAUCGAGUAUCAGUCCUAGAUGACGUCCAGUUACUUCGCCCACACAUGGACUGAGUUUUAAGUCUCCAGCCAAAAGACUCUAUUGACUGAAUACUUGGGGGACUACUGUUUAUACCAUACUUAGGGCCUCCGUAUUUAGAUCUCGUAUAAAUACUAGGGGGACUCAAAUGUAAUUAUGUAAUAAAUGAAGGGGCAAAUAUGUAAUAAGUGAGGAGCCCUUAUUCUAUAAAAGGACCCCUCACUCUCCUCAUGAAGGGAGGCCAAAUCUUAGGCCAUACCCUCACCAUCUCAGAGCUCUCAUCCUCACAAAAAAGCUCUCUCUCUCCCUCUUCAACAUCUCGGAGAAAUACAAUAAUCAGUGUGGACGUAGCCCAAACAUUGUGGUGAACCAUGAUACAUCUUGUGUUAUUUACAUUUCUUGCAGAUUCAUGGUCGAAUUUACGUUGUCCCAAGACCUUCGGUUUUGUGCAUCAACAUAUUUGAUGGAUGAAAUAGAAACCUUGAUUAUCAUGUGGGUUGUUAUGUAGCUUGAAUUGAAUAAUUCAUGCUUGUCAAGUCCAACUGUUUGAUUGAGGAAUGUUAUGCCUUUUGGCUUGAGUGAAUAGUGUUAUAUGUCGAGUUAUAAAGACGUUGAACUACGAAUGGCUUGAUCCCUAUUGAGGGUACAUAGGCAAUCUAACGAAGAGGUUAGAUGCAGCCAUAAUGUAUACGCAAAAUUAUUAUGCAUCUAGAUCUUGAAUUAUAUUUUGUACAUAUCCAAAAAGGCGGGAUACGUUGAGUUACGAGCAUUUAGUGACGUCACGUGUCGAUCUGAGAUGUAUGUCGGGAUUGGGGCGUGACAAUUUAUCCCAGCCAUCUUUUUCCAGAUUCUGACGGUUGUAGCGGCAACCAGCUGAGAAGAAGAAAAAAAAGAAAAAAAAGGAAAAAAAAAAAAAGGAAGCCUAGAUCCGCGACCCGGAUCUAGCCCAACCUGAUUCUAAAAUGCAUAUGGAAUAUUCUUAGUGUUGACCUUUAAGAAAUUUUCUCGGAAAUCCUCCUAGGCUAAUUUCGACGUCUAGAGUCCAUUUUUGACUUCCAUUUAGGAAAAUUUUGAAGUUUUAACAUAGUUGACCACCGGGCCGUCUUUGUUGACUUUUUAAGUUUGAUCGUUCACUUUUCGUUGACUUUUUACAAAAUUUGCCUGGGACCCCUCUUAGCGUAUUUCGACGCUCUGAUUACUAUCGGAGACUCAGACUUUCUUAGCUUGAAAUGAUGUGACAUCGCAAGUACCUAUGAGUGGGUCUUUUCUUUUAUAUAGUACAUAUAUAUAUAUAUUUGUUAGUUUCCAUUUAUAUAUUUGGUAAAGAAUUUUCUACGUUACGCCUAGAUUAGGGUAACGUAUAUAAAAAUUAACGUAUUGAAGGAAUUCAUGCAAAUAUACUACGUCCUACGAGAUACACAUGUAUGCGUAUUAGUAUGGAUGCUUUAAUGGUAUUUACGGUUUUGAAUAGUAUUCCAUUGACUAGGGUUAUUGAAUUAUCGAUUUACCAUUGCAUGAUCAUAUUUGUGUUAUCUGCUCAUCGUGUGUUGCACUGGUGUUAGUACUUGCCUAGGCUAGGGCCAGUCUUUCACAUGUAUGUUCAAUUCGCACUGUACGCUCACUUUGGAUCCAUUGUAGGUGCCAGUCCUGUCCUCGAUUGCAAUAGGCAAUUAGGACUCGUAUGUGACGUGCUUAGCACCCGUUUUCAUGUGAUUGUAGUACUAGAGCGUAAAUCAUUAUUACACCCAGUCCUAUUCAUGUCAGAAUACCUUUGCAUGAACUCGUGUGUCAACAUAUGUCGAUGAGCACUCGAUGUGAUAUGUUUAUUUCUGCAAGAUAUUGUGAUUACUAGAAGUUAUGUACCUAUUUACGAAUUUUGUGACGUAUUGAAUUCUUGAGAUAUUGCAAACUACUGUAAGUAUUUUCAUACUAUACGUAGUAUGUAUAUUUUGGAAACUAUACUUGCUUUACGGUGAGGGGUUAUAAUGUUUUCAAAAAGCUUUUUAUAAAACUUUAUUUUUAAGCCCACUCAUCCUUGUUUUUCGUCCCUCCAGGAUUUAGUGGCAAUGUUCGUGUCGACGAGGAUUUCUGGCAAACGUUGAUAUCGGAGACUACUUCCGAUGGUAUAAUUCUCAAUCUACUAUACUGUACUUUACUUAUGCUCUUAUAUCACGUGUGAAAUGAGUUCAUUCACGCUCACUAGCGCACUCUUAUACUUAGGCACUUCUAGAUUUAAAUUUACUCACAUUUUUCACAUCACUACUCAUUAAUGAAAUCUUUAUUUUCCUAAAAGAUUAUUGCCUCAUAUGAGAAAGUCCCUAUAAUAUAAACCCUAAAUUUGAAGUUUACAUAAUUUUAUGUGAUAAUUUCAUUGGAAGCUAAUUCUUUUAGUUAAUUUAACUUGAUUUUAUUGUAAAAUAUUUUUUGUGUAAUAUUAUUACCCAAAAAGGUUCAAAAUUCUCAAAGCCAAAUUUUAUUCCAAUGGAGUUUUAAUGAAAAGUCCGCGGUACUGUUCACUUUAACGAAAAACCACAUUUUUACACUAAAAAUUCAAACUUAGUACUAUUCAUUUUACCUUUUAUUUUGUCCUUAUCAUUAAAACUCAAAGUUUUCGAGCCAUUUUCAUUAGUUUUCCUUUUAUUUGGGAGUUUUAACGAAAAGUCCGCGGACCCGGCUUUGCAACCCGGACCCAGCUUCUCUGCUCUCCCAGUUUCCAUACACUCUCAUCCCCUCCUAUUUUGUGCGAUCACGAUUAAGCACGUUAACAUUUUAUAUUGAUUUUUUUAUAGACAUAAUAAGACAAAAAACGAUAGUGAUAUAAAAUAUUGACGUGACUUAACAUUUGACAAAAAUUGAAGAUAAUUUUGUUUUUUUGACUAAAUGAUCAAAAUAAUUGGUGGCGAAUAAAAUCAGAAAUCUCACUUUGAAGAAACGAAACUUCCGACGUGGUGGGCUGCGACUUUUGACUGAUUGAGAGUCCUCCAUCCGCAGCUCCUCCGUCUUCCUCCCAAGCCUUUUACCUUUUCUUUCUUUCUUCUCCAAAACUAGCAAUCUGAGAUUUGAACCUCUCUCUCUAAGAAGCAGCGGCAUGCUUUUCCAAACGUAAUCUGCAAUUUAAUCAAACAGCCACCGAAUUUUCUGGAAUCCUGUCAACGCAGAGAUGCUUCGGAUUUUGAUCGGUCAACGCCAGCUGCUUACCUGAGCUCCAAAAGAUCCAACAGUGAUGACGUCCUCCACCUCUGUUUCUGUUUGGCUGAUUCUGCUGUUUGGCUUCUUUCACCUCUACAAGCUUGCUGCCAAUGUCGUCUCUGUGUGUUAUUGAAUUUGGGAGUGUUUGGUUGUGGGAACCGGAAUGAACUAAUGAAUGAAUGAAUGAAUGACUGAAUGACUGGAAACAUUCCCGAAGAGCUUGGGGGUUUGUCAGACUUGGUGAGCUCGGAUCUUUACUUGGCAACCUUGCAAAACUGCGUUUCCUAUAUGAACCCGCAUCCUUUUGUUAGAUAAAAUCUAUCGUCUUUCUUUUUUAUUCGAUAUGCUAAUCUGCUGUUUUUAAUUGUUCCAUUGGAGUGACUUUCUUCCUUAAAGUCCUUGUGCCGGAUGCAUAUAAUUUAUAGUAUGAUCCCUGGUUUCAAGAUUCACAAGAAGGGAACAUCCAGUCAUUGCAAGUCCUGUGAAUUUCAUACACUUUCAUCUCAGUAAGAGGGAGGAGAGAGUGAAAAGUUACUAAUUUCUCUACCAUCGGAGAAUGCAAAUAACAUAUAGUUUUGCCAUGGAAUGCAGGGAUCUUUCAAAUAACAAUCUGACAGGGAAUAUUCCAGUUAAUGGAUUCUUUUCACUUUUUACUCCCAUCAGGUUUGUUGAAGCAACUUUACUCUUUUUCUUUAACUUUAGGGACAAAAAUAACAAUCUGACAGGGGAUACACUUUCAUCUCAGUAAGAGGGAGGAGAGGGUAAUAUAGCUUGAUCAAGUUGGUGUUGUAGUUGUUGUAUGGGAUGCAGCUCAAAAACUUUUCUUUGCGCGACCUACAAGUUGCAACGGAUACCUAUAGCGACAAAAAUAUUAUUGGUAGAGGUGGAUUUGGUAAGGUUUAUAGAGGACGCUUAGCUGAUGGAACUCUGGUUGCUGUAAAAAGACUUACACAGGAGAGAACCCAAGACGGGGAACUACAGUUCCAAACAGAAGUUGAAAUGAUUAGAAUGGCUGUCCACCACCGCAAUCUGCUUUGUCUGCAUGGUUUUUGCAUGACACCAACAGAAAGGCUGCUUGUAUAUCCUUAUAUGGCUAAUGGAAGUGUGGCAUCUUGUUUAAGAGGUACUCAUCUAAAUUGUUUGCUGCGUUGAUGAAUCUUUUUGUUUUCACGACGUUAAAUUUUUUUUCGAUCACAUUGAUAUAAUGAAUUUAAAAACCUGACCAAUUUGGCUUGGAGUAUCAGCACUAAUUUUUUUAAUGUUUUUUUUCCUUCAAUUUUAAGUUACCUUCUCGAUGCUGAUUUUAUUUCUGUUUAAUUUGAAAAGGAUGACAAGAAGACCCUUUUUUUGGGUAGGACGGGUGGUAUGAUAUGUGUUAGACCACAUUACCUAUUGCUUGUAAUUUGAAAUUCUCCUCUCAUAAGUAUGUGGAUAUAUUAUUGUAGGUCGUCCGGAAGGACAACCUGCACUUGAUUGGCCAAUAAGACAACGCAUUGCAUUGGGAUCUGCAAGAGGCCUUGCUUAUUUACAUGAUCACUGUGAUCCAAAAAUUAUUCACCGUGAUGUGAAAGCAGCAAACAUAUUGUUGGAUGAGGAAUUCGAAGCAGUUGUUGGAGACUUUGGGUUGGCUAAACUCAUGGACUACAAGGAUACAUAUGUUACCACACAUGUAUGUAGCACAUUUGGUCAUAUGGCACCGGAGCACUUUUCAACUGGAGUGUCUUCCGAGAAAACUGAUGUUUUUGGAUACGGAGUCAUGCUUCUUGAACUCAUCACUGGGCAGAGGGCUUUCAAUCCUCAGCUUGCGAGUGAUGAUGAUGUCAUGUUAGUUGAUUGGGUAUGCAUUUACGUCUUUCUGUUUGUGUAUGUAGCUAGUUUAUUGUUAUAUGAUUAUUUCCCAACAACAUUUGCAUUUCCUUAGUAAUUAGCUUUUAGAAAAUAAGUUUGGUUUAAUUAGCUUUUAUUAGUUAGAGUUAUGAUUAGCUGUGUAGAUUUUUUUAUCUUUAUUUAUAACAAUCCAAGGUUUAAACUGUCAGAGAUUAAUUAUUGCAUUUCCUUAGUAAUUGUUACUAUUGUUGUUGCUUCUUUUGCCAAUGUAUUGGCAUUUUGUGAUUUCUUGAAGAAUUUGGCAUAUGUUUUGUGUCGAUCCUAAUUUCCUCAUCAUCUCCUUAUUCUUGCUAUCUUGGCCUCUCGCUUUUUCCUAUUCUCUCUAUUGCAUCUUUGUCUUCUCUUUGCAUGAUAUCAAUAUUUGAAUGACGAUACAUUUUUGUAAGCAGUUUGAUUUUCUGUAGAAAAAAGUUUGAACAUUACAACACAUUUUUGUUCUCCUAGAUUCCCGCACCUUUUGUUUCAAAUUGUCGAACCACCCGACAAUUUCUGUUUUAUUUUUCCUAAAAAAAUUAGGUCAAAUGACUACUGAAAGAUCGGAGGUUGGAAAGACUUGUUGAUGCUGAUCUAAAUGGAAAUUAUAUUGACGAUCAAGUGGAGCAGCUGAUCCAAGUAGCUCUACUGUGCACACAAGGCUCCCCAGGGGAACGGCCCAAGAUGUCAGAGGUUGUCCAAAUGCUUGAAGGCGAAGGCGAAGGUUUGGCUGAAAGAUGGGAGGAGUGGCAAAACAAGGAGAUGAUCCGCCAAGAUUUCAACACUAUUCAUCAUCCAAGUACUUGGAUCAUAGACUCACCUUCUCCUAAUUUUGUGUUGUACUAUUUCUGUGAGUUUGAAGAAAUGGAUAAAAAGAAAGGAAAACCAAUGAAAAAGGCUUGAAAACUUUGAGUUUUAAUGAUAAGGACAAAAUAAAGGGUAAAGUGAAUAGUACCAGGAUUGACUUUUUAGUGUAAAAAUGUGGUUUUUCAUUAAAGUGAACAGUACCGGAUGCUUUUCGUUAAAGUUCCCUAAAAAGAAUGACAUGUGAUAGAGAGUUCAUCAUAUAGCUUCUGACUUUAAGGAUUUUUCAUUUAGUUCUAGUUCAUGUUGCGCAAAAAAUAUUAGGUAACACUGCUACUGGGGCUAUUGCAGGAGGGGUUGCUGUUGGUGCUGCUUUACCGUUUGCUGCACCUGCAAUUACACUUGCUUAUUGGCGACGGAGAAAACCACAGGAUCAUUUCUUUGAUGUACCUGGUUAGUGAACUAUAGGAGUAAUAUAGCUUGAUAAAGGUGGUGUUGUAGUAUGGGAUGGAGGUUUCACUAAUCUACUGUCUUUGCAGCUGAGGAGGAUCCAGAAGUUCUUUUAGGACAGCUCAAAAGGUUUUCUUUGCGCGAACUACAAGUUGCAACGGAUACCUUUAGUAACAAAAAUAUUCUUGGUAGAGGUGGAUUUGGUAAGGUUUAUAAAGGACGCUUAGCUGAUGGAACUCUGGUUGCUGUAAAAAGACUUAAAGAGGAGAGAACCCAACGUGGGGAGCUACAGUUUCAAACAGAGGUUGAAAUGAUUAGCAUGGCUGUCCACCGCAAUCUGCUUCGUCUGCGUGGUUUUUGCAUUACACGAACAGAAAGGCUGCUUGUAUAUCCUUAUAUGGCUAAUGGAAGUUUGGCAUCAUGUUUACGAGGUACUCUUCUAAAUUGUUUGCUGCGUUGAUAAAUCUUCUUGUUUUCACGAAAUUAAAAAAUGGGUAAAUUACAUUUUACACCCUCAGGUUUGAGUGUAAUUGUAACCUCAUACAAUAUUUUUAAAACAUUUCAAUUUUAUACAUUUCCUUAUCAUUUCUAGCAAUUUCAUACAUCUGUUAGUCAAACCGUGAGUUUGACUGUUAAGGAAUGACAUGGCAAAUGUGAGGUCCACAUUUUUAUUGACGGGGAUGCCAACUAUGAUUCACGUGGAAUAAAAACAAAUAAAAAAGAUUAAUAAAUAGAAAAUUAAAUUUUUUUAUAAUUAAAAACUAAAAAAAUAGAAAAGAUAAAAAAAAUGGUGUUGUUCAUCCCUUUCCUGCUCUCACCCCGUCCCCGCAUUCUUCAUUUCCCCCCGCCCACCAUCGCCACCUUCCCUUUCCUCAGCCACUGCAAUGAAUAGACCACAUUACCUGUUGCUUGUAAUUUGAAAUUCUCCUCUCAUAAGUAUGUGGAUAUAUUAUUGUAGAUCGUCCAGAAGGACAACCUGCACUUGAUUGGCGAAUAAGACAACGCAUUGCAUUGGAAUCUGCAAGAGGCCUUGCUUAUUUACAUGAUCACUGUGAUCCAAAAAUUAUUCACCGUGAUGUGAAAGCAGCAAACAUAUUGUUGGAUGAGGAAUUCAAAGCAGUUGUUGGAGACUUUGGGUUGGCUAUACUCAUGGACUACAGGGAUACACAUGUUACCACAGCUGUACGUGGCACAAUUGGUCAUAUAGCACCAGAGUACCUUUCAACUGGAAAAUGUUCCGAGAAAACUGAUGCUUUUGCAUACGGAGUCAUGCUUCUUGAACUCAUCACUGGGCAGAGGGCUUUUGAUCUUGCUCGGCUUGCGAAUGAUUAUGAUGUCAUGUUACUUGAUUGGGUAUGCUUUUACGUCUUUCUGUUUCUGUUUGUUGCUAAUUUAUUGUUAUAUGCAAGAUUAUUUUCCAACAAUAUUUGAAUGAGGUCCACCUUUGAGAGUUUUAACGAAAAGUCCACGGUACUGUUCACUUUAACGAAAAAUCAUAUUUUUACAUUAAAAAGUUAAUCCUGAUACUAUUCACUUUACUCUUUAUUUUGUCUUUAUCGUUAAAACUCAAAGUUUUGAAGCCUUUUUCAUUAGUUUUCCUUAAUAUCUUUCAUAUUUUAUAAAAUAAAAAAAAAGACAUAAUGUUGUUGAAAUUCAACGAUAUUCUUGCUUCGAUCUAUUGUUUCCCUAAGUCCAAAUCUUGGAAAUUAUGUUUCAAUACUCAUUUUAAAGAAAUGUUAUAUAAUAUACUGUAAAUUAGGUGUAUCUCUCGAUACCAAUGUUGCUAUUUAUUUAAGCCAAAAAUAAUGGGUCUCGACACCUAAUCACUUUAUUUCAAACCGCUAAUCUCAUAUGACAUUCUUAAUCAUUGUAUAUGGAACAUUUCUGCAAUCAUUUUAGUUGGUUCUUUGCAAUACUUUAAAAACCUAUUACUCAUCAUAGAGCUGCCAAGUUCCUGUCUAAUUAAUGUAAAAAUCACUUAGUCUUUUUUGGCCCGAAUAUUGAAAACAAUUAGAAUCAUGGAUCAAAGAAAAGAAAUAAUACUUAACUUUUAGAAAAUAACUUUAGUUUAAUUAGCUUUUAUUAGUUAGACUUACGAUUAAGCUGUGAAGAUUUAUUUAUCUUUAUUUACAACAAUCUAAGAUUUAAAUUGUCAGAGAUUAAUUAUUACAUUUCCUUGGUAAUUGUUGUUAGUAUUGUUGUUGCUUCUUUUGCCAAUGUAUUGGCCUUGCUGUGAUUUCUUGAAGAAUUUGGCAUGUGUUUUGUAUCGAUCCUAAUUUCCUCAUUAUCUCUUUAUUCUCGCUAUCUUGGCUCUUUCUUCUUUUUAUUCUCUGUUUGCAUCUUUGUCAUAUGUUCGCAUCACAUCAAUAUUUGAAUGACGAUGCAUUUUUGUAAGCAAUUUGAUUUUCUGGAGAUACUGCGGCCCUUCAAAUUUUGAACAUUACAACACAUUUUCACUCUCCUAGGUGCCCUCACCUUUUGUUUCAAAUUGUAGAACUAUCUGAUUUUGUUCCUUUUUAUUUUAACUAAAAUAAUUAGGUCAAAGGACUACUGAAAGAUCGGAGGUUGGAAACACUUGUUGAUGCUGAUCUAAAUGGAAAUUAUGUUUACGAUCAAGUGGAGCAGCUCAUCCAAGUAGCUCUACUAUGCACACAAGGCACCCCAGGGGAACGACCCAAGAUGUUAGAGGUUGUCUGGAUGAUGGAAGGGCGAUGGUUUGGCUGGGAGGAGUGGCAAAAAGAGGAGGUGUUCCACCAAGAUUUCAACCCUAUUCAUCAUCCAAGUACUAAUUGGAUCACAGACUCAACUUCUCAUAUUCCUCUGGAUGAGUUGUCUGGUCCCAGAUGAUAUGCUCGUUGGUUCUGUCCCCUGUAUACAUGUAAGAAGCCUCAGAGGACUGUAGAAGGUCCAUUUUGUAUUUCAGUGAUACAACAUUUGUGCAUAUGUUUUGUCUUUGUUUUCGAUUUUGUUUUUGUCUCUCGUAUUUUUUAGAUCACAAAAAUGGAGCUGGUGCUGUUGUAAUUUUUAUAGGGUUAACUGGCAUUACGAAGUUAUAUGGUGCUAGCAGGAAUUAGGAAGGGCCAUAAAAGCACCCAUUCCUGAUGAUUUAUGUAUCUAUCCAGAAAUUAGUUCAGAUUGUCGAGUAAAUAAUCAUUCUGAAGUUAUAACUAUAUAUAUUUUUUAGUGUUCCAAUAGAUCCUAUAGAUACGAUAAGGACACUAGGUCAAGUGCGUUCCUAUAGAUCCUUUAGAUACGAUAAGGACACUAGGUCAAGUGCACGGCUGCUUGUGGACGGAUAGUGUUUGAAAUUUCAUCGUGAUCAUUGCAAGUGUGACUUUGUGGCACUACCCUUAUAAGUACUUGAACUAAGGCAUUAGGGAUCAAGAGAUCACUUUGUGUCAUUCCAAAACAGGAAUUUGAGCUCUGUCUAUCCUCUUUAAAGUAUCGUCAAUGGGGAUCCCUCUACUAUCUUUGAGGAUUUAUUUAAGACCAACUGUAGGGUAAGACCCAAACCUAAAUUUCUAAGUUUAAACAAAAUAAAAAUGCAAUCUAAUUGUGGGAUUUUUUUGUUUUUUUUGAACAAAAUAUAUUAUCUAGAUUAGGUUAAGCUUUACAGUGGGCUAGUAAUAAUAUGGUUCAAAUUUGUCUUUGGCGAAAAUCGAACCUAAAGACCUCUAUUAUAUGUGAAGAGAAAUAUCAGUAAACUGUAGUACUAGAUAGUAUCUAAUGGUUGGACUUAAAGCUAAAAAGUUUGGCUUUUACCCAAGCUAAACCCAAAUUUGGGUUUUGUAUUUGGCAGACCCAAAUUUUUGGGGGCCCUACCUUUUUUUUUCUGAAAAGCAACGGGCGAAUGAUGUAUUGAAGUGGCCGACAGAUGGGUCCCUCACCUAGCAGAGUCCCAGCUGCAAAACAGUAACAGUUUAAGCAACUACGAGCCAUUCGAUUUGUGGGCCAUUGGUGAUCAACGGUCUAGGUUAAAAUCCUUUCAUGCUUUGCAAUCUUUAAAUUUUGAUCUAAUUGUUCAUAUAUAUAUUUUUUCAAAUCUAACGGUAAAAUAAAUCCAACUACUGAAAUUUAAAUUCAACGUCAAAAAUUAUUUUAUUUAGAACAUAUCCAUUAUACAUUUGGAUGGUUGGUGUGGUUUGUUCGGUUUUGAAUUUUUUGUUGAAAUUUAAUUUUUUUAAUGUCAAAACACUUGUCAAAUUAAAUUAAAAUAAUAUAAUUCAAAAGUAAAAAAUUUAAAAAAAAAUCCUACCGAAAAAAAAUUAGGGUUAAAACUAUAUUCCACCACAAUUAGUACAUUUUAGGCCAUGAAAUUUAGAUCUUGAUGGUUGGGUGAUAUUCACUUCAUAGACUUAAAUUCUGUCUUUUGAUGGACUAAAUAUUUGGGUUUGGGUGUAAAGGUUGGAGCUGGUCUAAGGACUUUAAUGAAAUCUUAUAUUUCUAAACGAGUUGCCUCAUAUGAGAAAGUCCUUAUAGUAUAAAUCUUAAAUUUGAAGUUUACAUAAUUUUAUGUGAUACUUUCAUUGGAAGCUAAUUCUUUUAGUUAAUUUAACUUGAUUUUAUUGUAAAAUAUUUUUUUGUGAACAUUAUUACCCAAAAAAGUUCAAAAUUCUCGAAGCCAAAUUUUAUUCUUUAGAACUACAAUAGCUUUCAUUAUUGGCUAUGUCAUGGUCUAUUAUUUCUGAUCAGAAUCAGACCUGGACUCUUUGCAACGCUUGGUCAACUAAAUGAAUUAUUAAUUAAAAGUAGCUUGAUAAUCAUUUUGUUUUCAAUUUUUAAUUUUUAGCUUAUACUUUUCUAUUAUGAAAUUAAUCAAAAUGGUUCAUGAAAUUGGCAUAAUUAAUCAUUUCGGUUCCUGAGAUUUGAAAUUGCUAGAAGUGAUCCCUGAGUUUGUUAACUAUCAAUUAUUUUGAUCAUUCGAUUAAAAAUCUCUAUUGAAUAAGAAGCAUGUUUAUACCAUAUUUAGGGCCUCGUAUUUAGACCUCGUAUAAAUACUCGGGGGACUUAAAUGUAAUUAUGUGAUAAAGGAAGGGGCAAAUAUGUAAUAAGUGAGGAGUCCUUAUUCUAUAAAAGGACCCCUCACCCUCACAAUUAGAAAAAGGCCUCACUCUCACUCUCGAAAAAGCCAAAUUCUUAGGCCCUCUCACCCUCUCUCAACGCUCUCACUCUCAGAGCUCUCUCUCCUUCAAAUAAAUACAAUCAGUGUGGACGUAGCACAAACCUUGGGGUGAACCACGAUACAUCUUGUGUUAUUUACAUUUCAUGCAGAUUCACGGUCGGAUUUACGUUGUUCCAAGACCUCCGGUUUUGUGCAUCAACAUUUGGCGCCGUCUGUGGGAAACGACACGAAAAGUUAUGUCGGUUCUCUCUCAAUUUUUCAUCUCCGCCGUGAAUCUGCAGAAAUCCAAGAACCCAAAAACCUCACUUUUUGGGUUUCUCCAGAAAACUUUCGCAGACCUCCAACCACCUCUGCCUCCUCUCUCAGUCAGUCAACACGGAAACCAAAGAUUUCAGCUGCAAAUUCACCUGCUUUUGCAGCCCAUCCACGCCACCAUGUCCUCAUAUUUCCACCGAGUUCCAAAGUGCUCACCAGAAAAAAUGAUGGCUUCCAUGUCUUUCUCUACAACUUUUUCAACACCUUUACAGAUUUUUCUCAAGCAAAAACAAAAAUAAGCACGAAUUCUUUAGCUUUAUGCCCUCCCAUGGCGUGUUGGAUCAAAUCCUCACUUGGGUCUCCUAAUCGGCAUUUUUUCGAAAUGGGUGGUCUUUCCAAUCGGAGAAUUUUAAUGGGUUUCUGAUCAAAUCUUGGUCUUUGGUUGUCUAUGCUAAAGCAGCUACAACAACAUCUCUAUAUAUCUCUCAUGUCCCUCAUCUCUAUCUUGUCCCUCAUCGCUCAGCCUGACACAUCAAUCAACACACCCAACUGAAAGAGGGAUAGUUUCGUGAUUACCCUGAUUCCGCCAUGGGCAUUCCCUGCGACGACAUCGUCGUUAUCAAGCCGAGGAAGGCUCCUGAUGAGCCAUCCGUCCUCACCGUCAACUGUCCCAACAAGGCCGGCCUUAGCUGCGAUUAGGAGAGGUUAAAGGAUCAGCUCUCGUCCGCGUGCCCGUCGUCGUGCUUCUUCUCAUUUUAUCUCAAUCAAAUCUCCAACGUCCCAACGCCUUCUUCGGUCUAUCUGUUGAAGUUUUGGUGCCACGACCAGAGAGGCUCACUCCACGAUGUUUGAGCCAUUGUGCGAUUUGGGCAAGAAUUUAUGGGAUCUCGCGGUGGCCCAGAUGGUUUAUGAUGAUGUUGUUGGGGUUGGAGUGGUCGAGGAGAUCAAAAAUCAAUGGCUUUUCUCAGUUUUCAGCAUCUGUCAAUUUGGCGGAGGAACGAAAGAUGCCAAAAUUAACUGCUGAGAGUACCUGGGAUUUUGAGAUGUGAUUCAUUAUUGUAUCUGAUAAACAACUUAGAAUUGUCUCUGCCACGUGUUCCACACCGAGUGCAUUGACAGGGGGCUGGAGUAUAAUGAUCAUCAUCAUCACCAUCACGACGAGGACAAUCACAAAACUUGCCCGCUCUGCAGGACUCCAUUAUUGAUGUCAUUGUAGAAGCGGAGCCUGAGUUGGGACCUUGCAGGCUUAAAAGGGACGGUCAAAUAAGAGGCUUAUUUCACUGAACAAAGUUAAACAGCAUGAAAAAGGAGAUUCAAUGUGCGGAGAUCCAGUAUGGAACUGGUGCAAUUUCAGGUUUCUUCCACCAGGACCAUGUCCAAGUCGGUGAUCUUGUUGUUAAGGAUCAGGACUUUAUUGAGGCAACCAAAGAGCCUGGAGUCACGUUUGUGGCAGCUAAGUUUGAUGGUAUUCUUGGACUUGGAUUUCAACAUAUCUCAGUUGGAGAUGCUGUUCCUGUCUGGUAUAAUUUGGUCAAUCAAGGUCUUGUUAAAUAACCAGUUUUCUCAUUUUGGUUAAAUCGCAAUACAGAAGGGGAAGAAUGGGGUGAGAUUGUCUUUGGUGGGGUUGAUUCUAGUCAUUUCAAGGGUGAGCAUACAUAUGUUCCCGUGACUCAGAAAGGCUACUGGCAGUUUGAUAUGGGUGAUGUCUUAAUUGAUGGUGAAUCAUCUGGAUUUUGUGCUAAUGGCUAUUCAGCAAUUGCUGACUCAUGCACCUCCCUAUUGGCUGGACCAACGGAAGUAUGGAGAGGUGGUGGAGGCUGUGAUCAUGAGGGAUCGUGCAAAAGGGGAGAUAAGAUUAAUGUACUUAUCAUUCCUUGUCUGCCAUCUACAAAAGAGAAAAGAAGACAGAAACAAAAGCAAAAGUAAAGCAGAAAAGGAAAAGAGAAAAGAAGAAGAGAGGAACAUGGAGACAUUUCAAAAGCAAGGAAUAAACACCCCACCAGAAUGAUGUAUUUUUUUUAUCUUUCGGAAAUAUCUGUAUAAACCCCAUCAGAGGGUAACUAAAAAAAAAUAGCAAAGCCCAAAACAAAUGGGCUGCCAUGUUGUGGAGGGCGAAGGCUCAUAAGCCCGAAAUAGCACCAACCAGGUGAUCAAAAGUACGCCUAGUACUCCACAAUUAUUCGGCAACCCACCGCUAUUACCACCAACCAGGUGAUCAAAAGUACGCCCAGUACUCCAAAAUUAUUCGGCAACCUGCCGCUAUUACCACCAACCAGGUGAUCAAAAGUAUGCCCAGUACUCUAAAAUUAUUCGGUAACCCGCCGCUAUUACCACCAACCAGGUGAUGAAGUGUACAACCCGUACUCUAAAUAUCAUUUGGCAACUAGCCAUUCAUGCCACCAACCAGGUGAUGAAAUGUAAACCCGUACUCUAAUAUCAUUUGGCAACUAGCCAUUCAUGCCACCAACCAGGUGAUGAAAUGUACAACCCGUACUCUCCUUCAUGCCACCAACUAGGUAAACAAAAGUACGCCCAAUACUUCAAAUUAUACAUGAGCAUUACUCAUGUCAAUCAUACAUAAACAUUCAUGAGCAUCACUCAUAUCAAUCAUACAUAAACAUUCAUGAGCAUCACUCAUGUCAACAUUCAUAAGCAUCACUCAUGUCAACAUCCAUGAGCAUCACUCAUGUCAAUCAAACAUUCAUGAGCAUCACUCAUGUCAAUUAAACACUCAUGAGCAUCACUCAUGUCAAUCAGCUUCAAAAGCUUCAUUUACAAAAGCUCUAGCUUCAAAAGCUUCAUUUACAGAGCUCCAGCUUCAAAGCUUCACUUGCAAAGCUUCAUUUACAAAGCUUCAGUGCAGGAUAUACAAAUACCACCUCCGAACAACCGCCACUUCGGCCCAUACAUGGAUUCAAUUUGAAGUCUCUAGCUAACAGACUCUAUUGACUGAAGACUUGAGGGACUACACUAUACACCAUAUAUUGGGCCUCAACUAGGCCUCAUGAAAAAUACUUGGGGGACUCUAGCCCAUUAUUUAUGUAUUGAGGAGCGAGCCCUUAUUUUAUAAAAGGGAUUCCCUCACCAUCAUUAGAGCAGCAUCAACUAUAGCCCAUUAUUCAUGUAUUGAGGAGCGAGCCCUUAUUUUAUAAAAGGGACUCCUUCACCAUCAUUAGAGAGCAACGCCGCCAGCUGAGCAACCGUCUCGCCGCGAGCAUCAACUCUAGCCCAUCAUUUAUGUAUCGAGGGAACGAGCCCUUAUUCUAUAAAAGGGACUCCUCACCAUCAUUAGAGAGCAUCAACUCUAGCCUAUCAUUCAUGUAUUAAGGAGCGAGCCCUUAUUCUAUAAAAGGGACUCCCUUAUCUUCAAACGCCGCAAGCCGAGCCAACCAAGGCGCCAUAAGCCACGAGCUGAGCAGCAUCGCAGCAUGUGCUACUUCUAAUUGAGCGUCAUUUCAGAUUGAGCACCGCCUCAUAUCAAACAUCAGUUCAAGAUAACAUCUAGUUACUUCGGCCCACACAUGGACUGAAUUUCAAGUCUCCAGCCAAAAGACUCUCUUGACUGAAGACUUAGGGGACUACUGUUUAUACCAUAUUUAGGGCCUCGUAUUUAGACCUCGUAUAAAUACUCGGGGGACUUAAAUGUAAUUAUGUGAUAAAGGAAUGGACAAAUAUGUAAUAAGUGAGGAGUCCUUAUUCUAUAAAAGGACCCCUCACCCUCACAAUUAGAAAAAGGCCUCACUCUCACUCUCAAAAAAGCCAAAUUCUUAGGCCCUCUCACCCUCUCUCAACGCUCUCACUCUCAGAGCUCUCUCUCCUUCAAAUAAAUACAAUCAGUGUGGACGUAGCCCAAACCUUGGGGUGAACCACGAUACAUCUUGUGUUAUUUACAUUUCAUGCAGAUUCACGGUCGGAUUUACGUUGUUCCAAAACCUCCGGUUUUGUGCAUCAACAAAGCAAAUGACAAAAAUAACCUCAAUUCAAUAAAUAAUGGACCGUAAUAAUUUGACAAAAAUUGAAGAUAAUUUUUUUUUUUUUUUACGAAAUGAUCAUGUUGAAUAAAAUCAGAAAUCUCAAAACAAAGUGAGGAAUUGCAUAACAAUUUCAGAUAUCAGCUAAAAAGUAAAAAAUAAAUAUAAACAAAAGAAGAAACGAAACUUCCGACGCUGUGGGCUGCGACUUUGACUGAUUGAGAGUCCUCCAUCCGCAGCUCCUUCGUCUUCCUCCCAAACCUUUUACCUUUCUUCUUUCUUCUCCAAAACUAGCAAGCUGAGAUUUCAACCUCUCUCUCUCUAAGAAGCAGCGGCAUGCUUUUCCAAACUCAAUCUGCAAUUUAAUCAAACAGCCACCGAAUUUUCUCUAAUCCGGUCAACGCAGAGAUGCUUCGGAUUUUGAUCGGUCAACGCCAGCUGCUCACCUGAGCACCAACGGGCCCAACAGUGAUGACGUCCUCCGCCCCUGUUUCUGUUUGGCUGAUUCUGCUGUUUGGAACCUCCAUAAGCUCGCUGCCAACAUAGAAGGUAUGUCUGUGUCUCUGUGUUUUUGAAUUUGGGUGUGUUUGGUUGCGGGAAUUGGAAUGAACUAACGAAUGAAUGAAUGAAUGAUUGGAUUUGACAGGUGACGCAUUGAACGCGUUGAAGACCAAUCUAGCUGAUCCAAACAAUGUUCUGCAGAGUUGGGAUCCGGCUCUCUACAAUCCCUGCACCUGGCUUCAUGUCACUUGUAAUAGCAAAAACAGGGUUACUGUGGUGUAAGCAAACCCAACAAACACCUCCUUUUCAAUUCAGUUCAAUUCAAUUCGAUUCGAUUCAGUUCAGUUCAAUUCACUUGUAACAGCGGAAAUAGCAUUACGGGAAGUUUUUAACAUUUUUGCUCCACCCAGUGAUCUUGCCAAUGCCAAUCUCUCUGGUCAUCUGGUGGCACAGCUUGGUGUGCUUUCCAAGUUGCAGUACUUGUAAGCAUGUUUUUCGCUCUGAUUUUUUGUUCGGGUCUUAUCCAACUGUUCCAUCACUAUGCAUUCGAAUUGAAAUUGGUAUUGAUACAUGACUGAUGAAUUUCACAACUGCAUUUGACAUUAUUGAAACACACUUUCUUGACAGGGAACUUUCCAAUAAUAGCAUAACUGGAAACAUUCCCGAAGAGAUUGGGGGUUUGUCAGACUUGGUGAGCUUGGAUCUUUACUUGGCAACCUUGCAAAACUGCGUUUCCUGUAUGAACCCCCAUCCCUUUGUUAGAUAAAAUCUAUCGUCUUUCUUUUUUUAUUUGAUAUGCUAAUUAUGCUGUUCGGCUCAACCCAAUAUUGUGGUCAAGGCAUGUAGCUUGAGUUUUGACUUUUUCUAGGAGUGGGUCCUGAACAGUAAGGGGCCUUAACAUCGGAAUAUUUACAUAAAUAUACUAGCGAUAGAACCCGCGCGAUGUCGCGAGUUUUAAAACUUUGUUAAACGUAUGCAAAUAUAUUAAAAUCUAAUUAUAUCCAUAUCAAAGAAAUAUCUAUUUACAUCCUCAUAUUCAAUAAGGGAAAAAGAUAUAUAUAUAAAUGUAGGAUAUAUCACAUAUUAAAAUUUGUCUACAUCCAUACCAAAGUCUAUUUGCAUCCUUACGUGUAAUAAUGAACAAAAGAUAGGUAUUUGAAGAAUACAUUACAUAGAAAAAGUUGUGGAUUAAGUUGUUCAUACAAAUACAAUCAUAUAAAAAUAUAUUCAUUUUCCUUGUCCCAACUUUUCUACAUUCAGUACUUCACUCUUCUUUCUUCUUUGUUUUUCUGUAGAUGAGGAUGUACAUUUUUCCUCAAGUAAUCUGUUCAAGAUAAAUUCAUUGGUUAGGCUUCUGAAUCAUAUGAGCCUUUAAUUGGCUUAUAAAAAUGCUCAUUUUUCAUAUGAGAAGGACAACCAGUUUAGAGUUUCGAAAGAUAAAUAAAAAUUCCAAUUCUCACCAAGAAAAAAAGCCGAAGAAAUACAAUGGGUUUAGAUGAGAGACGAAGUCUUUACCAACUAACAAAUGAAGUAAAUCAUGUUGUUCAAUACUUGAGCUUCCAAUUUAGUACACUUACAUCUUCAAUCUCCAACAAAACAAAACAAAAAAAUUGAAAAAUCAUUUAGUAUAAUUGUCACAACAUGUUGAAGAUGCAUGUACCCAACCAAUUGCUUCACCGUUCACCUAUAUCCUCGGUGCUAUAAAUUCGAAUAAAAAACCAGUAAAUAAAAGUGGUUAAGCAAAAACCCUCACUUCUCAUUACAUGUUGAAAUUUCUUUAAGCUCUAAACCUACUCCCAUUGUGUUACUUUUGUAGUGCAUGUUGUGCCUUGGUCGUUCGUCAGUGCAGAAGUGAGAUUCAGAUUGUCUCACCAAACUACAGACCCACAGUUGAACAGUUUAAAUUACAAGAAAUAAAUACACUGAGAAAUUUACGAGGUUCGGCAAAAAUCUGCCUACGUCCUCCAAGAGAUAUUGCUCUUCACUAUGAGAAUAACUAGUACAAGAUACACUUGAGUUAAAUUAACAUAACCCAAACCCCAAUCCUUUGUACCCUCACAGAAUUUUACUAAGAGCCUCACUCUCUCCAAGAGUUUCUCACUCUCACUCUAUAUUUUCUCUCCUUUGUGUUCUCCUUCGGAUGCUCUCUCAAAUGCAUUUCUAAAUGCACAAAUAUUGCAUCUAGUUAUACGCAUACACUAGCAACUAUGCCAACAAACAAGACCCAAAAGUCUUAAGUUCACAUGACAUAAUUAUCACCUAGCCUACCUAGCAUGCAUCAAAGUCUAUACCUAGUCUAUAAAGUACAACUUUUCUCCAUUUGUCAUUUAAUACAUAUAAAAUAAAACAUGCACAAUAAAACAUGCACAAUUGUGUGCAAGCAACCAUAAAGUCAAGUCUUGCUUCCAACUUUGCUUGUGGUAGUCACCAUGUCUUCUCUUGAAACAAGACAUCCAUGCCAUAACCGAAAGCCAAACACAAAGUGGUUACUGCCAUUUCCCUGUAGCACUCAGAAAGUUACACUAUCAAAAUUGUUGCCAACUCAUAAGUAUAUGAGCCAAGCACAACAGUGCAUACACUACAAAAACCAAAAAGAAAAUGCUGCAAAGGGGAAAUUGGAAAAUCAUAUCACCAGCAAACAUUGCACGAAAGGCAUCUGAAGAAGCAAGCAGGCAAGUUCUGUGAGCAUACCAUCUACCUGCAAUUGGUCAGUAGAAAUUUAAAGAGGUACUUUAUGUUAACAAUACAAUCACACACGCUAAUUGAAUACUCUGUGAUUAAGAAAAAGAAGAGGAACUCACGCUGUGCUUCUUGAAAACUGGCGAGAGAACUGGAACUGGGUUGGAAGAAUGUACUGGAAGCAAAUGGAACACCCCAGCUUUUUCAGCCUCGUCAUGAAAUAAUAUUAACAAUUCGGUCAAGUAUAAAACCAUCUGCCAGUUAUGGUUUUUGUAAAUUAUGUAGAAGCCAAAUAUCUAAUAAAUAGUCUAACAAUAAUUAAGUAAUCUGGUUUAAGAUUAAUCAAAAAGCUUGGGAAUUUCAGCUGUUAAAUCACACCUCAGGCUGCAACUCGACAAAGUCUGCGAAAUCACAAUCCAAAAUGCGAUCUUCAGUCUUCCGGCCUCUGUUGCAAAAAUUAAUCCCACAGUCCCCAAAAAAUAAAAAACUUGAAGUUUGAUUUGAAAUUAAAAAUUCAUUCUUUGAAGAUAAAUUCCAAAAAUUUAAAAUUAUAUGCGAGAGAGAGACCUUGUUAAUAUUCGGAGUUAGAGUGAGGAGUUCUCGAAUUGGGAGCGGCGGGGUUUCGUUGCAAAUUUUCCGAAGAAAAUUUCCACGAAUGAAGGGUCAUCGCGAUUUUUUGGCUGGAGGAAAUGAGGUUUUAAGAUUUUUGGAAUUUUGAGUGAAUGGACAGUGUGGCUGGUUGCGAGACAGAGAAAGAGAAGUUGGGGUGUUUUCGUCCCCUUUAAUAUCUGUUGUUGUUGCGAUUAUUUGUGAUUUAAUUAGCACUUUCUUUUCCACGAAAUAGGCGCCCAUACAACAACAGCUUGUCAGGGCGUAUUCCCGUGACUCUGACUAACAUUCAAUCAUUGCAAGUCCUGUGAGUUUCGUACACUUUCAUCUCAGUAAGAGGGAGGAGAGGGAAGUUGCUAAUUUCUCCGCCAUCAGAGAAUGCAAAUAACAUAUAGUUUUGCCAUGGAAUGCAGGGAUCUUUCAAAUAACAAUCUGACAGGGGAUAUUCCAGUCAAUGGAUCUUUUUCACUUUUUACUCCCGUCAGGUUUGUUGAACCCACUUUACUUUUUUUUUCUUUACCUUUUUUCCUGCGGUGGCUGUCCCAGCGGACGAUCUAAAUGAUGUACUGACUGCUAUUAUUCAUUUUGUAGUUUUUCCAAUAAUCCUCGUCUGAAUCCACCUCCUCCCGUUUCUCCAACCCCACCAAGUUCUCCAGGUUUUUACAACUUAUACUGUUCUUGUGAUAUUAACUCAAAUUUAUUUUGAGAACAGUUGAAUAUCAGAGUACUAGACUACAAAAUAAGAAUAUUAUUACACAAAUAAGAAUGGCAAAACGGUUGCAAAAUUUAAAAACACUACAUUGUGACACACUUGUUCUAAAGAAAAUAACAUGCAUCCUAUUUAUAAUAAAUUAUAACCUUAAUCUCUAACAAAUCCUAAUUUUAACGGGCUGACCUCAAAUCCUAAACUUAUUACUUUCCAGCUGGCUCUGUUUUGUUUCACAGACACUUGUGAUAUCGACUCCAGUCCAUUGGUAGUUAAUGUUUUUUCUUGGUGUUUUUCUGUUAAAUUUUUUUCAUAGUACAACAUUAUUGUUGGAAUCACUGCUGUAAAGAUUCUAAGAAGAUGGUAGUUAGGAAAGGAAUGGAUUGAGGAUCCGAGAGGAUACUCCUAAAUUCCUAUGAGUUUGAAGAAAUGAAUUAAAACAAUGACAUGUGAGAGGGAGUUCAUCAUAUAACAUCCGACUUUUAAGGAUUUUUCAUCUCGUUCUGGUUCAUGUUGUGCAAAUAACCCUUCCCUUUUAACUCUGGUGGUUCAUAUUAGGUGCCGGAUUCGGUGAAAUAGUGUCCGGAUUCUGUAUCGGUACGGACGUACCAUUACUUUAGCGAUUCGGUGGUGAAUUCAGUGGUUCAUCUAAUCAUAUCUGAUAAUUUCUAAUCAGAUUACAGAAAAGAAAACGCACCUGUAAUUUUUGGAAAGAGAGGAGCGAAACAACUGGAAUUUUGGGAAGCUCGGUGCUUCUGGUUUUCAUCGGGCAGAGAGAAGACGAAGAGGGAGAGGAAGAGAGAAAAUAUUACUUUCACUUUUUGGAUUUAAUUCUUUUGAUUCGAACAAAAUUUGUUGAAUUGAGGUAGCAGAUCUCUUGCAAUCUACAACUCUCCAACAAAACAAUGACUGUGUAUUUCAAGUUUGUAAAUUUUCACCUUUUUUUUUAUUUUUCACCAGAUAAGUUAAUUUCUAGAUUUGUUCAAUUUGGACUGUUAGAGAGAUUUGUAAAGGGUGGAGAGAUCACGUGUUUGUACAAGUGGUGAGAUUCUUAUGUUAAAAAUUAUUAAUAACAUAAAAAAUAAAAUUUUCCACAAUUUAUAUAAUAACACGUGAUGUAUCACUUGUGUUACGAUCACAAGGAUAAAAUUUUCAAUAUAAUGGAUCUAGAGUAAAGUACAAAAAAUUACUUCAACUAUUGGUGUCACGACACUUUCAUACCUCAUCUUUUAAAAUUGAUAAUGUCAUACCUCAUCUUAUGAAUUUGUGUCCAUGUUAUACAUUCCGUUAGGUUGGCGUGCAUUUCUCAGUUAAAUGCUGACGUGACUUGAUCUUGGGGCAAUUUUCUAUUAAAAAAUUAUUAAAAACUAAAAAAAAAUAUUUAAUAUUUUUUAAAUAUUAAAAAAAAAAAAACCAAACAAACACUCAGUCAGUUCAUCCCCUCCCCCCUUCUCUCUCUUCUUCCCCCUUCCUACAACUCCAACCCAGAAAAAAGAAGAGAGAAAAAAUAAAAAACCAAUUUGUCUUCCCCCUCCCCACCCCCUCUUCUCCCCGCACCCACUCUCCACACCCAACCACCCCACCUUCGCACCCAACCUCGCACCCAUUACCUGCAACCCAAAAAAAAACAAAAAAACCCAGAAGAAAAAAAACCAUAUCCCGUUGAGGUGGAAUCGGGAAGCCUUCGCCAGGCCGAUUCCGAAGGUUGAGAACCUGGGCGCGAAGAAAAUGGGGGGAAUGGGUGUGGAGGGAAGAGGGUGGGUGCAGGGGGGACGGACGAACUGGGUUUCUUAAAACAAAAAACAAAAAAACCCAGAAAAAAAUAAUAAUAUCCCGUUGAGGUGGAAUCAGACCUGCAGCGAACACAAGGAACUGUUGUCCAGAGAUCCCGCCCAAAAGAGUUAUGGGUUUACCAAACUCUGUUUGGGUACCAAGUAUUGGAACCGGGUAAAUCUAGACCCUUCUCUGCGACUAGAUCAUAUAAUCUCCAUAGCUGUCCAAAACGGACUACUAUUGGAUCCUCUUAAGUUGCUUUCCAGCGACUAGAGACGAUAGGCGCAUUGAAGAAUUCUUCGAUCGAGACUGCCAGAUCAAUAGCCGUCGUCAAGUAUGCCUUCGCCAGGCCGAUUCCGAAGGUUGAGAACCUGGGCGCAAAGAAAAUGGGGGGAAUGGGUGUGGAGGGAAGAGGGUGGGUGCAGGGGGGACAGACGAAUUGGAUUUCUUAAAACAAAAAAACCCAGAAAAAAAAAACCAUAUCCCGUUGAGGUGGAAUCGGGAAGCCUUCGCCAGGCCGAUUCCGAAGGUUGAGAACCUGGGCGCGAAGAAAAUAGGGGGAAUGGGUGUGGAGGGAAGAGGGUGGGUGCAGGGGGGACGGACGAACUGGGUUUCUUUUCUUCUUCUUCUUCUUCCUCCUUCUUUCUAGGUUUUUUUUUGGGGAGGGGGGGGACUGGGUUGGGUUAGGUUUUUUUUGUUUUUUUUUUUCUUUUUCUUCUUCCUCCUCCUCCUUUUUUUGGGUUGCAGGGGGUUGGGUUUGUGGUGGGGGGUUUUUUUUUUUUUUUUCCUUCUUCUUCUUCUUCCUCCAUCUUCUUUCUGAGUUUGUUGUUAGGGGGGGGGGAGAACUGGGUUGCAGGAAGAUGGGGAGAGAGAGACGGGUGGGAAGGACGAACUGACUUGAGGUUUUUUUCUUUUUUUCUUUACUUUUCUUUAUUAUUUUAAUAUUUAAAUAAUAUUAAAUAAUUUGUUUUAGUUUUUAAUAAUUUUUUAUUAACUUUUUAAUAGAAAAUGGGUCUCGGAUCAAGUCACGUAAGCAUUUACCUGAGAAAUUCACGCAAACCCUAACGGAAGGUAUAACAUUGGCAUAAAUUCGUAAGAUGAGGUAUGACAUUGUCAAUUUUAAAAGAUGAGAUAUGAAAGUGUCGUGACACCAAUAAUUGAGAUAGUUUGUACUUUAUCCAUGGAUCUAUCAGCACUCUUUUCUUAUUAUGUUAGUGGAGGGACCCAUCUGCAGUGUUGAUAUUUUUUAUAGAAGAUGUAAACAGUCGGUGACCCAUAGCAUUUCCCAAGUUCCAUAUUAAUUUGACAAUAUUUAUAUUAUUCUGAUUAGAAAUUUAACAGAAUUAAUUGUUUUUUAUUUGUAACAAAUAAUUGCUUACAAAUAAUCAAUUCUAUUAAAAAUAAUUGCUUACAAUAAACAAUAACUAUAAUUAAAAUGUAUAUAUAUUAUAAUUUUUUUUAAUUUAUAUUUUUUAACGAAUUGAGAACGAAUCGAGCUAAAUAUCAUAUUGUCUAUGUGUACACACUAACGAAUAGUACUAUAGGUUACAACCGAAUUCCGUACCCGAACAGAAUUACGAACUCGCACCGUGCCACUAAUACUGCGGCUGUUGCUGGUGCUGCUUUGCUGUUUGCUGCUCCUGCAAUUGCACUUGCUUAUUGGCGACGAAGAAAAUCACAGGAUCAUUUAUUUGAUGAACCUGGUUAGUGAACUAUAAGAGUAAUAUAGCUUGAUCAAGUUGGUGUUGUAGUUGUUGAAUGGGAUGCAGGUUUCACUCAUCUACUGUCUUUGCAGCUGAGGAGGAUCAAGAAGUUCAUUUACGACAGCUCAAAAGGUUUUCUUUGCGCGAGCUACAAGUUGCGGAUACCUUUAGCAACAAAAAUAUUAUUGGUAGAGGUGGCUUUGGUAAGGUUUAUAAAGGAUGCUUAGCUUUGGCUUUUGGUAGAGGAGGAUCAAAAGUAUUAUUGGUCGAGUUGGCUUUGGCUUUGGCAAGAUUACAAUUCAACAGUCCGGUCCCAAAUGAUAUGCACAUUGGUUCCGUUCCCUGUAUACAUGUAAGAAGCCUUCAGAGGACUAGAGAAGAUCCAUUUUGUAUUUCAGUCAUACCACACUUGUGCAUAUGUUUUGUCUUUGUUUUUUAUUUUGUUUUUGUCUCAUGUAUUUUUUAGAUCACAAAAAUGGAGCUGGCGUUGUUUUAAUUUUUAUAGGGUUAACUGGCAUUACGAAGUUAUAUGGUGCUAGCAUGAAUUAGGAAGGGCCAUAAAAGUACUCGUUCCUGAUGAUUUAUGUAUCUAUCCAGAAAUUAGUUCAGAUUGUCGAGUAAAUAAUCAUUCUGAACUUAUAACUCUCUAUAUUUUUUUAGUGUUCCUAUAGAUCCUAUAGUUACGAUAAGGACACUAGGUCAAGUGCAUGGGUGUUUGUGGAUAGAUAGUGUUUGAAAUUUCAUUGUGAUCAUUGCAAGUGUGACUUUGUGGCACUACCCUUAUAGGUACUUGAACUAAGGCAUUAGGGGAUCAAGAGAUCACUUUGUGUCAUUCCAACACAAGAAUUCGAGCUUUGUCUAAUCUCUUUAAAGUAUCGCCAAUGGGGAUCCCUCUACUAUCUUUGAGGAUUUAUUUAAGACCAACUAUAGGGUAAGACCCAAACCUAAACAUUUGAGUUUAAACAAAAUAAAAAUGCAAUCUAAUUGCGGGACUUUUUUGUUUUUUUGAACAACAAAUAUUUUCUACACGAAAAGGGUGGGAGAUUAGGUUAAGCCUUACAGUGGACUAGCAAUAAUAUUGUUCAAAUUUUCUUUUGGCGAGAAUCGAACCUAAAUACCUCUCACUUAUAUGUGAAGAAGUAAUACCACUAAACCGUAGUACUAAGUGGCAUCUAAUGGUUGCACAUAAACCUAAAAAGUUUGGCUUUUGACCCAAGCUAAACCCACAUUUGGGUUUGUAUUUGGCUGACCCAAAUUUUUGGGGGCCCUACUUUUUUUGUUUUUGAAAGGUGAAAAUUGUUUAAAAAGUAAGACUACUUGUGGGUUAAACUACCGCAAACCCUCAGUUAGCAUGCAAGGUUUUAUGAAGAGUUAAUGAUCUCAUUCAGAUUCAGGAUGGAACUUCAUCUUCCUUAAUUGUACUAAAGCAUAUUAACUUACAUGACGUUAUGUGUGAAAAUUAUAAGAAAUUGCGCCAUUCAUCUAUUGUCAAUUGGUUUAAAAAGUGAAACUCAUUUUCUUUCAAAUUUUCAUAAAACUGAGGCUAAACGUAUGUGGACCUAUUGAAAAUGUUACAUUUCGAGUUUCUACUCUAAAAUUUUCACAAUUUAGUGCGAUUAAUUUUGUACUUAAUUUCCCAUUAAGGUAGGUCAUAGGCCAAUUAUGUACCAUGAUUACCUCUUAUUAUAAGAUAGAAGUGGGGAGAUUCCAAACAAUAUUUCAUCAGCCAAAGACGAAUCAUAUUGGCCUAAUAAAAGAAAGCUAGGACGCGAUUUGAAAUAAUGAAAACCGUUGUGGCAUAUAUAUUGAUGUUAAUCAAACCAAUAUAUCACGAGAUAAAGUAUAAUUCUACUUUGUUUGAUGAAUCCAUCGAAAUCCUAUUUAAUUUAAGGAGAGGGGCAGAUUACAUCGGUUUGGUUUGACAAUAAAAAAUAAACUGAAUCAAAUAGUAUUCAGUGGUUCAGUUCGAUUCAAUUUUGAUCAAUACCACUAUUCAAAUCGAACUAAACCAAAUAAAAAAUGGAGAGAUCAUAUCGGUUUGAUUUGGUUUGAUUCGGUUGGUUUAAGCCUAUUCAACACAUAAAUAAAAAAACAUUAUACAUUUUAAGAGUUUUAUUCUUCUAAACAUCACACAUCUUGCGCGUUCCAAUUGGAUUGAAAGAUUAAAUUUUUCGGAACAUAAAAGUUCAUCAAGUCAAAUAGAACCAAGUUUCAAUUAAAUAAAGUCUCAUGCUAGCAAACAAUUUAUUAGCUAUAAACCUCAUAUAAGCAUGAAAUACAUAUAAUCAGCUUAUUGUUAAUAAUCAUUACAACUUUGUAAAAUUAAACUAAUUAAUAAUUCAAAGAGACAUGGUCAGUUCGAUUUGGUUUUGAUCGAUUUUAAAAGUAUCAAAAUAGAACCAAAAAAAAAAAUAAAUUGUUUUGGUUCGAUUUUUAAAUUAUUUGUUUUUACUUGAUCACCAAACAGACCAAAUUAAUUUUGUUUGAACCAGUUGAUUUGGUCGGUUUUAAUGCUCACCCCUAUCCAAAAUGCAUGGCUACCAACACUAGAUAAAUUGUAAAUGAGAAAUGCUAAGGAGACUCUCUCAAAAGUAGGACUCUCCAUAGACUUUCUAUCACCUCAUGUUUUUUGCACAAUAUUUUAUAAUGUUGGCACGAAAUUAAUGUUAAACUAUGACGACCCGUCCUUAAUUUUAUGAUUUUAGUAAUUUUAAAAUGUGUGAGAAUUGACGAAAAUGCCCCUAGAGGCGAGGGCGUUGACUUUGUUGACGGUCUUUUUGUGACGCGUUCGAGCUACUAUUUCACCGCAUUCUCGAACUACUCGACGAUACAGACACGUAGGCACAAGCAGAAUCGAAUUCGGAGUUGCAAUGAAAAUUUUACAGAUUUACGAAGUCGAAGAGCAUUUUAAUAAUUUCAUCAUCAUCCUAAAUAUUUGGCUCUCUAUUAUUUUAAUAUUUUCCCUUGAAUUUUUGGUCCAGUGGGACUCCCCACUUCUUUUCCCCCAAAUCUCAUGCUUCCAAAUCACUCGGAACUCUCUCUCUUCCCUAUAUCUUCUUCCUCUCAUCUCUCACCUUUCUCUUCUCUCUGUAUAAAAAAAAAAAAAAAAAAAAAGGUGGAGCCGAGCAGUACAACCACCACCUCACCACCUUUCCAGUGAACUACACCUGAACCACCAUACCAUGUCCCUCUGUCUCUCUCUUGUUAUGCAUCUUUCUCCCUCAAUCUCCAUGUCGUCUCUCUCAUCUCUACAAACAACAGGACAACCGUGAGGUUAAGGUCAUCACCAUCGCCGUCUUCCAUGGCAGAUGACCAUCGAACCAAUGUUCCCAAGAUAUCAUAUCAUCUGAAACCUAGCCUAGGUUUAAUUCCAGACAUCCCAACGGGAAUAGCUCUCGAAUCUUAGAGUUCUAACACUGCGGAGACUAUUCAGCAUGGAUCUCACCACUUUCUAUGAAGGUGAGUGUCGAUUAUGCUUUGUGUGAUCUCCCCCUUGUGGUUUAAAAUGACUUUUAGGCUUAAUGAGUGAAGUUUGGAUUGGUUUCAUGACAUAAAUGGCAAGGGAGGAAGUUUUCCAGAUUUCUGGAAAAUUAGUAACCGUGGUCAUUUGACAACUUUCAGGCCAUUUUUUUGGCCAACACCGACCUUAACUCGGCCUCACCUUGGUAUGGUGUUUCUCUCUACAUUUCUAACUUCAAAAUGGCUCUUGAAUUAUUGAUUUUGGUGGGAGAAUCAAGCUCGAUAUAAGCUCUGGAAGUCGGACAAAAAACCUGCAAAAUGCAGGCCUUCGCAAGGAAGCUGAGUACAAUGGUACUUGCAGGCACGUAGGCAUGCGUGGGCUUUACAUGGGUCAUCGGCGCGUGGAGAAACCCGAGGUCCCUCUUUAGGUUUCUCGACAUGCUGGACCCGAAUCCGCCCUCAUUUUUCCCCACACUUUGUAUGAAAAUGUGUUUAUACGUUAGUACUUUACGUAUUUACAUAUAUGGUUUCGUUUCUAGGCGAAAUGCCUCGAAAGGACUCUCGAUGCUACGAGUCGGGUUCGACUCAACGACAGGAUUUGUGAGUGGGUCUUUUCUUGAUACAUACAUACAUACAUACAUACAUACAUACAUACAUACAUAUAUAUAUAUAUAUGUUUAGUUUCCAUAUAUACAUCUAAUAAUGAAUUUUCUAUAUGAAUGUCAUAGUUAAAUUAAUAUUUAUAGAAAAUGACGUAACGAAGAGAAUUAGGAAAAUCAUUAUGAAUCUUACGGGAUGCCUUAGCUAAAUUUACGGCUAUGAAUAAUAUUAUGUUGACUAGAAUUAUCAAAUCAUUAUGGCAUGGCUACAUUUAUGUUAUUUGCUCAUCGUUUGCUGCACCGGUGUUAGUACUCGCCUGGGCCAGGGCCAAUCUUUCACGUGUAUGUGCACAUCGCACUGUACGCUCACUUUGGAUCCCUUGUAGGUGUCAGUCCUAUCGUACAGGUUGCAAUAGGCAGCUUCGACUUGUAUGUGUUGCGCAUAGCGCCAGUCUUCGCAUGAUUGUAGUACUAUAGUGUAUAUCAUUGUUACACCCAGUCCUAUUCAUGUCAGAAUACCUCUGCAUGAACUCAUGUGUCAGCAUGUGUCAAUGAGNCCACUAAACCGUAGUACUAAGUGGCAUCUAAUGGUUGCACAUAAACCUAAAAAGUUGGCUUGACCCAAGCUAAACCCACAUUUGGUUUGUAUUUGGCUGACCCAAAUUUUUGGGGGCCCUACUUUUUUUGUUUUUGAAAAGCAAUGGGCAAAUUAUAUUAUAUACUAAAAGAGAAAAACGCCUGAAUCACUAUUCAUAGUACAGUGGAUUUUCGAUUUUGUCCUCGCUUAUUUGUCUAUUAUUAUAGCCUUGCCCCUAUUGCUUUGCUGUCAAAUGCUUAACAGUUUCGCGACGCGUGGAAAUUCCGGAGCCUUCUUUGUUAUUUUUCCCUCACCAUUUGGCUGUUUCCUCGCCCACCGCAUAAUUCUUCUACUGCUGCCAAUCCAUAAACCACAACGCGAAUCCGACCGCCUCUUCUUUCCCCUUCACUUUCACGGUUCCACCCCAACAUCAUCGGUAAGCUUUGAAACGUUUUUAUGGGUGUGAGUUUCUGAAUGCAUGUCUAAACUUUGAUUGGAAUUUGGUUGUUUCCUUAAUUCCCAUCAACCCUUCUCACAACUUCAUCUAAAAUGCUCUGCAUGUAAGAUCUGUGUUCGUGUAGGUCAUUUCAAAGGGAUUUCAAGCUGGGUUGCAAAGAUUUGAUUCAAGUUUGUGGAUUUGGGUAAGAAAUUAAGAACCCCUAAUCUUUUCUUAAGGUUUUAAAUGCCACAUGCAUCACAAUAAUCCAUUCAAAAUCACAAUUUUCCUCCGUGCUUCCUCCGUUAUUUCUUCACCAUCAACCUUGCGGCAACUUCCUUGCCGAUUCGAGCUGCUCGACCAUGACAUGAACGCCGCCUCCACACGUUUGACUCGCUGUACGUCCUUGGCUUGCCGCUCUCCUUAUCUCCCGGUGAUUCAUUCUCCUCAUUGGAUUCUAUUUGGGUGAGUUCUUGGUUGAUACUCGCCCCCAUGAUUUUUCAAUUUGGUUUUUUUGGGUGUCUUUAGUCGUCGUGUUGAUAAAAAUUUUCUGCGUUUUUUUGCUUUUCGUUUGUGGUUUUUUUUUAAAUUUUUUUGGGGGUUUGAUGAAUGAAUUUGUGUGGGAGUUUUUGAAGUUUUAUUAAUUAUGUUGUAUUUGGGCCCCUGGGUAAGCUUAGAAACCUUUGUAGAUGUCGCAUGCAUGUAGAUUUUUCUUCAAACAUAUGAAGAAUUGUUAGUCUGCUGUACAAUUUCCUCUGCCACCCUUGGAAAAUCAACAUGCACAGACAUUUUAGAAUUCUUCAUUUAAAUUUGCAGGGUUCAGGACAGUUUUUCUUUUAAAGUUAUGGGUUCUUUUGAUAUGAUUUUUUUUUAUUUGAAUUAUUCAUUUAAUUUUUGAGAUCUUUUAGCAAAUCUCCAAAUUGACUCAUAAUGAUUAGGCUUGAAACAGAUGCUAUAAAUCAGUUUUGGUGGAGGAGUUGUUCCGCAGCCUCAGGAAAAAUAGAGGAAUGUUUUUGAAAUAAGGUCUGAUCGAAACUUUUGUAUAAAAUUUCACAAUUUUUGAGUUUUAAGCCAUUCAAAUUCACAUUUGCCUACAUUAAUAUAUUAAGUAGGUUACUUAUUGAUUUUUUUUUGGGAUUUUCUGUUUUUCAUGGUUUCCUAAUCCUUUGUCCGACUUGAAUGUGUAGCUAAGCAUACCAGCAAAUCAAAAGGUUUUUUGAGACGGAGGGGUGCUCUGGCUAUUCCAAUAGUUUCGGUACUGCUAGCAUGUGGUAUUAAUCAUUGUGUUGCCUUUGCCAUGCUAAGCGGAUAAAAAAAGAGUAAAACAAAAGGUAUGAGAAGUAGUCAUCCCCUCUGAAUUGUUUAACGGUUUGAUCUAAAUAAAAGCAAUGCAAUUUCAUCUUAAUGAAUGUCUACAAUUGGUUCAUGUGAUAGCACAGACUAUACGGAGAGAGAUGAACUUGAAGAAGCGAGGAGACACCCCGAGUUGCAAUAUUUCGGUCUGAGCACCAUAAUAGCAGCCACAGAUAACUUCUCACCCAUUAACAAACUCGGCCAAGGGGGUUUUGGCAUUGUUUAUUAGGUGAAUCCCAAUUCAGAAGUCUUACACAUUUUACAAUUGAAUGAUUUCUUCUAAGCAUUAUACAGUAAUUUUGUUCUGUUUCUUAUGUCUACUGUUUUUUUUUUUUUUUUUUUUUUUUUUUUUUUUUUUUUUUUUAUAAAGCAUGAAAGCCUAAUAGUAAUACUGAUUCAUUACUUCAGGGCCACUUGCCAAAUGGUCAGAUUAUUGCUGUAAAAUAUGUAGAUUGCACUUGAACAAGGUUUGUUUCUCGAAUCACAUUCAUUAGUUAGAUUAUUAAUGUGCUUCGAGAGGGGUUUUCAAUAUGAUUUUGUAAUUUCCCUUGAGAACUGUUUACACGUUUCCAUAUGGGUUUUUUGAACUACAGAAAAUUUUGUCAUUCCUAAGAUUUAAUUGUUGUUAUUGUAUAGUUUAAUUAUUUUCCCCUAAUAUGAUUGAAUGGUAAUUAGUUGUAUAAAUUUGGCUUUGACCGUUCUUUCUCCUCCUUGGGUUCUAUUUCCGUCUCUGACCCCAUUGAACUUCAGUUGAGCUCAAGUAAGCAGUCCUAGCGGCCAGCCUUCUUUUAGGUCACUCAAGGAUAAUUGGGAUCAAAUAUUCGCAUUUUCAUUGUUUGAAGUAGGAAGCACCACUUUUUCCUCUAAUUUUGUUUCUUCUGAAAUUUAAUGGUUCUGAUUUGAAUCAUCUUGCAGAAGAUUGAGAAACAGAAGGUUGGAGGACUAGAUGAUCAAGCAUUGACUUAUUUUUAAAGAAAAGGUAAACCACGAAAAUCCCAAAGUGAUAUCCCACGACCUACAACUAUUUUUGUAUUUGAUUAAUUUAAUUCUUAAUAUUUUUCCGCGUUGAUUUAUGUUGAACUAUGUCUGAAAGGUGGCCUUUGUUCAGAUUGAAAUACAAAAUUAAAUCACAUUUGAUCAGUUAAAUCACAUCUAUAUUAAUGUGCAAAUUUGCAGGAUAUUGACUAUAAUAUUCACUUAGUCAGUUCUCUGUAUUAUCCUUUCUUCAACAGGGGUUGAGAACAAUAUUUAAUAUGUAGGUUGAAUUGAUUGAAUAUUUGGUUUUGUUGGUUGAAAAGUUUAAUAUCGUUUAUUUGUAUGCUCUGAUCUUUGGUUGACGCUGUUAUGUGGAAAAGACCCCUUAUAAAAGAUUAGAGAUGUAACUGGUACUUUGUCUAUAUUCCUGUAAUUUGAUUGUAUAUUGUUUUAUUUACUUUUGUAGGUUAGAGUUUUUAAUUUUUAUGGGUUUAUUGAAUGCGUAAUUCUCUAAGCAUUCGAAAAGGUAAGAUUUGGGAGAGUGAGAAUUUGUAAUUACCUUGAGAGGAAUUCUUUUUAUUGCAUCUACAAAAUAUUUAACAUCAUCUACUAACAACGCUUUGGCUUUCCAGUAAACAAAUAACAGAAGGACCUCCAUACAUUCAUGAGCAUCACUUUUAUUUAGUGGAUUACAAUGAAUUGUUAUCUCACGUAGAUAAAGUUGAAAUUCUCAUAGGUAAUUAAACACAUUUAUAAAUCUACAUCUAUAUGCCAUUUUUGUUUGCCAACAUUUUUUCAUCCUAUAAUCUUAUAAUAUUGGAUUGCCAAAUUGCAAGAUAUUGUGGGACGCAUCACAUCAGUGCAACCAGACAGUUUUGAAUCCCGCAGCAUUGCGCGGGCUUCACUGCUUGUGAUUUACUAAAGUGGCCGACAGAUGGACCCCUCAGCUGGCAGGGUACCAGUUGCAAAACGGUAACAUUUUAAGGGACUACGAGCCGUUUUAUUUUUGGGCCAUUGGUUUUUGGGCCAUUGGUGAUCAACGGUCUAGGUUAAAAUCUUUUUUUGUUUUGCAAUCUUUAGAUUUUGAUCUGAUUGUUCAUAUUUUUUUUUUCAAAUCUAAUUGUAAAAAAAAUCCAACUGCUGAAAUUUAAAUUAAAUGUCAAAAUAAUAAAAUAAUUUUUUAGAACAUAUCCACUUUACAUUUGGAUGGUGUGUGUAUUGAAGUUUGGUUGGUUGGUGUGAUUUGUUCGGUUUUGAAAAUUUUGUCGAAAUUUAAUCAUUUAAUGUCAAAAUACUCGUCAAAUUAAAUUAAAAUAAUAUAAUUCAAAAGUACAAAAAAAAUUAAAAAAAAUCCCACCAAAAAAAUUAGGGUUAAAACUAUAUUCCACAACAAUUAGCAUUUUAGGUCCUGAAAUUUAGGUCUUGGUAUUUGGGUGAUAUUCACUGUUCAUAGACUUAAAUUCCGUCUUUUUAAUGGUCUUUUAAAGGGGUGUGUAGUCAAAUUAGGAUUUGAUAGCAUUUUGAUGGAUUUUAAAAUCUAAGUGCAUUCAAUUAGGAUUUUAAAAGAUUUUGAAAUCAUAGUGUAGUCAAAUUAGGAUUUUAUAGGAUUUUAAAGAAUACAUCAAAAUCCAAGGAUAGUCGAUUAGGAUUUUAAAUGAGUCUGCAGAUGUCUAGGUGUAGUGAAAUUACCAAGGAUUUGCUAGGAUUUUGAUGAGUGAUGGAUUUUAAUGGAUUUGAGGGUUUGUGGUAUAAAUACCAAAUGUUAUCCAACCCUUACCCCUCAAAUUUCUUUUCACACCAGAGGAACAGUCUUCUCCAUUUGAGAGGACCUACUGUGAACUCAGCCGACUUGGACUUCUAUGGCUGGUCGUGAAAUCUUUGCAAGCAUGAGAAGAUGUCCCAGCACCACCAACUUAUUUUUUUCUUUCUUCACCGACUACCCAAACAUCUCACGUAAAUUCCCUUGCUGACUCUUCCUUUCCCUUCAACUACUUCCUAUCUCUGUUGUACUUUUAUUUACAGAAUACACCUUGUUCAAUUUUGCUUUGGUGCCUUUGAAAUGUCACCAUUUAUUAUUAAAACCAAUCAACGUCACUCUCGAAACACGUAUUAUUUGGCUUGGGUUGGAUCAAUUCAUCCAACCUGUAUACAUUCUAAACAUUAUUAAUUUGUGCUAUUACUACGGUAUGAAAAUAUGCAAUUAACUAGUCCUUGGAUUGAGGAUCGUGAUUUCAGACAGUGUAGUAGAAUACACAUAACAAUUAGGGUUUCAAUUGCAGAGAGUUGGAGAGGUUAAUCUCAGCCACAGAGUUUCAUUAAAAAUGAUCUGACGGCAUUGUAUGUGAUUUCUAAAUUUUUUUAAAAUCCUAGGAAAUCCAAGAAAGAAUCCAUACAAAUCCAUACAAAUCUAUAAGAGAAAUCCACAUAAAUCUGUCAAAAUCCAUAUGGAAUUGUAGAGUCCAUUAAAAUCCUUUAAAAUUUGUCACCUAAACAAAAUCCAUUAAAAUCCUCUAAAAUUCAAAUUGAUUACACCCCCUAAAUAUUUUGGUUUGGGUGUAAGGGUUGGAGUUGGUCUAAGGACUUUAAUGGAAUCUUUGAAUUCCUAUAAGUGUAUUGCCUCAUAGCGAACCGGGAUCCUCGCAGGAUCCAUUCCCUAGGGAUCCCGCAAUUCUAUCCGUUCAUCGUAUAUCAUGCGGUCAGUUUUCGUUAGGUACUAUUUACAUUCGAAUUUUAAAUUUUAAAUUUUAAAUGAUUUCUAACCGCACGAUAUACGAUAAACGAACAAGAUUGCAAGAUCACUAGGGAAUGGAUUCGACGAGGAUCUUGGUUCUACAAUAGCUUCACUAUUGGCUAUAGCUUAUGUCAUGGUUUAUAUUAUAGCUCAUGUCAUGGUUUAUUAUUUCUAAUCAAAGUUAGACUUCGACUCUUUGCAACCCUUGGUCAACUAAAUGAGUUAUUAAUUAAAAGUCGUUUGAUAAUUAUUUUGUUUUUAAUUUUUAAUUUUUAGUUUUUACUUUUCUGUUUUGAAAUUAGCCAAAAUGGUCUCUGAAAUUAGCAUAACUUCUCACUUUGAUUCCUGAAAUUUAAAAUUGCCAGAAGUGAUUCAUGAGUUUGUUAAUUAUCAAUCAUUUUGAUCAUUAUGUUAAAAAUAUCCAUUAAAUAAGGAGCAAAUAACAAAAUAACCUCAAUUUAAUAAAAAAUGGGCCAUAAUAAUUUGAUAAAAAUUGAGUGUAAUUUUGUUUUUUCAUGAAAUGAUUAAAAUAAGGGAACUUUAAUGAAAAGUUUAUAGUACUGUUCACUUUAACGAAAAAUCAUAUUUUUACAAUAAAAAGUUAAUCCUGGUACUAUUCAUUUUACCCAUUAUUUUGUCAUUAUCAUUAAAACUCAAAGUUUUCAAACCAUUUUUAUUAAUUUUUCUUUAAAACAAUUUAUAGUGGAUUAAACCAGAAAUCUCAUUUUGAGUGAGGAGUUGCAUAGCAAUUUCAGGAAUCAGCUGAAAAGUAAAAAAUAAAUAUAAACAAAAGAAGAAACGAAACUUCCGACCUGGUGGGUUGCGACUUUGGUUUGGUAUUGCUGUGCUUUGAAAAAAAACUGUUUCUGCUGUGCUGUGAGAAUAAGCAGCUGUGAAAUAAAACAGCAGAGUGUUUGGUAAAUUUUUUUGUAAAAAUGCUUUUGAAAAAAAAAACAGUAUUAUAGUGUUUAGUAAACUUUUAUGUAAAACAGAUGUGAAAAAAAAAAAACCGAUUUUUCAAAGUUGGGUUUUGCAGCUUCCUGUUUUUGGUUUUUUUCACACAAAACUGUAAAAAAAAAAUGUGAAAUUGAAUGUUUACCAAAUACAAUAAAGCUGCCAGCUUUUUUUUAUACCAUUUUUUUUCAGAAUUACCACCGUACCAAAUCAGGGCUUAAACUGACUGAGAGGUCCUCUAUCCGCAGCUCCUUCGUCUUCCUCCCAAGCCUUUUACCUUUUCUUUCUUUCUUCUCCAAAACUAGCAAUCUGAGAUUUCAACCUCUCUCUCCAAGGAGCAGCGGCAUGCUUUUCCAAACGUAAUCUGCAAUUUAAUCAAACAGCCACCAAAUUUUCUGGAAUCCGGUCAAUGCAGAGAUUCUUCGGAUUUUGAUCGGUCAACGCCAGCUGCUUACCUGAGCUCUAACAGACACAACAGUGAUAACGUCCUCCACCUCUGUCUCUGUUUGGCUGAUUCUGCUGUUUCGCUUCUUUCACCUCCACAAGCUUGCUGCCAAUGUCGAAGGUAUGUCUCUGUGUGUUAUUGAAAUUGGGAGUGUUUGGUUGUGGGAACUGGAAUGAACUAAUGAAUGAAUGACUGGAAACAUUCCCGAAGAGCUUGGGGGUUUGUCAGACUUGGUGAGCUUGGAUCUUUACUUGGCAACCUUGCAAAACUGCGUUUCCUGUAUGAACCCCCAUCCUUCUGUUAGAUAAAAUCUAUCGUCUUUCUUUUUUAUUCGAUAUGCUAAUUUGCUUUUAUUAAUUGUUCCAUUGGAGUGACUUUCUUCCUUAAAGUCCUUGUGCCGGAUGCAUAUAAUUUAUAGUAUGAUCCCUGGUUUCAAGAUUCACAAGAAGGGAACAUCCAAUCAUUGCAAGUCCUGUGAGUUUCAUACACUUUCAUCUCAGUGUAAGAGGGAGGAGAGAGAGAGACAGAAGUUACUAAUUUCUCCGCCAUCAGGUAUUGUUUGGUAUGUAGACGAGAACGGAACGGGACAGGAUGGGACGGAAUGGAGAGAGAGAGCAAAGAUGCUCUCGGAUGGAAACAAGGAGGAAGAAGAAUGAGACGGAGAAAUUAUAAUUUUGUGUUCCACGGAUUUGGAACGAGUCAUUCCAGGGAAAAAGGGGAAACAAAAAUUCAUCUAAAAUUCGUUCCGUGAAACAAUACGUUUCACCCGUUUUAGGUGAACCAAACAUGAGACGGAACGUCUCAUUUCACUCUGUUCCGUCACGUUUCACGUACCAAUCGGUACCCCAGAGAAUGCAAAUAACAUAUAGUUUUGCCAUGGAAUGCAGGGAUCUUUCAAAUAACAAUCUGACAGGGGAUAUUUGUGGUGCCCUUUUCGUGCCCUCCUGUUUUUGUGGUUACGGUUAAGCCACGUCAACAUUUUAUAUUACUAUUUCUUUUUGUUUUAUUAUUUUUAUAAAAAAAUAAUAUAAAAUAUUAACGUAGCUUAACCGUGACCACACAAAACAGGAGGGCACUAUUUGUGGUGCCCUUCCCGUGCCCUCCUGUUUUUGUGGUUACGGUUAAGCCACGUCAACAUUUUAUAUUACUAUUUCUUUUUGUUUUAUUAUUUUUAUAAAAAAAUAAUAUAAAAUAUUAACGUAGCUUAACCGUGACUACACAAAACAGUAUGACACGGAAAAGGUACCGAAAUAGGAGGGCAGACAAUCCAAGUCCUCCGGUCAAUGGAUCUUUUUAACUUUUUACUCCCAUGAGGUUUGUUGAAGCAACUUUACUCUUUUUCUUUACCUUUUUCCUGCGGUGACUGUCCCAGCGGACGAUCUAAAUGAUGUACUGAUUGCUAUUCUUCAUUUUGCAGUUUUGCCAAUAAUCCUCGUCUGAAUCCACUUCCAGCCUCACCACAUCCAGGUUUUUACAACUUGUACUGUUCUAAUGUUCUUGUGAUAUUAGCGCAAAAUUAUUUUGAGAAUUGGCUCUGUUUUGUUUCACAGACACUUGUGAUAUCGAUCCAGUCCAGUAAUGGUUAAUGUUUUAUUUUUGGUGUUUUUCUGUUAAAACUUUUCAUAAUGGUUAAUGUUUUAUUUUUGGUGUUUUUCUGUUAAAACUUUUCAUAAUAUACCAUUACUGUUGGAAUCACUGCUGUAAAGAAUCUAAGAAGAUGCUAGUUAGGAAAGGAAUGGAUUGAGGAUCCGAGAGGAUACUCCUAAUUAUGUGUUGUACUAUUUCUGUGAGUUUGAAGAAAUGAAUAAAAGAAUAAUGUUAGCGAGACCAAAAAUUUUAAACGGUUGUUGAUGAUUGAAUUAUUAAUUAAGUGUCGAUUAUUGUGUUUAUUUCUUAUUGGUGACACAUUAUUUGGUUUGGCGAUUCAGUGGUGAUUAUAAUCAUCUACAAUAAUUAAUACGCACUGAUAAUUUUUGGGAACAGAGGAGUGAAAAAACUGGAAUUUUGGGAAGCUCGGUGCUUCUGGUUUUCAUCGAGCAGAGGGAAGACGAAGAGGGAGAGAGAGAGAGAAAAUACUAAGUUUAAGGAAAUGGUUGAGAGACCAAAGUUUUAAAUCAAAUUUACGAACCAAAUGAUGUAUCAUCAUUAAGAAACAAGCAUGUAUACUUAAUUAAUAAUUCAAUCAUCUACAACCACAUCAUUUGGUUUAAUAUUUUUGAUCUCCCUAGCAUUAUCAGUAGUUUAAUUGUAAUUUUUUUUUUAUGGAGGCACCGAUCAACAGUGUUGAUUUUUUAGAGAAGAUGUAAAGAGUCGGAGGCCCAUAGAAUUUCCCAAGUUCAAAUAUUUAUAUUUUUUUGUCAAACGAUAGAUUUUAUUAGAUUAUAUGUUAGGUUAGUCAUCGACGGAGUUUGAACCUACGCCGUCAUGCAAUGACGCAACACAUUUCCACCACUGUGGUAAAUGGUCACUUGUAUUUGAGAAUAUUUAUAUUAUUCUAAUUUGAAAGUUAAGUGAAUUAAUUAUUUUUUAUUUGUAAACAAAUAUUUGCUUGCAAGUAAUCAAUUCUAUUAAACAAAAAUAAUUGCUUACAAUACAAUAAACAAUAACUAUAAAUAUUAUUGUAAAAUGUAUAUUAUAAAUAUUUUUAAUGUAUAUUUUUUUACGAAUUGAACUGAAUAUGAUAAUGUCUGUGUAUUCUCUAACAUAAUGUUACUAUAGGUUACUAUCGAAUUCCGUAUCCUAACCGAAUUGCGAACUCGAAUCGUAACAUGUAUCUGGAAACUAUGGGUGGCACUGGUACUGGGGCUAUUUUUGGAGGGGUUGCCGUUGGUGUUGCUUUGCUGUUUGGUGCACUUGCAAUUGCAUUUGCUUAUUGUCGACGAAGAAAACCACAGGAUCAUUUCUUUAAUGAACCUGGUUAGUGAACUAUUAAGAUUAAUAUAGCUUGAUCAAGUUGGUGUUGUAGUUGUUGCAUGGGAUGCAGGUUUCACUCAUCUACUGUCUUUGCAGCUGAGGAGGAUCCAGAAGUUCAUUUACGACAGCUCAAAAGGUUUUCUUUACGCGAGCUACAAGUUGCGACGGAUACCUUUAGCGACAAAAAUAUUCUUGGUAGAGGUGGAUUUGGUAAGGUUUAUAAAGGAUGCUUAGCUGAUGGAACUCUGGUUGCUGUAAAAAGACUAAAAGAGAAGAGAACCCAAGGCGGGGAGCUACAGUUCCAAACGGAAGUUAAAAUGAUUAGCAUGGCUGUCCACCGCAAUCUGCUUCGUCUGCAUGGUUUUUGCAUGACACCAACAGAAAGGCUGCUUGUAUAUCCUUAUAUGGCUAAUGGAAGUGUGGCAUCACGUUUAAU
rnacentral:lncRNA from 1 species